UUUUUCCUCCACAAAACGGCAAUAUCGUACUGGUGAUGACAUUGUUCAAAUUGUUCCUACAUGCCAUUAACAAUUUGAGCUCAUGUCUGCUCCUUCCCCGAGUUGGAAAUUUUUAUAGCCUAAUAUGAACUGUACUGCUACACCUGCUACAGACUAGAGCAGAUUUAUUCAGCUAUUGUCCGCAAGAAAAAAGAUGAUUUACUUUGUUAUGCUUCUUGUGUUGAAUCAAACGACAUGCCAAUAGUACAUGCAAACAUCUCUUAUCAGGUAUAAUAAGUCUAGCAUUUGGACCCUUAGACAUCCUGUUCCUGAAUCACUUGACGACAAAAUUCAGUUAAUUAUAGUCUCAUAUCAGCAACAUUCAGUAUCAUACUUAGCUUUCAAUGUCCUACAAAUCUCAGGACGAAACACAAUUUCCUGGAGCUGAUCAGUAUAACGCAAAUUAAUCAUCUCAUUGCAAAGGUAGAUAUCAAGGCAACAAGGAUAGAUGUACAUGGGAGCACCCUUUAUCCAACCAAUGAGAUAAAAAAAACAUGCCGCAAGAAUUAUACGCUCUAGCUAAAUUGAUUUAUACAAGAAUUGAAAUGCAAUCCCUUGUGCCGCUAUGCUGCUACCGACGUAGUAUUCAUGGAUGCAAGCUAUCAUAUACUCCCAGAAUGCAACAGAACUGAAUACUGCAUGUCUGACAUUUGAAGACACAUGCCACCGAACAAUUUGAUGGUUGCAAGAAAUAUAACUUGUUUUUUAUAUACAACGAAAGUGCUAAUGACACACAAGUUUUAUUGCAGUAACUGUUUAAUCAUCACACGAGACAUGGUAAAGAACAACAACCACAAACCUGGCCGAUGCGGGUGGCGGCGGCGAGGGGCCGGGCCGGGGCGUCGAAGAAGGCGUUGCGCUGGGCGUCGGUGCGGAGGAGGGGGUUGGCGAUGGGGUUGGACGUCGGCGGGGUCGAGAGGGCCGAGGAUUCGGCGGCGGCGACGGCGGCUUUGGAGCGGAUGUGCUCCUCGAUCUCAUCGCGUUCGGAGCUACGGAACUCGAUGUGGGUGGGCUGGGGCCGCAGUAUCGACGGCUGGAUCUGGAUGGGGAUGGGGAUGGCACUGUGGGUUUCGGGUGCGGCGAGCGGGCGACGGUAGCGAAGAGGCGAAUGGAUGGAGGAGAGGCGAGGAGGUCAGCAAUGGGGGUGGGUGCGGAGGGUAGGAGGUCGCCGGCGGGGGAGAGGGUGGUGUCGGCGGCAGAGCGUGACGGUGAGGAAUGAAUCGUGGACGGACGAGCUGGGGCCUGGGGCUGGAUUCGGCUGUGGGUUCUGAAUUAUAGCAAUGGCGCAUCCUAGAGAGGUGGGCCAUUAGUAGUUUCUAAAAAAAAAUAAAAAAAUAUAGUAGUGGGCACUCUGCCCCGGUGCGCCAUUAGUACUUUUGGAAAAAAUACUUUGUUAGUAGUGGCGCACCGUGUGUGUGGUGCGCCAUUAGUGUCCAUCACACUAAUGGCGCACCUGCACAUGAUGCGCCAGUGCUAUAUAGUAGUGGCGCACCAUCUAUAGUCCUUUUCCUAGUAGUGCAACGAGAGAGCGGUGAGUACAUCUUCAUACCUUUGAAGAUCGCUAAGCGGAAGCGUUGCUAGAACGCGGUUGAUGGAGUCGUACUCGCGGCGAUUCAGAUCGCGGUGUGAUUCCGAUCUAGUGCCGAACCACGACACCUUCGCAUUCAACACACGUGCAGCCCGGUGACGUUUCCUGCACCUUGAUCCAGCAAGGAGGAGGGAGAGGUUGGGGAAGAUCUCUGGCAGCACGACGGCGUGGUGUCGAUGGAGAGACAAGGUCUCCCGGCAGGGCUUCGCCAAGCACCGUGGGAGAGGAGGAAGAAGAACAGGAGGGCUGCGCCGAGAGAUAGAUGGAAAACCGUUUUUCCAAAGGCCAAACCCCCCAUUAUAUAUAGGGGGAAGGGAGGGGUGGCGCCCCAUUUAGGGUUCCCCCCUUGAGGGGGGCGGCAACCCUAGACGGGAGUGGGGGGGGGCAGGGAGGAGAGGGGGGUGGCGGCACCCUUGGGUGGUCCUUAGGCCCACCAUUGCCUAGGGUUUCCCCUCCCUCCCUCUCUGGUGCGCCUGGGCUGAGUGUGUGUGUGGUGGGGGGGGGCACCAACCCACCUAGGGGCUGGUUCCCUCCCGUACGUGUCCCAUGUAGCCUUCCGGGGCUUGUAGCCCCUCCCGGUGGGCCUCCGGAACCCUUGUGGUGGUCCCGACACUUUGCCGGUGGUGCCCGAAACAUUUCCGGCGUCCAAACCCAUCCAUCCUAUAUAUCAAUCUUUACCUCCGUACCAUUCUGGAGCUCCUCGUGACGUCCGGGAUCUUAUCCGGGACUCCGAACAACCUUCGGUAACCUCGUAUAACAAUUCCCUAUAACCCUAGCGUCAUCGAACCUUAAGUGUGUAGACCCUACGGGUUCGGGAAUCAUGCAGACAUGACCGAGACACUCUCCGGCCAAUAACCAUCAGCCGGAUCUGGAUACCGAUGGUGGCUCCCACAUGUUCCACGAUGAUCUCAUCGGAUGAACCACGAUGUCAAGGAUUCAAUCAAUCCCGUAUACAAUUCCCUUUGCCUGUCGGUACAGAACUUGCCCGAGAUUCGAUCGUCGGUAUACCUAUACCUUGUUCAAUCUUGUUACUGGUAAGUCUCUUUACUCGUUUCGUAGCACAUCAUAACGCGACUAACUCCUUAGUCACACUGAGCUCAUUAUGAUGAUGUUCUACCGAGUGGGCCCAGAGAUACCUCUCCGUCACACGGAGUGACAAAUCCCGAUCUCGAUUCGUACCAACCUAAUAGACACUUUCGGAGAUACCCGUAGUGCACCUUUAUAGUCACCCAGUUAAGUUGUGACGUUUGAUACACCCAUAGCACUCCUACGGUAUCCGGGAGUUGCACAAUCUCACGGUCGAAGGAAAAGACACUUGACAUUAGAAAAUCUUUAGCAUACGAACAAUACGAUCUAGUGCUAUUCUGAGGAAUGGGUCUAGUCCAUCACAUCAUUCUCGCAAUGAUGUGAUCUCAUUAUCAAUGACAUCCAAUGUCCAUGAUCAGGAAACCAUGAUCAUCUAUUUAUCAACGAGCUAGCCAAUCUAGAGGCUUGCUAGGGACACAUUGUGAUCUAUUUAUUCACACAUGUAUUACUGUUUCCGGUUAAUACAAUUAUAGCAUGAACAAUAGACGAUUAUCAUGGACAAGGAAAUAUGAUAAUAACCAUUUUAUUAUUGCCUCUAGGGCAUAUUUCCAACAGAAAGAAGGUGAAGACUCUCGAACCGUGGCUUUUGAUGCUAAGGUUGAAAACCCGUGGCUGGAAGCAAAGACUAAACAAGUACCAGAGCUCGCGGUUUUGAAAACAGAGAUAAAAUGCUUUUAGGAGUGUAACUUUCCAGUCAAUGGUACACGGUAAAGCUUCUCAAUAUCUUCCAUACCAACCAUAUUAAUGGCGGUUCCCAUGCUUUUUAUGCUUAAACUCCCCUCUACCAAUUCUUACACAAGCCAUGGCUAGCCGCAUUCGCGGGUGCCCUCCAUACAAUCUCAAGCCAAGGGGGAGUGUAUGUUUUUUUAUAAACCAUUUAGAACUGGGCAUUCUCCAAACUAGCCUUUGCCUCAUAAAUUUGACUAGAAUAAACUUUGUCAAAGAGUAAAAUAUUUUUAGCAUGGAAGAUAUCGAUUGCCCCUAACGCUCCAUGAGCUUGUAAGGGUACAAAAAGAGAAAUGCAUUUGAAUAGUUUUGAGAUGGUACAAGAAAGUCUUUGUUAGGAUGGCUGGUAAAUACCAUAUAUAGGAAGGUUUGGUGGAUUCAAAUGGCGCAAACUCGUUUCAAGGAUUUUGGAUGCACAAGCAAUCAGUCCGCUUAGUACAGGCGAAGGCUAGCAAAAGACGGGGAAGCGACCAACUAGAGAGCAAUAACGGUCAUAAUCAUGCAGAGCGACAAAGCAACAUUGAAUCGGGCAUGAAAGUGAUAUAACUAUUCUAAAAUAAAAAUAUCAUCAAGGCUUGAUAGACUUCUAGUCAUAAACAUGUGUAAGCAUGUGCCAAGUCAAUCUAAAAAGGAAGGGAGAUAACACUUCAGUAUGCUAAACCAUGAACAAUGCAAUGCAUGCAAAUCAUUUCAAUAACACAUUAUGCACUCCAGCUAUUUGAGACAAGUCACAAAUAAAGCAUGAACUACUGGGAAAUCAUUGUAAACAUAGCACUAUGUUGCUACAAGUUGGUAUCUAGAUCAUAAGUACAAGCAUAUGUACAAAAGUAGAAACAAAUAGAGUUCAUACCAGCUAUCCUUGUUGCAUCCCUUCCGUCGAUCUUCGUCAUUAUUGCGUCGACACUUGCACGAUCGAACGUAGAAAGAUAUAAUCAAGUGCAAUUGCAACCAUGGACGUGAGCUGAACUAUGCAAACAAAGCAAACUAAAGAGAGAAAGGAAAUCUUUUGGGGUUUUCCAAAGGUUAAACGAAAGCAAAAGAAAAGAGACAUCUUUUUGUUGUUUUUGCAAAGAAAGAACAAAGAAGAACAUGCAAAAACUCUGAAAAGAUUAAAAAAGAAACCAUGGAACACCUAUCCCGAGCACACGCAAGGGAACCGUAGACAGGCAAGUGAAAUCCAAUCCACGAAAUAAUUUGAUCCAUGGACGGCACCGUUGUAAUGAAAGGGGAGAAGGGUACGUACUCCCCCAAGCUUAGGCUUUUGGCCUAAGUUGGGCUUGGCUACUACGGCCUCGAGGAGCUCCCUACGGCUCCGGGAUGGUACUGGUAGCUCGAAGAAUCGUACGGGGCCUCAGGCGCAUAGACCGAUGUCCUGCCGUCCUCCCAAGAAGAAGGCUGCUCUUCCUCGGGAACAACCCCCUCCAUGGGGUUGUGGAACUGCUGCUGGAUCACAAACUCGUCUAGCUCAAUCGCGGUGAAGGACCAUCCGUUCCUGCUAGUAUAAUCAAACAAAAGUUGUGCAGGUAGACGGAUCUCGCGAGUAGUAAACUCGCCAAACCUCAUAAUAUAAACAAGGUUAUCAAACUCAAAAGUCCUAGUAACAAACUCAUGCCUCUUCAUAGCGGUAAGAUCAAAUCUUAUGAAUGGAAAAGGCGCAUCAUCCGUGCGUAUAGUGCGCUCGAGAUGCUCGGGGAUAAGCGUGGCAUAAAUGCCACCAAAGUGAGGCUCUUUGCCGUUGUUAGCGACGAGGCGACGAGCAAUAAGAGCACCAAUAUUAUAUGUGUUAUCUCGUGAGAGGGCGGCUGCCAAGAUAGCAAUAUCCGGAGCCGAAAUGUUGCUCGUGUUGUCACGAGCUAACACUCCCCGAGCAAUAUAGUAUGCGAAACACCUGAUGUGGGGGAAGCACGAUACUGGAACUCUUCCCCCGGUGAAUGUCUUGCGGAUCCUUGCUGCAAAGGGAGGCGAAUAGGAAUUUCAGCUCGUAGGGCUGAACUUUCAUUCUGGUCGUCUUCCCGACAUUCCGCACACCUAUAGCGUCACAAAAUUCUGCCAAAGACAUGGUAAAGACAUCCUCAUAUAAUCUGAAUUCAAUCAUGGAAGUUUUAUCAUUAUAUCUAAACCAGUUGACAAAAUAAUAGGUGAGUUUUGAGUAUUGUGGCACACAUCGUGUUACGAGACGUGUCAAACCUGCAACUGCACAGAGGUUAUCAAACUCAUCCUUAAUACCUGCCAUCGCAAGGAAUUCUGAACACGGGUAUGUCAUGGCACAUGACAUGUCCGUCUCGUGGAGCAACUCUGGUGGCACGAUAUCAUCAUUGUAACUUGUCCUCACAAUAGAAGGUGAAGCUGCAGCUCUAGUUAGUCUAUCGGUAGGCUCGGGUCUCUUCUUCCCAAGCCAUCCUUUUGCUUUUCAAAACAAACUCAUUUCUGAAAUUUUGGUAGUUUAAGCAAAAUGAGUUGGAGCAAACUAUUCUACUCACUUCCCCAAGGCAUAAACUUGCGUCAAAACUUCAUAAAUAAAUUUCUAAACAUGCAUGCAAGCUCAUAUGAACAGCACCAAGGACUCCUAAAUACUCACAAAUAAGACUAGCAAUCAAAAUUCUAAUUAGAGGGGUGGAGGAGUCACAUACCAAGGAGAAAAUGCUCAAAUUCUCAAUGCAAAUGAUGGGUUGUAGAGAGGGAUCGAGAUUUUCCACCAAGAGCAGCAAGAACUCGAGCUCCAGGAGAAAAUUGGGAUUUUUGGAGUGAGAGAGAGAGAAGGGAAGAAGAAAUACGUGGAAAGGGGACCAGGCGGGCCCAGGCACCCUCUCGGCGCGACCAUAGGCCAGGCCGUGCCACUUGGCCGCCUAGACAGGGGGUGCCCCCCUGGUCAGCCCCAGGUGCCCCUGUGUCUCUUUUUUGAUGGAAAUUUUUAUUAUAUUUUUUUUUGAUUUUUUCUCACAACUUCACCUUUGAAAAAGUUUCGAAGUACCGAAAGGUGCAAAACUUCCACAAAGCUCGAAGCAAUGGUUAAGCAUAUGAAGCUUCAAAAACAUAAAACUUUGGUACAACAAGGAGGAUGAAAGAUAAAGGAAAUGAAAACAUGACAAGCUUCUCUUUUUACUCAUAUAAAACAUGUUUGUUAGCAAGGUUGAUCAUGUCUUACUACCAAACAUGUAUUAUAUCGAGCAAAAAGUUUCACUUCUUAUAAAGCAAUCAUGGUACCUUUAUUUUAAUGGAUAUUCUCCCCACCAUAAUGGUUUUGUAUUUGUGGUGCACAUGUAGAGGACAAUCCCACUCUCCAACCUUCAUGGCCUCAAUAUUCUCAAUAGAAAUAAGGCCAUGCUUUUUAUUAAUCUUCUUCGGAAAAUAUACCGUGUGCUCCUUCUCAUUAACAUUGAAAGUCACCUUUCCUUUAUUGCAAUCAAUAAUAGCACCCGCGGUGUUAAGAAAAGGUCUACCAAGAAUAAUGGACAUGCUCCCAUCCUCGGGAAUGUCAAGCACAACAAAGUAAGUAAGGAUCAAUCAAUUAGCAACUUCAACAAGAACAUCCUCACAGAUACCAAUAGGAACGGUUGUUGACUUAUCAACCAUUUGAAGAGAGAUAUCUGUAGGGAUUAGUUUAUCUAGACAAAGCCUUUUGUAAAGAGAGAAAGGCAUAACACUCACUCCUGCACCAAGAUCACAUAAAGCAGUUCUGACGUAAUUAUUUUUAUGGAGCAAGGAAUGGUGGGUAUACCUGGAUCACCAAGCUUCUCAGGAAUCUUACCACUGAAAGAGUAAUUAGCAAGCAUAGUAGAUAUUGCCUCAUUAGGAACUUUGCUUUUAUUAGUAACAAUAUCUUUCAUAUACCUCGAGUAUGGAGGCAAAUUAAUAGCAUGAGUCAAAGGAAUUUGAAGAAAAAGAGGUUUCAUACAUUCACAAAAUUUAUUGUAAUGCUCUUCUUCUUUGGUUUUGAAAGACUUACCCAGGAAGGGCAUUAAUUUCUGUACCCAUGGUUCUCUUUCCUUCCCAUGUCUUCUUGCAACAAAGUCUUCUCUAGUAUAUCUCUUGCGCUUGUCGGGUGCUUCUUCUUCUUGUACUUCAGGAGGAUCAUUCUUCUCAUUAUCUUUAUUAGGUUCAACACCAUCUUCAGUUUCAGCAUCGGAAGUAGAUAUACUAUUAGGAUCAACAAUAGGUUCAUCAUUAAUUAUUGGAUCAUUGGAGUUUUCAGCUUCCUUGUGUUUCUUCUUCUUCUUCUUGUUCGGGGAGCUAACAACGUCUUCUUCCUGCAAUUGAGAAUCUUGCUCGAUCCUCUUUGGAUGCCCUCCGGAUAGAGGGGGUCCUGGGUGUGUGUACCACCUCGGGUCUGUAUACCAUACGCCUGUGUAUCAACUUGUUUGGCAUUGUUAGCAAGUAUAUCUUUUUGCACAUUAGAAAUUUGUUCAGGCCGAGUUUGAACCAUAUGAAAAUGCUUAACAAGACCUUUAACAUCAUUAAUAGUUCUACUUAAAACAUCAAGCAAACUUUUGAUAGCAAGGGAAUUAUCAUGCAAUUGGCUUUGAAUCCUCUGAUUAAAGUGACUUUGCUUGACAAUGAAAUUAUCAAGCUCAUCUAAACAUUGAUCAGGGGGCUUAUCAUGAGGGAUGUCCCUUGCAUUGAAUUCUAAAAGAGAGUGUACCUCUACCAUAGGUGGGUGGGUGGUAGGCUCACAUAAUUUCUCAAUAGGAGGCAGAUUCUUCACAUCUUCAGCUUUAAUACCUCUCUAUUUAAUAGUCUUCUUGUCUUCUUGCAUAAUUUCGGGGCUCAAGAAAAGCAUACCCCUCUUCCUUGGUGGUGGAAGUGGUUCAGGAACGGACCAAUCAUCAUGAUUCUUAGCUAUAUUGCCCAUUAGUUCUUCAGCAUUGUCCGAUGUUCUUUCCCUGAAAACACAACCAACACAACUAUCCAGAUAGGUUCUAGAUUCAUUGGUUAGACGAGCAUAAAAUACAUCAAGCAAUUCAUUCUUAGGGAUUCCAUGUCCCGGCUUAGCCUUGAGUAAAGUGCAAUACCUCCCCCAAGCUUUAGGGAGGUGCUCAUCCUGCAACUGUUUUAAGUUAUAUAUUCUUUGUAAAGCAGCAUGUUGCUUAUGAGCAGGAAAAUAUUUAGCAACAAAAGAUUGAGCUAAAUCUUGAGGACUCUUAAUGGAACCACAUGGUAGUGCAUCAUACCAUGCUUUAGCAUCUCCCUUCAAAGAGAAAGGAAGUAGCUUAGUAACAUAAUAAUUUCUCUUCUUAUCCUCUGUAGUGAAUAAGCCAUCCAACUCAGUGAGUUUGGUAAGGUGUACAGUAGCGUCGUCAUUUUCUCUGACAUAAAAGGGGUCAGGUUCAACUGUGGAUAUAAGUGAAAGAUCGAUAGAAAAAUCAAAAUCAGCAUCCUCAAUGCAAAUAGGAUAUGAAGCAAAUUCAGGAUCAGGAGUAAAUUUGUUCUUCAUAGAAUGCUUUUCAAGCAGCUUCUUAACAACAGCAGGGUCAGAGUCAGCACACUCUGUAAGCUCCCUGCAUAAAUCAUCAUCAAGUUAAAUAUAAUCAUCAUCAAGAAUUCUUUCCUUGAGACCACUCAACUGUAGGUAACCAAAGGGUCUACCAAUGGGGUAGCGUGUAAUAGGAAUUUCAAUUCCAGACUGCUUCGCAACCUUAGUAAUCCGAGACUCAAUAAAAUAACCAUGUAAACCAGUCUCAUCAAGAGUAGUAGAAGCAUCAGCAAAAGUAUCAGACUUAGUGACGGACUCGGUAGAGGCAACAUGUAGUCGUGGUGAAGCAAACUUACUCAUAACGGAAGGUGAAUCAAGCGCAACACUAGUGCUAAGAAUAGUACCUUUUCUUGAAGUGGAUGGUAAAAUCGGAACCUUGGGGUCUCCUUUCUUACCCAUAACGGAUAAAUCGCAGCAAGAAAAAUAACUCCAAGUAGACUUGUAAAUAAAGCUAUGGUCCCCGGCAACGGCGCCAGAAAAUAGUCUCGAUAACCCACAAGUGUAGGGGAUCGCAAGAGUCUUCGCUGGUAAGAUAACCCAAUUUAUUGAUUCGAUACAAGGGGAGCCAAAGAAUAUUUAUAAGCUUUAGCAGUUGAGUUGUCAAUUCAACCGCACUUGAAAGAUACUUACUGGGCAACAAAGUAUUAGUAGCAACGAUGAUAUGGAAGUGAUGGUGGCAACGGAAAUAAUGGUGGCAAAGCAACGAAAGUAAAACAGCAAAAGCAAAGCAACUUGUAACCAGUAGGAUUAAAACACUGUAGGCUAGGGAGAUGGAUGGUUAGUCAUGGAUGAGAGAUAUAAUGUAUUUAACUUGGGGCAAGGCACAUAGAAAAGUAAUGAUCAUCUAGGCAAAUAUCAAACAUUAGGCAUGUAUCCCAAGGUAGUCGUGCGUGCUUGCAAUAAGAAGUUGCACACCAUCUUUUGUUGUACCAUCCCGCUACCAACCGGGCCAAAAGGAACUUAUGGAGAUUAAGGUUCUCCUGUCAAAGAGCACCGGAACAAAGCAUUAACAAUCAGUGGAUACAUGGAAUCCUCAAAUUAUAGUCUUCCCCAUUGGUGUCCCAAGCUGUCACCAUUGGGAUCGCCCAGUUCCGGACUAUAAUAGGUGCAUACAACUCAUAGAUAGGAUCAAGAACUCAAAUAUAUUCAUGAAAACAUAAUGGGUUCAGAUAUUAAAUCAUGGAACUCGAGCCCAAAAUGACAAACAUUAAGAGCAAUAAGUAGUAGCAAAGAUGAUAAGCACCAUAGUAGAUGAUAUGCAACAUGCCCCCAACAAUCUGACGAACUAUUACAUGAUCUAACUCAUCCAAUCCCUACCACCCCUUCGCUUACAGUAGGGAAUUACUCACACAUGAAAGGGGAAGUCAUGGAAGGGUGAUGGAGUGGUGAUGGUGAUGAUGAUGGUGACGAUUUCUCCACUCCGGAGGCCAAGGCAGCCUCCAGAUUAGCUCUCCCGGAGAAGAACCGAGGGUGGCGGCGGCUGCACAUCGAGAAUUGGCAAAACGACUUCUGUUCUGGGGUUUCUCCAUCUCGGGUAAAAAUAGGAGCCAAGGUAGGGCACGGGAGGGGGUGGGCACCACCCAGGCUGCCUCCUUGCGCGACCAGGGGGUAGGCCGCGCCACCCGGUCGCCUGGAGGCCUGGUGACCCCCUGUGGCCCAUCUUCUGGUCAUGGGUUCCUCCUGGUGCGUGUAUUUUCUCUAUUUUUUAUUGGAAUUUUCUGGGAGACCUAAAAAUUCAUAUUCCUGCACACAAGAAAACCAUACAGGCAGCUCUAGUGAAAACUAUGUUAGUCUGGGUUAGUUUCGUUCAAGUCAUGCAAGAAUGAGGCCAAAACAAUAGCAAAAGUGUUUGGAAAAGUCGAUAUGUUUGAGACGUAUCAACUCCCCCAAGCUUAGCAUAUUGCUUGUCCUCAAGCAGUUCAGUUCGACAAACUGGACGCGACAAAGAAAACUUUGACAAACUCUUUUGCUUCAUUAGAUGUAUAUAAGCAUGUACUAUGAACAAGUCCAACAAGUAUUGGAGCAAUGCUACAAAUACAAUGCAUGAAGUAAUCCUUCGAUCACGUGAAGAGUUUCAAAAAACUAAGAAUGAAUGACAUGCAACUGAAAACAACGUCAGUCCGGAUUAGUUUCAUUUAAAUCAUGCAAGAAUGAGGCCAAACAAUAGCAAAAGUGUUUGGAAAAGUCGAUACGUUUGAGACGUAUCAGUGACCCUUUCCACUUGAUCAUACCAAAUGGCACGACCAUUCACAUAAGAACGGUUCCUGCCAUGGCCUAGCAAAAAACCACCAUGGUUGAUCUCCACCGAAAAAUUGCUGCUGAUUCCUAACUACAUGCAUCACAAUAUCGUUAUUUAACUCUCAAAAACCCUAAGCCCUGAUUCCCUUAACCCCAAAUCCUGACUGAAAACCCUAGAACAAUCGGUCCAAUCUUGCAACUACAGCACAUCUUAGAUGGAAAUGCGGCCCUAAGGAGGUUCUUUGACGAUUAAAAUGCACAAACACGACGAGAAGAACAGGGGGCGAAUACUUAUUGUAGACAGGGGGUGGCGCCCCUUCUGCGCGACGAACAGGGGCCAUCCGCGGAGGACCUCCGCGCCUCAGUUUGCAUGCACCAUCGACGAUUGCUGGGGGCGACGUCGCCUAUGCAGCCGCUCCCUUAUUUCCAAUCAAAGAUGAAGAGGUGACAUGAGUGGAGUAGGGGUGAAUGGGUGGAUUCCGUGAUGGCCAGGGGGCUCGACCCAAAAAACGAUGGCCACGCCUCCGUAGUUUGCCACCUGGUGUGGACGACCGGUCAACAAGUGUUCAACCGCGCUGUACCCACCGUGUACGUGCUAGAGUGACCAUAUUUUCACGUAAAAUCGUAUUCGGUGACCAUAUUGAGCGUAUUGCUAAGUUCAGUGACCGUAUUGUGCUUCCGUCGCAACUAUAUUGACCAUGAGUGUAUUUAUCUCUUCAGGAAAUAAAGGGAAUUGGAGCAUCGUCCUACUUUGUGAACUCCAGAAAUACUCCUACAAUGCAACUGCUGCAAUGAUCUCGCCUCUUUGAGAACUGGUGCAGCUGCAAUGCAACUGAUUAAAAUUCAUGGUGGAUGAGGGUCGUGUGAUUAUGUGAGACCAACACGAGUACCGACGGACUCGAUCUGCUGAUCAUUUCAUAUGACUGAAAUGCAGUGGAAUCACGGUGGUCAUGAUACGAGCUCUUUCAAACUAGAUCAUGGACUCAUCCCAAUCGAGUAUCAGUGUGUCAUGGCCUAUCCUCCUCCUCCUUGAACGAACCCACAUAGGAAGAAGUCCUGGAUCGAUAUAUCAUAUAUGUCGCUCAAAGUGCAAACUACUUUGGUGCUUGACUUGUUGACGUGCAAACCCGACUCACUGUGCAGUAGUGGCGGAUAUAGGGGUGGGGGUCGUGAGGGUCAUGACCCCCACAAAUAAUUUGUAGAACUUUUUUGAAUAGUAUAUUCAUAUGUAUAUUCAGUAUUUUAUUGGCUAUUUUAAUGUGUUUGACAACAAAAAGUGCUAUCCUUUUUAAUGUUGCUCCCACAUUAGUCAAGUUCUAGACCCGUCACUGUUGUGCAGUCUCGUGUUCCUUGCGGAAAACACCGAGGAUGUGCUUGGUAGCCUGCAUCAAUGUUAACCAAGCCUUUGUGAUACAAUUUUGACAAUUUUGGUUGUCCGUCUUGCAUCAAACCAUCAACCCAUAAGAGAGACAUAUAUGUACAAUCAUUGCUCUAUCUCUCUCCCUCCCUCCCCCCUCUCUCCACUAUAAUGCUAGUUUGGACCUAUUUUGCAAUAAUAAGGAAGUUAUUAUUUUAUCAAAGUCAAGAAUAAAGUGAUACUUCUUUUUAAGUAAGACACACAAAAUUUGGUAUCAACAUACACGUUUUUCUGUUCCAACAAAAGAAAACAUGCACCGGAAAAAUUGUUCAAUAAUCGUACCAUAUAUUUGCACAUGAUCAAUGUCAGGUUUUACGAAAACCGGUGGGGGAGAUCAAAUUUACCAAAAAAGAUCCUAAAAGAUCUUGUUAAUUAUUAGAAUUUUUGAUCUCAUAUCUUCUAGAUGUUGUAUUAAUAGCAAUUAUUAAAUUCCAGAUCUUCUUGGUAAUGAGAUGAUUAAAUAGUACAUGAGUCCAUGCACUCUAUAGUUUUGUAAGAUCCUUAUAAAUUUCACCUUAUGCAAUACCCACAUAAGCAUCAAACAACACCCUAGCAUAUGCAUUCUAUUCUCCAUAGCAUCUACUUCAAAUUGUUGACCUUGCUAGUAGCUAUGGAUCCUAACGACUCCUAUGCAAACAUUUCCCCCUUGCAUGAAGCAUUGAGAGGCACGACAGCCAUGCCGACAUUGAAUGAUUUUGUACCCCUUGAAUCCCCAUCAUCAGAUUCACCUUUGGUGGGAAAUUCCUUGCAAACCAUCCAUGCACCACGAGAAGCUACCUUGUUCUCAGAAAAUGAUAGUACCAUGAUUCCAUACCAAUCGAAUACAUACCUUGCACCACUACCCCCGCAGCUGAGUGAUACAAUUCCCAACCCUUCAUCCUUGGAAGAAAAUGAAAUGUUUUCACAUGACUUCCUCACAAAUCCUUUUUGGAAUGAAUUCGACUCAUCUCAUCAGAAGCAGAAGUUUUCCAUGGAGGUUUCGUCAUUCACAUCCUUACUCAGAAAAGAACCAAAUUCAAUUGCUCAUUCCCUACUUAACACCGUGGGAGAGUCGGAUGAUGGUUCAAUCAGUAAGAUGGCCACCAGGCUUGUCUCCAAGGUAAACCCACUACCAUCUAGGCAUCUUUGUUCUCCUGAAAAGAUUCACCCCUUCACACCAAGUACUAUGCAGCAGGAACAAAACAUACAAGAUGGAAGGUUAUUACAUGGUGCUCCUUACGGUCUACCCGCCCCUGGUUCUCUAGUCAUGCAAUCCUCACAUGCUCCAAGAGAAGAUAAAAUCCCUCUAGUUGGUCCAAAUGGCAAUUCUACUAGUGCUAAUAUGCAUGGUUCUACAAUCUCACGUAAGUACACAUGCAAGAUUUGUAGUGCCACAUUCAACACAUCUCAAGCAUAUGGUGGUCACAUGAGUUCGCAUAGCAAAGCAAGGAUGAAAAGCCUACAAAGUUGAUCUUCCCAUGUAGUUGGACAUCCCAUGAUUAUUAUUAUUGGGACAAAUAUUUGUCCUAGCGACACAAUCGAUGAAGGAACAAAGGUUUCCAUGCAAGUGGACAGAAACUAUAAGAGGUUAUUUUUUGGAAAUAAAAUUAUCAAGAAUAGCUUAAGAGUGAAGAUAUGUUAUGUCAGUGCAAAACUAUAGGAAAACAUUUUCUUUACUAUGUUUCUAUUUUUAUUUCCCUAUAUGAACAAGUCAUGUUUGAUGGUUGUGUUUUACUCUCUCCAUUCCAUAUUACUCCCUCUGUUCCUAAAUAUGUGUCUUUUUAAGGAUUCAACUAUGGACUACAUAUGAAGCAAAAUGAAUGAAUAUACAUUUUAAAUUAUGACUAUAUACAUCCGUAUGUAGUUCAUAGUGAAAUCUCUAGAAAGACCUGAACACAGAGAAUAUAAGGUGCAUCAGUUUAGAUGUUAGCCAAACUUAUGUAUGUUUGACGAGGAUUAUAGAACUUUUCAGGAUGAAUCUAAUGGGAAAAAACUGUUAUUGUAGAUUUUUUGAAAAAAUGGUUAAACAUGCGCAUGUUUUACUUUAUAAAAAACUAAUACACCUUAUAUUUUGAAACUGGGAGGAGGGGGGUAUGUUAACAAUCUUUCCCUUGUAACUAAUGAUGAGACAAUGCUUUUGAAUGAAGGUUUGCUAGAACUUUGUAAAAUGUAUAUUUGCUACCAGAAUUGUUAAUUUUUUUCAAAGUUCAUUAAGAGUCCUAAAAUAAUUUGCCAUAUAAAGUGUGAACGCAUCUCAAACAUUCUUGUUAAUGGGUAAUUCCAUAUUUGGCAUGAUAAUAUAUACCUAUGACAUAGAUGCUCAAAUGUGAGCACCACCAAGGUACUAAAACACUAUAAAGAUUCCCAUGAACUUACAAAUAAAUUGUACACUGCUACACAUAGAAAAUCUUGAGUAGGUAAAACAAACGAUAAAAUCGAACACAUGAUGCCUCUACAGAUUUUCAUACAGAUGAACAAACUAAAACUGAUGCUCAAAAACAAAUUUCUAUCGCUAAGAGCCCCAGGGAGCCUAUGUGAAAAAAUAGGCACAUGGUUACCUAUUAUGAAACCAUAAGUGAAACAAGUUAUAGAUACGAGUUAUUCUUUAUUUCUGGAUACGGCUACUCGUGGGUCAUUGGCUAUGUGAACUGCCACCACACUAUUGAAUCAUUGAACCUAUACAACAAUAUUCUUUUGUUGUUUCUUUUCUAGGUAUCGUGGAACAAAUGUAUCAUAGGUUGAUUGUGUUUAAUUUUACUUAUAAGAAAUAGAUUUUUUUAAUGUAAGUGUCCUCAGUGCAAACACAAACGUUCCUUGAAUUUGUUAUCUCUAUAGGAUAGCUUGAUUAUGAAAAUUUCUCGCAAUACCACUGAAAAGAAAACGAAAACAUACACCAACUUUUAAACAAUAUCAUUAAGUAAAUAUCAUCAUCAUUUAUAUGGAAAAACUAGAAUACCACAUGGUGAUAAAAUAGUAUAAUUAAAAUUCCUAGAUAAUUAGGAACCCUAGGAGACAACUUGUUUUAAGCAUAAAGCUAAGCAUAGUUCGGUCUACUGCAUGUGGCAUAUAAGUUCUUGCAUAGAAAAUAUCUAUGUGUAGUAGAAAUGCAUUGUAUAUAUUUCUUGCGUUUCAUUUGUAUGACGGUGAUAUGUUUAUUAUGUGUACUUGUUUGCCUCAAAGAAAAAACAAUCUUUUAUAUAUGGUCUAUGCGGUUGGAGCAACAAAGACAUUUCUCAUGAACCCAAUCGGUAAAUGAUACACACAUGCGGUUCUGAUUGAGAGCCACCUGCGGCUGUACCCGAUGACCCACAAGUAUAGGGGAUAAAUCAUAGUAUUUUCGAUAAGUAAGAGUCUCGAACCCAAUGAGGAGCAGAAGGAAAUGACAAGUGGUUUCUAGCAAGGUGAUUCCUGCAUACACUAAGAGUGGCGGUAACAGGUAGUUUGAUAGUAAUGCAAUUUGUAACAAGUGAUAAUUAACAAGUGUAACUAGGGUGCUUCAAGGUAGCCCGAUCCUUUCGAUAGCAAAGGACAAGCCUGAAAUUUCUCUUAUAUAGAGUAAAGCACUCUCGAGGGCACAUGAGAAUUGUUGUGUAGUCACGUUCAUCAUGUUUAGUUGAUUUGUGUUCGAUACUUUGAUAAUUUGACAUGUGGGUGGACCAGUGCUAGGGUGAUGUUCUAACUUGAACAAACAACCCACUUAUGAUUACACCCUCACGCAAGCAUCUAUAACUAGGAAAGAAGAAUUAAGAUAAAUCUAACCACAACAUGAAAAAUAUGGAUCCAAAUCAGCCCCUGCGGAAUAACACAUAAACUAGGGUUUAAAGUUCUGUCACUCUCACAACCCAUCAUCUACUUAUUAGUCGACAAUGCUUUCCCUUAGGACCAAGUAUGGUGAAGUGUCAUGUAGUCAAUGUUCACAUGACACCACUAAAGGAAGAGAAACAUACACAUCAUAAAAAUAUCAAACGAAUACCAACAUCACAUGAUUACUUACAACAAGACUUAUCCCAUGUCCCCAAGAACGGAAGUAACUACUCACAAAUCACAAUCAUGUUCAAUAUUAGAGGUAUAAUUAAUAUGCUUAACUAUCUACACAUAUAAUAUUCCACCAAGUAAACCAAUUAGCUCAACUAUAAGGUGUAAUCAACACUACUAGCAGCCCCACGUACCAAUCUGAGGUUUGAUAUGUCUCCAAUUGAAGGGAUCAAUAUGGAUGACUAGAGGGGGGGGGGUGAAUACAAAAUUUAAGCUUUCUUUAACAAAUUAAGUUUAGAAACAAAUAGGUUGUGUAGAUAUGCAACUAAGUGAGCAGCCUAUAUGAUGCUAGCAACAAUAAUAACAAGUAAGUAACUAAUACAAGUAAAGGUAAGAAGUAACCACAAGUGGAACUGAUGAAGACGAGGAUGUGUUUUCGAAGUUCCUUCCCUUUGAGGAGAAGUAUGUAUAUGUUGGUGUGGUGUGGAGGCAUAAUUCUCCCCAAGAUGCCACUAAGGCCAAUGUAUUCUCCUCAUGCCCUUACACAAUACGAGCUGACGUGAUUCCCCUAGUGGUGCCCUUCAAGACGACGACUGGACCUUUACAAAUAAGGUUGGGGCAAUCUCCACAACUGAAUUGGAGGCUCCCAAUGAAACAACGAAGCUUCACCACAAUGGAAUACGGCUUCAAGGUGACCUCAACCGUCUAAGGUUCUCAAACACCCAAGAGUAACAAGAUUCGCGAGGGAUUAGAGGGGGGCAUCAAAUUUCUCAUGUUGGAAGUGUAGAUCAAGGCCCUCUAAAGCAAACCCUAGAGUAUCAACAAGUUUUGUUGGCUAGGGAGAGAUAUCGGGCGAAAAUGGAGCUUGGAGCAAGAAUUGAGCUUAGGAUUGGGAAAGGUGGUCUUCUGGGGGAAGAAGAACCCCCUUAGAUAGUGGGGGAACGAAUCCAACAAUUACCCACUUACUAUGCCCGCAUCAGAGCAGUACUACCGCUCGAGGGAGCGGUACUACCUAUGAUAAGAGGUAGUACUGCUCCAGAGAGGAGCGAUAUUACCGCUGGAGAAGAGGGCAGCAACCACAGAGGGAAGAAGAGGCUGGUAGUAUGGCCGGAGCGGCACUAUCGCUGCUAGGAGCGGUACAACCACUCAUAAGAGGUAGUACCGCCUCCUAUAUCCGCUCAAGAUAUGCUGCAGACCUAGCCCAGAAGUACCAAGGGGUUCUGGUGCAGUAGUAACAAGCGAUACUACCACUCGCUGGGCGGUACUACCGCCCUGCACUAUCGCUCCAAAAAUCUCUCAGUCCGACAUGAAAAGUGCCGACACCCACGGGCAGCGGCACUAGCUAGCAGAACUAGCUAGACCACUUCCGCCCUGGAGCGGUACUACCACCGGCCAGGGGUAGUACUACCGCUCGGAUCUUUCUAGAAAGGAUAGGGCAAUGUAGGAUGCUCCAUUAAGGCGGGAAAGAGGGUGCGAGGAAAUGUGUACGUGAUGAUUCCACCCAAACCUUUUCAAAGAAGACCCCGUCUUUAUAGUUUAGCUUUUCCUACGACUCAAGUCCACCGAUAAUGAAAUGUAAGAGAUAAAACCGUCUGCAUAUAAACACCGAGUGGCAUGAACCGUCUUGUGCCAAAUGAUGAGAUACGUGAAAGGCUUAGUGCAUACGAUUAGUCCACAAACACAUUGUCAUCAAUCAGCAAAACCACUAGGGUAGAAAUAUGCCCUUACAAUCUCCCCCUUUUGGUGGAUUGAUGACAACACGAGAUUUGCAUAGAAGCAGGGGCGGAGACAGGGGCCUACCCCCCCAAUGAUCGAUGAAACCUGAAGUAUGUUGUGUAUAUUUAACUGAUAUGAGCAAGUACGUAUGUAUUUGCCCCCAUCAACGGCCAUAUCCAAAUCCUGGCUCCGCCACUGCACAAAAGAUAUAUAUAAGAUAGAAUGCAAACCCCACUCUCUACAAAAUAUAGACAACCCCCUAGAUGUGUGCACUAUUUAAGUAUGCUUUUGGAAUGCAAAGUUCACACACUAGGAUCGACACUCCCCCUAUAUUUUAUAGACACACACUACUUGCACUUAGGGGAAACUGAAAGUAAUAUAGAUGCAAGAAGUGAUGUGAUCAUUAAUAAUAGGGCACAAGAUAAGCAUCUCGCAAACUUAAGACAUCCAAUAAAAUUAAGGUAGCAUAUGUCUCACACAAUAUGGUGUAGCCUCACAAGAGUCUCACACAGAUGAAAAGCAAAGCAAAUGAUGAAAUAGUUCACGAGUGAAUAAAGAUGGGCAAAAAAAGGAACACUCGUGACUCUAGCAAAUGCAAACUCUCUCCCCCUUUGGCAGCAAGAUGCUAAAAAGGACAGAAACAAAGAGGAUCCAAGAAGGGCGGUAACGUUGAACAUCAAUAUUCUCCAAACUCAGAGCUGUGAUGAAUGGUGCGAGGAGGAGCACGAGAGCCAGGCAACUCAGCAUCGGAAUCCCAUGGGCAGUGACGACCAAUCCAUGUGUCCUCAUCAGUGAGUCUGUCCUCAGAACUUCUCUCAAUCAUUAAGACAACAUGCCUACCAAGAGCCUUGUGACGACUUAUGGCCGCCUUUUCAGUCGCAUGAUCCGUGUACUAACCCUUGGCCUGCAGUCAGAAGAGCUUCUUCAUCUUCUCCUUGAGCUUCUUAGCUCAAGAUGGUUCUAUAGUAGGGGGCACAACACAGGAAGCAGUCUCAUCUUCAGCCACAAAAUCCUCAUCAAACUCUUCAUCAUCAGAAUCUGCAUCCGCAUUUUCCGGCACAUCCUGCUCAGGGGUAGUGUGAGAAGCCCACUUAUCCUUCUGCCGAAGCUGCACAACCUUGUGCAAUACUAGCUCCCCACACUCAAGAAGCUCGCUAGGGAAGGUUUCUGCCCAGGUCCUCUGAAUCAGAUACAUCAGAUGGGUCUCAUAGAUGGGGCACCUAUGCUCAGAAACAGCAGAAAGAAGCUCACACCACAUAACAUGAGAAACAUCUAGUGGCUUCACAUUAACCUUGAACUUAUGAAAUUCAUAGUAAAGGAGCAUGUCCGCCAAGUAUGAGUGUACCUGAUCCAGAUUCCCAACUUGAGGAAACAGAGUGUGACGGAAGAUGCGGUGCAUUGUAUCUAAAAAUGGUUCCAACACCCAAGUGGACUUGCUUGUUGUAGAGGAGAUCUUCUCAGCACUAUACUUGUAAAGUGCUUGUCUGUGUGUUGAGGCAAACUCUUUGUGUGGACGGAAGCCAAGAAAAUUCUCGAUUCCCUUAUCAUCAAAGCCAAGCAAGUUCAUGAAAGUCUUCGAGGGAGCAGAAAGCAGUCUACCGUUGAUCGUCCAAGUAAGAGUCCUCUCCGCAUCGGUUCCCAAAUGCACCGUGGCAAAGAAUACCACAACAAUCUCAGGAUCAAAGUCUUUGUUGAAUUGCAUGAUGUUGAGUAUACCCACCUUUUCACAAAGAGUAAGAUUUUUUCUGAAGUACCUGACAUUUUGCUGUAAGUAUUCAACAUCAAUGCAUUUGAAAUUGUGAACAUACAGGUUCUCUUUACGCUUCAGAACAUCAAUGUAGAUAGACAGUUGAUGCCUGGUCUAGAAGGGACGGUUGCGCAACGAUGGGUCCUGAUGUUCCACAUAGGGAUAAUUCUUGCGAGACAUCCAGAAGUCCUUAGCUUUCAGAGUGUCCAUGGAUUGGGACUUUGAUGGCCUGACAUCAGGGCACUUUGUCACACCCUGUUUUUGCUAUCACUUGUCUGUGUUGUGAAAAUCCGAGCUUGUUAAAACUUUUUCAAAACUAAUGUUGUGAGUGCCAUGAUUAACAUUGUAUGCUUGUAUGCUUUAUCAUGUGAGGUUUUAAAACCCUAAAGUCCUUUGGUAUUAUACUGAUUUCCAAAAAAACCUUUGCUUAUUGCUGACCAAAGUAAAACCGCCUUGAGUUGCACUACAUGUCCUUGAUAGCAAGCAGUGCUUCUACUCAUAUUUGGUAAUCUGUUUUUUACCUAUCCUUAUAUUUCAAAACCACAAAAAUAAUUAUUUUUGUGAUUAUUAUCCUAAUUAAACAACCUGUCCAUUUCUAAGGUCAGAAUUGGAAUUCCAACAUGGAAAAAUACUUUUCUGCUGUGGAAAAAUCUGAUUAAAUUUAGAGAUGAUGAGAAGGACAUAUAUUUUCCAUACAUACGAUUUUAAACCCCAUUUUAUAUUAUAUUUAUUGAUUAAAACUAUAAAAGCUAUUUCUGUCUGUUUUGGCAUUUUGAAAUAUUUCCAAAGGAAAUAUUCUCAAUAAAUUCCUAGAAAAUUCCAGUGUUAUCCCUAAGCCUUGUUUGGUGUCCACAUAAAAUUUCACCUUGAUCAAAGGAGGAUAAGGACCCCAAAUAACCCUAAAACCCUGUCUGUCCAGAAUCAAGGAGGAUAAGGACCCCAAAGUUUGUCCAAUGUUGCUAAAACUUUGCAGGAGUGCCUAAUACCUCAAAUGAGGGUUCCACACCAAAAAUGGGAUUUGUGGGACUUAGUUUGCCCACACUCCCUUUGGAAGGAACAGAUGUGGUCAUAUUGUAGUGUUUUCAAGUUUGCAAAGCUAAACUUGUACUUUGGAGCUCAAAUUUGGUGAAACUCCAUGGUUUACCACCAAACCCAAACAUGUUAAGUUGCAGCACCAGUGGUGGGGUGCAACCCCCUAAACCAACUGUCGAACACGUUUUGACAGAUAGGAAAAAGCCACCUUAGCCACAGCUAAACCAAACUCCUUUGCUUCAAACUCUUGGAUUAAGUGGCGAGCACCUGUGUCUAACCCCAUUCAACUGGCCCCUCACUGGUUCAAAGUGGAAAGCCAAAAACCCCAAUUUAGAUCUUAGUUCAUGACUGACAGCACCAGUAUUUCUUGCCUCCCUUGACCAGCCGAAGCUCCCACAAGAACCAAACGGCUAGCCACACUCCUAGACAGUGCCGGGACAUGCCAAAACUGCGCUCUGGGCACGCUACAGGGAGUCACCAAGGUGGGGGCGAUGCCCUCGGCCAGUUCCAGCCUCCCCCGAGAUGUCGAACCUCUUCCCCGACAACCCUUCUGCGUCGAGCAAGCCUCAGGGCCCCUCCUCUCCCGCGCUAGAGCUCGCACGACGCGUGCCCACGCGCACCAGAACCGGCCAAGGUUGCGCGGCCACGAAUGCUCGACUCUCCUCUCUCUCUCUCUGUUGUAGAUGGUUCAGGCGGUCCAAAACCACGUCCUGAGACCAUGGUUUCAACCCCAACCUCUCUCUGUGCCUCCAUGCGCGCCAGGUGAGUCACCGGCGCUCCCGAAUUUGUUCACCAUCGCGGGCCUAUAAAUAGCCUUCCCCCUCGCUCCAGCACCCCUCAGAUAGCUUCACUACGAUCACUAGUACCUCCCUAGCCACCCCAGCAAGCCAGCAGAGCCCCGGUGCUCGAGAUCGACCGAGGCCCCUCCGCCUCGGAGCUCCGGUCGAUCUCCGGCUACACGACGGCUCCUGUGCCCCUCGACCCACCAAACUGACCCCCUCGAUCCCAGUAAGCUUUCCCCCAACUCGCCCGAGCUUUUCCGUGUCUCUAACCACCCCCUCGAACACCUCCCGAAACUCCUCCGCCACGGCCUCCUCGUCGCCGGCGAACCCCUGCCUCCCCGACGUUGUUUCGACCACCAGCAGGUAGGAGACAACAAGGCGAACCCAUUCCUGUGCUCGUCGGGGCAUGAGCGCGUCGGCAACCUCGUCGGUGUCCUCCUCCUCUUCUCUAGCCGGAGGUAGGAGACGACCCCGACAGGUGUGACCCACCUGUCGGUGGCCCAGCCUCCUCCCCCGCACUGACCUCGGCGCUGACCGCAGGGCCCCGCGCGUCAGGUAUGCUUAGAUGAAAUUUUCCAACAACUAUUCUAUUUUGUAUUAAUAAAAAGGACUAAAUUGGAAUAGUUUUGCUUAUGUUUGGUUGAUUUCAAAAAUAUUCAUUCAAGGAAAACUAAGGCAAAUAUUUUUAAAAUGAUAUCUUAGAUUUAUCAGUAAUAGAGAACAUUUUAAAAAUGACUUUGUGGUCUGUUUCUGUGUGAGCUAUUUCUUAUUCAUUGUUUUAUCAAUGAUAGAAAAUCCGUGUGACGAGGGAAUCAGAGCGGAAGACCUCGAAGACCCCGGAUACUUAGCUGACCAAGGCAAGCAACCCUUUGACCAUGACUGAGCAUAUGUUACUUUGCAUGUUAAAAUAUCAAGUAUUCCCGUUGCAUAUGAUCAUAAGUGCCGGUAAUCAUUUGAUAUGAUUUUACCGAAGGCUCCUCCGGAGUAUUUUGCAUUGAGCUUGACUCUACCCCUUGAGGGUCAUGCUAAUACCAUGUUGACAAGUAAAGAUAGAAGUAGUAGUAUCAUGAGCAUGAUUUUUUCAUAAGACAAGAGUUUAUGAAAACCCCAUCGGGUGCCACUAGUGCCCGAGGGUGAUGAUGAGUUAGGUGGUCACUUUUGGUGAAGUGAUGCACCCGGUAUUUGUCUCGGUAUGGUUUCGGAAUUGGGAUUAGAUUUAUGAUGUGUCGACCGUCCCAACCUUACCAGUACGACCACGUUACCCCUUAUGGGACGAGGCUAUGUUAAUUACUUUGGUCGGUGCUAGCAAAGAGCCACAUUACUAGUGGCGGGAGUGAUGUGUGGUCACUCUCGUGAUGGGGUCGUGCCGGGUAGGACGACUAUGCCAUUUUUAUGAGUUCUAGUCACACCGUUGGUCCCCGCAUGGUUGGUACAGUCUAGAGUAAGUGCUCGUAAGACGUACAACAUGUGGGCUGGGUACCAAUCAAUUGGACCUCUUUGUCUAGUAUCGUCAAGGGAAAGGCAUUGAUCGGGUACUUACCUCGGGUAUGUGAUAUACCGUGAGUCGUGGAUGACACGGAAGUUUCCCGGAUCUCGUGGGUCCAGCGUACUACCUCUCGAGAGUGUAAACUAUUCGAAUAGCCGUGUCCACGGUCGAGGACAGUUGGGUAAUCCUGUUUAAACUACGUCCAGUUAUUUCCGCAUAAACCAAGUGUGCGUGAGUGUGUGUGUGGUGAUGAGAAAGGUGUUUCUAUGAUAGCAAUGAUAUGACCAAGUUCGGUGACUUGGCAUAUAGGGUGAACCCGGAUGGUUUAGCCCUCGGUAGAUAUAUUGAUAUGUGUAACCUGUUCUUCAAGAGUAAUUCUUUAACUUGAUGCAUAUUCAUGAUCAUUCCACCCAGAUGAGUUACACUAGAGAUGCAUGAUAUUGUUAUCCUUCACUUUCGUUGAUUAUAUCACGGGUUGUUUGCGAGUACAUUCAAAGUACUCAUUGGCUUGCCACUGGUUUUGUUAUUGACCAGGCAUGGAAGGACCGGAGUUUGGAGAUGAGUACGUCUUCGGAGACACCCUUCCGAACUAGGACGCUUCCGAGUCAGAAUGCCUGUCGGUGUAGGGUUGAUGGCAUGGGCACCCGCUUAGCCCCUUUGUUUUCCGCUAUUAGUGUACUCGUGUGAUUUGGCCUUAGGCCGUGUCUUGUGAACUUGACCCUUCGAUCACGUGUUGUAAUAAUCGGUACUUGGAUGUAAGACUCUUUAUUCAAUAUCUGUGUUCGGUGAGCAUUGAUCUCUGUGAUCACUGAGCACGGUGAUUCUCGACUAGUAAGUCGGGGUCCCCACACACUUCCCCUUAAACUUGGAAGUAGCCAGGCUAGCACUCUCCUCUUGAACAGGCCCCUGCGAUUGACUUAGGCUAUUUGCCUGAGAUGUACUGUAACACUUCGUGCUUCCAUGACUAGGUUCGUCCUAUGCUCCUGAUGAGCACAACUGUCACCUCCUGAGAUCCAAAACAUAACCAGAGGAAAACACGAGAGUAAACGAUGUGCAUAAGUCAACAAGAAACCAAGAAAUGGGAGAAAAAGGUGAUGAAAUAGUAGGAAUGAAGUGCACAUGUCAUCCCAGAGCGGUAGUACUGCUACCAGGAGUGGGUACCGCCCAAAAGAGUGGUAGUACCGCUCAGGGCAGAGAUCGUGGGGUGAAAACCACCACUGGUCAGAUCUGGUACUUGCGGGGAUGUCACAAUCACCAAAUUCCUACGAGAACAACAAGUCUACUCCCUAGACACCUUCUACACCCUACUCAUGCCGCGAACCAGGCUAAAACAAGGGAUACAACUCAUAUUUCCCACAACCAAUAUUGAAAAAUAGACCAAACGAAGAGAAGAACGGCGACAAUACCAGUAUCCAUGGCAAGAGGAAGGGGUGGGGAUCGAUUCCUCCUGUUGGAAUCACGAAGGAACGAUUGAAAUCAGAGAUCGGCAGCGGCCAUUGGAGCCUUUGGAUCACCUGGAGAGAGAAACCCACGAGGAGGAGUAGGUAUGAAUGGGUAUGGGGAGUGGAAACUACCCCUGUCCGUGCCCCAUAACCCCUUGUGGAGUCACGUAAGCGGUAGUAUCGCUCGCGGAGCGAUAGUUCAGCCCGAUGGUACUACCACUGCGACCUGCGGUACUACCUCUUAUCAUCGGUAGUAUCGCUCGGGGCAAUGGUAGUACCUCCCCAGACAACCAAAAAAAGAAGCAAAGAAGCAUAUUUUUGGCAUGAGACUUUAAAACACUGUCACGAUGAUGGUGAGACUCCAAGUUGUGAACAAAUAAAAUAGAGAGAAAUCAACUUGGAGUGACACAAAAGAAAUACAACAUGCCCUCAAGAUGCAAAUGCCUCAAGUAGGAGGGGGCGUGGCCGAAGCCACCUAUGUUUGAGUCAAUUGGUAUGGCACCGCAAAGAUUUUAACCUUGGGCUCAAGACCAAAACUCGGCUUUGAAGCACAAGUGUCAUCUAAAAUGACUAAUGUGAAAGGCUUGAUCGAUUUAUGCAUAAUAGGGGGAGGGGGAGUUCAUUGAGAGGACAAUGCCCCCCCUAAAUCCAUGCUUGUAUCUAAAAAAGAUAGUAUGAUGAGACUCGUGGGCUAUGCGUAAUUUCAAUUCACAUUGCUCAAAUAAAUGAUACUUAGCUCAUGUCUUAACUUGUGAAAUCUAGCUUAAUUCAAUGGCUUCCUGAAAAUGUUUGCAAGUUGAUCAUUAGUGUUAAGGUAAUUAAGACCAAUUUCCCCACGCUUGAUAUGAUCCUUAAAGAAAUGGUGACGAAUACUAAUGUGCUUCGUCUUGAAGUGUUGAACCAGGUUGUUGGAGAUCAAGAUAGCACUUGUACUAUGACAAUAAAGAGGCACUUUGUCACAAGUGACACCGUAAUCCUUUAAAGUUUUACUCAUCCAAAGCAAGUGAGCACAACAACUUGCAGCAGCGACAUACUCGACCUCGAUGGACGAGGGAGAAAUACAAUUUUGUUUCUUUUAAGACCAACUUACGAGAGAGAGCGACCAAGAAAUUGGCAACCUUCGGAAGUUGAGUUCCUCUCCAUACGGCCACCCACACAAUCCGAAUCCGAGUACCCUAUGAGAUCAAAUGAAGCACCUUUGGGAUACCAUAAGCCAAAAUUUGGGGUAUGAGACAAAUAUUGAAAUAUUCGCUUGACCGCUACAUAGUGACUUUCCUUAGGUGAGGAUUGAAAUCAUACACAAAUUCCCACAUCAACAUAAUAUCCGGUCUAGAUGCACAAAGGUAAAGCAAAGAGCCAAUCAUAGAGCGAUAUAACUUUUGUUCCACAACUUUACCAUUGUGAUCAAGGUCAAGAUGGGACUUGAGAGGCAUGGGAGUGUUUGCCUUGGCCUGUUUGAGAUCAUCCAUCUUGAACCUCUUGAGCAUGUCUUAGGUAUAUUUUUCUUGAUUGAUGAAGAUUCCUUGACUUUGUUGCUUGACUUCAACUCCAAGGAAAACCUUCAACUGUCCAUCAUAGACAUCUCAAAUUAUUUGGUCAUUAGUGCGAUAAACUCUUCAUUGAAAGCUUUGUUAGGAGAACCAAAAAUAUUAGCAUCAACAUAUAGUUGGCAUAUGUACAAACUCCCUUCGACCUUCUUAGUAAAAAAGGUGGGGUCAAUUUUCGCAAUUUUGAACCGACGAUCAUGUAACAUCUCUGUAAGGUCCUCAUAUCACGCUCAUGGGGCUUGUUUCAGGACAUAGAGUGCCUUAUCGAUUACAUAAACAUGAUUGGGGAACUUGGGAUCUGAAAGUGCGUUAUAUCGACUAAAGGGGGUGGGUGAAUAGGCGUUUUUACAAAUUUAUCAUUGAGGAAAUUCCAAGUGAGGAAAGUCCUCAAUCGUGAACUGAGUGCACAGGAAUAAGUAUUCAAACUGAUAUGCCAAAGGGACUAUAGCUUAGUUCUCAGAGUGAGUUGUAGUGUUCAGUUUACACAAGUCGCGUGAACAGGAUAAGAAGGUGAUGAAUAACUUGAGUGAAGAAUUUGAGGUGAGGAAUUCAAAGAAAGUGUUGAGUAAAAUUCUUCAAACGGUACACAUCAAAGUCAUCAACAUGCAAUUGAGGAAAUGAAUGAGUUGAAUAAAUAGAAACCGUAGUUCGAUGAAGACAAUAAUUUGAUGACCCAAUUUCUACACCUAUGACAGUCGUACAUCUGGUUUGGAGCGGCUUGGUAUUCAAACCAAAGGACAUACAGUCCCGGGACACACAGUCUCUACCCUAUUCGCCUUGAGCUAAGGACACACUGUCCUCGCCUAACACUCUUGGUAAGUCUUCAGGGCAAACUUCUAAACCCUCACAAACUCGGUCACCUGGCGAACCAUAAUUUACUGCUAGAUGCUCUAGAACAUUGACGCCUAACCGUAUGGAGGAUGCUUAGUCCUCAAAGGUAACAAGCAUCGGUUCAACACAUGAACAAUCCCUUAAGUGAUGCUCAAUCACUUUGGGUUUUGGUUUUGGUUUGGGUGUUUGGGGUUUUUUCAUCACCUGAUGAUUUUCGCUCAAAGUCCUCGAGGAUAGGGUUGCACUAAAUUACAAUUGUUAGUUUCUCCCGGAGAAGCCAACCUACUAGUGUUGUUGUAGGGGGUGGCUAUUUAUAGCCGGGGAGCAUCCGAACAUGAUUCGACAUUACUUCCCCCAAUGAUAUGACCGUUGAGUGGAUAAGAUUGGGGACAGGUGGCGUGCGACACGACAAUAGUUGGAUCUUUAAACUAUGAAAGUCCUCAUGUCUCUCAUGUUCCUCACUCAUAGGCAGUUCGUGUUGGAAAUAUGACCUAGAGGCAAUGAUAAAUUAAGUUAUUAUUAUAUUUCCUUGUUCUUAAUAAUCGUUUAUUAUCCAUGCUAGAAUUGUAUUGAUUGGAAAUUCAAAUACAUGUGUGGAUACAUAGACAACACACUGUCCCUAGUGAGCCUCUAGUUGACUAGUUCGUUGAUCAAAGAUGGUCAAGGUUUCCUCGCCAUAGACAAGUGUUGUCACUUGAUAACGGGAUCACAUCAUUGGGAGAAUGAUGUGAUGGACAAGACCCAAACUAUAAACGUAGCAUAUGAUCGUGUCAGUUUAUUGUUACUGUUUUCUGCAUGUCAAUGUAUCUGUUCCUAUGACCAUGAGAUCAUGCAACUCCCGGAUACCGGAGGAAUACCUUGUGGGUUAUCGAACGUCGCAAUGUAACUCGGUGACUAUAAAGGUGCUCUACAGGUAUCUCCGAAGGUGUCUGUUGGGUUGGCAUGGAUCAAGAAUAGGAUUUGUCACUCCGUGUGAUGGAGAGGUAUCUCGGGGCCCACUCGGUAAUACAACAUCACAAUAAGCCUUGCAAGCAAUGUGACUAAGAAGUUAGUCACGGGAUCUUGUAUUACAGAACGAGUAAAGAGACUUGCCGGUAACGAGAUUGAACUAGGUAUAGAGAUACCGAUGAUCGAAUCUCGGGCAAGUAACAUACCGAAGGACAAACGGAAUAGUAUACGGGAUUAUAUGAAUCCUUGACAUAGAGGUUCAACCAAUAGAGAUCUUCGUAGAAUAUGUGGGAGUCAGUAUGGACAUCCAGGUCCCACUAUUGAUUAUUGACCGGAGAGUGUCUCAGGUCAUGUCUGCAUAGUUCUCGAACCCGUAGGGUCUGCACACUUAAGGUUCGGUGACGUUUUAGUGUAGUUGAGUUAUAUGUGUUGGUGACCGAAGGUUGUUCGGAGUCCCGGAUGAGAUCACAGACGUCAAGAGGGUUUUCGGAAUGGUCCGGAAUAUAAGAAGUUGGUGUUUGGAUUCCGGAAGGUUUUCGGGUAUUGUCGACAGUGUACAUGGAAUGGCGAAUGGGUUCUGGGGCCCAUUGGGUGGGCCCACCACACCCCAAGGGUUCCACAUGGGUUUAUUGGAUGCGAAAUAAGGCAUAAUGGGCUGACAAAGUCAUUCAAGGAAAGCCCAUGAGGAAACAGUGGAAAAUCAAAAAGAGGUGGGAAUUUAAGGAAGGAGUCCUAAUCCAAGUGGAGUUGGAGGAGGACUCCUCCCUCCUCUAGUUAGGCCGACACAAGGGAGCCUCCCUUGCGGCGCCAAGGCUGCCCCCCUCCUCCUAUAUAUACUAGAGGUUUAGGGCUUUUUGAGACACAACUUUGCCACGUGCAACUCAAACCUAUACCACGUCGUUCUUCCUCUAGAUCGAAUUUCUGCGGAGCUCGGGCGGAGCCCUGCAAGAGUAGAUCAUCACCACCACCAGCGCACCGUCAUGCUAACGGAGAACUCAUCUAAUUCUCUGGCUCUCUUGCUGGAUCAAGAAGGCCGAGAUCGUCAUCGAGCUGUACGUGUCCUGAACGCGGAGGUGCCAUCCGUUCGGCGCUAGAUCGGAACGGAUCGUGGGACGACGGUGAUUUGAAUCACGAAGCUAUACCACUACAUCAACCGCGUUUCUUAACACUCACCGCUUAACAAUCUACUAGGGUAUGUGGAUCUAAUCUCCCUCUCGUAGAUGAACAUCACCAUGAUAGGUUUUCGUGUGCGUAGGAAAUUUUUUGUUUCCCAUUCAACGUUCCCCAACAGUUCGGACUGGCGAAAUCCUAACUUCUGAGUUAGUGAAAUUUCUUCAGCGACCAGAAGAACUUCGUCUCUCUCAUUGAAGACUUUGACUAAUCUAUGAGAGAUUUUCAAAUGCUUCACUUGAAGGAUUUGGUAUUUGUAGGCUUUGAGUUGAGCAUCAUGAGGAAAUCUUUCCUUAGUAUUACCUCGACCCCCUUUAACAGUACGGUGUUUCUUUGACUCGAGAUAGAAUAAAAUGAAACAAAAAGAGUAAAUCUUCAAGCUUCAAAGUCUUCAGGGCAUUUUCUUUGUGAUACACCAAAUUCCUCAUAUUAAAGUCUUCAUGAGGAAUAUCAAUUUCUUCGCUAUCAAAGUCUUCACCCAAAGACAUACAUUUUUAGGGGUCUAUAUUCUUCGAAUAACUCAAAUCCCUCAGCGACUUAUAGGUCCUGUGUACACUCACAAACAUAUUAGUCUCUCAACCUAUAAGUCUUCAAUCCAGCAAAAUCACUAAGGGGCACUAGAUGCACUUACAAUCUCCCCCUUUUUGGUGGUCGAUGACAAAUAGGUUAAGUUUCCAACGAGGAUACAAAUAUGAAGUGUAAGUACAAAGUUUGAGGAAUUUGAUUGCAAGAUAUAGCGAACCCCCCCUGAAGAUGUGCAUAUAUGAGGAAUUUGCUUUGAACUGCAAAUACGAUUGAGGAUUUAUACCAUGGAGAUAUCCCACUAUAUCUUGUAAUUCAUACAUGUAUUUAAAAUAUAUAAUGAUGAAAAAUGGUGUCUGACGAAUUUGAGCAUGCAGGCAUUUAAUCAACUUGAGGAAUAAGCAUGCGAGGAAAAAACAUUAAAAAGUGUCAUACCACCACCGGGCUUAAGUUACAACUCAUUACAACAAAAACUUCAGAAGAACGAGAGUUUGUAACUUAAUAAAGUUUAUAAUAGCCCAUAAAGCAGACCUGCUUGAAGACUAACUCAGAUUUCUCCCCCUUUGUCAUCAAGUGACGAAAAGGGAAGAAAUUGAGAACUAACACCCUUGAAGAAUAGCACUUCUUUGUUUGAGGAGGAGCAUUGGGGUCGUUCGUCACAGUAGUGUCAUCAAGGUCUUUAGCUUCAUUCGUGGUGCGCGUUGAAGAAAUGAGCUGGCCACGAGUUGAGGAACAUGAAUCUUCUUGCAAAUUCUUCUUUGGAGGCCAGGACCAGUCAAAGUCUUGGUGGAAUUCCAUUUCAGUGAGUUCCUUAGGAGUCUUGAGGUGAGAUAGAGUGGCCCAUGUGCGGUGAAAGAUCUCAUGAAGAUAAUAGUGAUUUUUAUUCACUGCAUUCCGAGUGGCAUUGAGGUGUUUCACAAUGGCACCAAACUGAUGCUUGACCCAUUUCUGGUUGCCUUCAACCUUCUGAUGAAUACUGAGCAGGAACUCAUGGUCAGUCAUCUCACGCGGUAUAGCUGGGUUUGGAGGUUCUUGUGAUUCAUUGUCUUCAUUGGUGGAGUAUGAUGGUGCCUUGCGAAAUUGGCCAUCAAGGGGCCGAGUUCCUUCAUCGAUCACAAACUUUCCUUUGUCUUCGAUUUCUUCGAAGGAACACUUGACGACUUUAAUUGGAGGCAAGUAAGUGUGGUUAUUCACAAUGUCAGCCUUGUAAGAAAUUCCACACCUUUUCCAAAUGAAUUGCAUGAUCCAUGGCGCAUAAGGCUUCAAAUCAAAUGGUGAGAGAGCAGAGUGGGACAAAGUUCUCAUUAAGAAAUCAUGAAGAUUUAUGGGGAUUCCAUGUAUGAUGUCGAAGAACCAAUUCGUCAUGAUGCCCACAAUUUCUUCAUCAUUUGAGUCAUGGCCCUUGAUUGGACAGAAGGUUUUGGCUAAGAUGCGGUAUACAGUCGUGGGCACAUAGAUAAAGUCCUUUGCAAGAAAUGUGGUUCUUGGUGGCUGAUGGGGUUAUAGUCCUAGGGUAGGGUCAUAGGCCUGCCCUGUAGGUCCUACCCAAGGACUACCCCUCAUAAGGGACAAGGCCCUUAGUCAGUUCCGACUGAACUAAGGAGUUCCCAUCGUCCAGUCGGUAACAGGUCCUCGACCAUCCAGCCGGAGACUAGCAUUCGGAGUAUAUCAAACUAACCGACUGGGUUCCACUCUGUGCAUCGUAACCCCCGUGGAGGGAAACGGUCGUACGUUUCCAUGUGCCUUUAUUAGCAUUUAAGACGUACGUUACCUGUAACGUAGGCAUUUAAUCGCCACUACUCCACCCUGUACACCAGACCGUUGUGGAGGGCAGCGCACUCUAUAUAAGCCACCCUCCCCCACUGGUGCAGGGGUUAGCAUUUCACUGUAUUCUAUAUUCCACUCGACAACAAGCUCCCUGAGCACUGAGACGUAGGGCUAUUACCUCCACCGCAGAGGGGCCUGAACUCAUACAACCUCACCGUAGCUAAGGCUCUGCCCAUCCUUUCGUACCCUACACAUCUACUCUCAGGCUUAUACCCACGACAGUUGGCGCCCACCGUGGAGCAGGCGUCUAAGCGACUUCCGGCGAGUUUGCGACUACAUCAUUUCGUCAUGUCGUCCAGUGGAGAUUCGAGCAUGGGUCACGCGAUCUUCUUCGGCGCUCUCUCCUUCAUCGUCGAUGAUUCGGCAUGGCUUCGGGACGCCCCUCUCGAUGUCGAGGCGCUUCCCCGCCGCGGGGCUACGCACUUCUGUGCCAGCGCCCGCGACAUUCUUCUUCUCCAGCAGUCGGCUCUGGUGUCGACCUACACCACCGUCACGCGCCGCAACAAGCGGUCCCGCCGUCCGCGGCUCCAGCGUUGGGUGCAACACGCCCAGGCGCGCCAGAACGCGUCUUCACAAGUGGUGGUUCUAGAGUCAGUUGUGGUUGCCCCGCCGUCCCACCGCUCGGACUCGGUUCCGACUGAGUUUCCUUCCGAGUAGGCGGGUCGCGGGCCUGUAGCAGAAGUACACAUGGCCAACUCCCAUGAAGAUCCCCGUCAAGCUGGCCGGAAUGAGCACGAGAUCGGCGAAACAUCCGACGCGCAUCGUCCACCUCGCCGUUCUGCCAGUCGGCACACUCGGCGGAGCAACGUGGAGUUGUUCCGCACACCCCUCCUCAACUUGGCUGCGGCUGCCAAGAUAGCCGAUUCCCUUCAGCCGACUGAUUCAGAGGCUGGCAGGGGGAUCGAGCAAAUCCGUGCCCUGUUGCACACGGCGCAGCAGCAAAAUUCGGCGGUCUCCCACUCGCACAACAGGAUCCACAAUAGUUCUGUUCAUGCAAAUACGCAUCGGUCAGUUCAUAGCCCUGGUUCUCAUCAGCGACAUAGAGGAGGCAACCGUUCCAUAAAUCCCGAAGAUCGUCGCCGUUCACGCACCCCUCCGCGGGGUGGGCCCUACGCGCCCCGACAUCAUGAUGAUCAGCGUUCAGUCGGUGGCACUUACGACCCAAGGCCCGAUGCGAGAGGGCAUAUCGCCCAGCGGAGGGUCGACAGGGGCCGAGCCCACCGUGAUGGUUACGAUAUUGACCGUCCGAGUGGAAGCAGGACCAUGGUUUCUGGUCCCGAGUGUUUCAGUCGAGCCAUCCGUUCGGCUGACAUCCCUCCCAACUUCUGAUUGGCAACGGGAAUUAGCAAGUUUAUAGGAGAGUCCAAGCUAGAAACGUGGCUGGAUGAUUACCGAGUGGCAGUCCAGAUUGGAGGAGGAGACGAGCAUGUCGCCAUGAAGCACCUCCCUCUGAUGCUCGACGGCUCGACGCGAGCGUGGCUGAACCAGUUGGCCCCCUCAAGCAUCUACAGCUAGGCAGAUCUGGCCCGAGUGUUCAUCAGGACCUUCGAAGGGACGUGCAAGCGCCCUGCUGGCCUCGUGGAGCUCCAGCACUGCGUCCAGAAGCAUAAUGAGCCCCUACGGGAUUUCAUUCAGCGUUGGACAACCCUCUACCACACGGUGGAGAACGUCACAGAGCAUCAAGCAGUCUGCGCCUUCAAGGCAGGCGUGCGGUACAGGGAUCUGUGCCUGAAGUUCGGCUGAACAGGCGACAUCUCCAUGAGCAAGAUGAUGGAGAUAGCAACACGCUAUGCAAAUGGCGAAGAAGAGGACCGCAUCCGAAGCGGCAAGCACAAAAUAGUCGCCGAUGGAGAUGGGAGUAACACUCGGAAGCAGAAGCAGAAAGCUCCGUCCACUCCGCAGGCAGAAGCUGCAGCCAUAACCAAUGCCAAGUUCAAGGGCAAAGGGAAGGCUCAGUUCACCCCCAAGAAGAAGCAGUUCAAUAACCCCAUCCUGGACCAGGCAUGUCCGGUUCAUUCGAAGAUGGAUGAAGAGGGCAACCCCAUAUAUGCGAAGCAUACCACUCUACAGUGUCGCCUCCAGAUCCAGGGGUUCAGCGAAGGGCAACCGAGUGAAAAGGACAAUGAACAGGCUGAGGAGGAGAAGGAGGAUCCGUUCCCCCAAGUCCAUGCAACACUGAUGAUUUUUGCUGACGUUGAGAGCAAGAGUCGACUGAAGCUGGUGAAUAGGGAGGUGAACAUGGCCACCUCUACCAACCCCAAGUUCCUCAAAUGGUCUCAGACUGCGAUCAUGUUUGACCAGUCGGAUCAUCCAGCACACGUACCCACCCCAGGGAGACAGGCUCUGGUCGUCGACCCGGUGGUGGAGGGAGUCCGACGGUGCAAAGUUCUCAUGGACGGCGGCAGUGGCUUGAACAUCAUGUACACCGACACUCUCAAGGGGAUGGGCAUUCCGAUGUCCAAACUCAGCGAGAGCAGCAUGCAGUUCCAUGGAGUCGUCCCUGGACGAAAGGCGAAGUCACUCGGCCAGAUCGCGUUGGACGUCGUUUUCGGCUCCGACAAGAACUUCCACAAGGAAAAGCUGACGUUCGAGGUGGCAGACUUCCAGAGCGCUUACCACGCAAUUCUAGGCCGCCCGACGUAUGCGCGUUUCAUGGCCCGUCCAUGUUACGUAUACCUGAAGCUGAAGAUGCCAGGCCCGAAAGGUGUGAUCACCAUCACUGGCAAUCGACAGUGAGCCGAAGAGUGUCUGCAGCAGGGAUCAAGAAUCGCCGACCAGCAGAUGGCCGUCCUCGAGCUUGACGAGUACAAGAAAACAGUCGACCCCGCUGAUUUGAUGCGUUCGAGGAAACCAGCUUCGGAGUCCGCAUUUCAGUCGGCGAGAGAGACGAAGAAGGUCAACAUCCACCCGACGGACGACACUGCUGCCCCGACGAACAUCUCCACCACCCUCGAUCCUAAAUAGGAAUCCGAGCUCACCCAAUUCCUCCGUGAGAACUCGGACAUCUUCGCAUGGAAACCCUCUGACAUGCCAGGUGUACCCAGGGAGUUGGGUGAGCACCGAUUGCAUGUGGAUCCCACCGCUCGGCCUGUCCGAGAAUGCCUGCGUCGGUCCGCCGCGCACAAGAGGAAGGCAAUCGGGGAAGAGGUGGCCAAGCUGUUGGCAGCCAACUUCAUUCGCGAGGUUCACCACUCCGAGUGGCUCGCCAAUGUUGUCAUGGUGCCCAAGAAGGACAAGUCGCUCCGAAUGUGCAUCGACUUCAAGCACCUCAAUAAGGUCUGCCCGAAAGACCAUUUUCCGCUCCCCCGCAUCGAUCAAAUUGUCGAUUCGACUGCGGAUUGCGAGCGUUUGUCAUUUCUUGAUGCCUACUCGGGCUAUCAUCAGAUCCGUCUGUAUGGCCCCGAUGAAUUAAAAACAGCCUUCAUCACCCCGUUCGGGUGCUUCUGCUACAUCACUAUGCCAUUCGGUUUGAAGAAUGCAGGAGCUACCUUUAUGCGCAUGAUCCAAAAAUGCCUCCUCGACCAAAUCGGUCAGAAUGUGGAGGCGUAUAUGGAUGAUAUCAUAGUCAAGUCACGCAAAGGUUCCGACCUGCUGACCGACUUGGCAGAAACAUUCGCCAACCUUUGUUGGUACGAUAUCAAGCUCAAUCCCGCCAAGUGUUCAUUCGGUGUUCCCAGCGGAAAGUUACUCGGUUUCUUCGUUUUCGAACGAGGGAUCGAUGUCAACCCCGAAAAGCUCGGAACCAUCGUCCGAAUGGAGAGGCCGGUCAGAAUACACAAUGUUCAAGGGCUCACAGGUUGCCUAGCGGCUUUGAGCAGGUUUAUCAGUCGACUCGGCGAGAAAGCACUUCCUCUGUACCGACUCAUGAAGAAAUCAGAUACUUUCGAGUGGACAGAUGAAGCCCAAGUUGCAUUCGACGACCUCAAAGUCCUACUUUCCACCCAGCCGGUUCUUACUGCUCCGCUCAGUAAAGAGCCCCUUCUUCUGUAUAUUGCGGCUACAAAUCAAGUCGUCAACACUGUUCUUACAGUCGAACGAGAAGAAGAAGGCAAAGUAUACAAAGUUCAGCGGCCAGUGUAUUACGUCUCCGAAGUCCUGACUCCUUCCAAGCAGAGGUAUCCCCACUAUCAAAAACUUAUCUACGGGAUUUACAUGACUGCGAAGAAGGUGGCCCAUUAUUUCCAAGACCACUCGGUGUCUGUCGUUUCUGAUGCUCCGUUGUCGGAAAUCCUCCACAAUCGGGACGCAUCAGGCCGAGUGGCGAAGUGGGCAAUGGAGAUGUUGUACUGCGAUAUCAAGUUCGAGGCCAAGAAAGCUAUAAAGUCUCAAGCUCUGGCUGACUUCAUAGAAGAAUGGGUAGAACAACACCAACCGACCAACAUCUACUCGGCUCAUUGGACAAUGUUCUUUGAUGGGUCCAAGAUACUGAAUGGCUCCGGCGCUGGCGUUGUGAUCGUAUCACCAAAGGGCGACAAAAUCAAGUAUGUGCUGCAGAUACACUUUGAUUCCUCCAACAAUGAGGCAGAGUAUGAAGCUCUCCUUUAUGGAUUGCGCAUGGCCAUCGCACUCGGCGUCCGUCGCUUGAUGUAGUAUGGCGAUUCGGAUUUGGUGGUUAAUCAAGUGAUGAAAGAGUGGGACGUCAGGAACCCCACCAUGACCGCAUACUGCAAUGCAGUGAGGAAGCUUGAGAAGAAGUUUGAAGGUCUAGAACUCCACCAUGUUCCGCGACUGAAGAACCAAGCAGCUGAUGAGUUGGCAAAACUCGGAUCCACUCGGAGACCAGUCCCGAGUGAUGUCUGCCUCGAGCACCUCCACCUCCUUCAGUCAAAGAAGAUCCUUUCACAGAGGAACCAGUACAACCAAAGAGCUCGACAGAUCCGACUAAAGUCGACGUACCUGCUGUGGUUGAUCUGAUCAUGGAGAUUCUUGCUGUCACCCCCGAUUGGACUGUGCCGAUCAUUGCAUAUAUCCUGAGGCAGGAAUUACCAGAAGACGAAGUCCAAGCCAGAUAGAUAGUCCGCAGGUCGAAGUCAUUCACUGUCAUUGAUGGUCAGUUGUAUAGGAAAAGCGUUUCAGGCGUUCUUCAACGAUCCAUCUCCUCAGAGGAGGGAAAGUUGAUCCUGGAAGAAAUUCACUCGGGAACCUGCGGUCAUCACGCCUCUUCGAGAGCAAUCGUCGCCAAAGCAUUCAGAGCUGGUUUCUUCUGGCUACAGGCGAACGAAAUGGCUAAAGAUAUGGUCGACAGAUGUGAAGGCUGUCAGUUCUACUCCAACAAGUCCCACAAGCCAACAUCUGCAUUGAAGACAAUCCCUCUUGUGUGGCCAUUUGCAGUAUGGGGAUUAGAUACAGUUGGUCCAUUCAGGACAGGCCAAGGAGGAUAAACACAUCUAUUGGUGGCAGUCGACAAGUUCACAAAAUGGAUUGAAGCCAAGCCCAUCAAGAAGCUCGACGCCCUAACCACCAUCAAGUUUGUCAGGGACAUCAUCUCCCGAUUCAGGGUACCUCACAGCAUAAUCACACACAACGGAACAAACUUUGACUCGGACAGAUUCAAAGGUUUCUGUGCAAGCCAAGGUAUCCGAGUGGAUUUUGCAUCCGUGGUGCAUCCUCAAUCAAACGGACAAGCAGAGCGGGCAAAUGGACUUAUUCUGCAAGGUUUGAAGCCUCGACUCCUGCGAGAGGUGGGACAUGCCGCUGGCGCAUGGGUCACCGAACUGCCUUCAGUGCUUUGGGGUCUCCGCACAACCCCAAACAGAUCUACAGGGCGAUCACCGUUCUUCCUCGUUUACGGAGCAGAAGCAGUCCUUCCGAGUGACUUGCUUCACAAUGCUCGACGAGUCGAACUCUUCUCCGAAGGUGAAGCAAAACAAGCAAGGCAAGACGGAGUAGACCUUCUAGAGGAGGAGCGCGAGAUGGCACUGACUCGCUCAACUAUUUAUCAACAAGAUCUGCGGCGUUUUCACGCACGACACGUCAGGAGUCGCACGUUCCAAGAAGGCGACCUAGUGCUCCGAGUGGAUCAGCAAAUACCUCACAAGUUGGCUCCUGCCUGGGAAGGACCCUUCAUCAUCUCCAAGGUGCUGAACAACGGAGCAUACAGACUCUACAACAUCGACAGAGAGACAGACGAACCAGGAGCAUGGAACGGAGAUCUCCUGAAGCGCUUCUACACGUGACCGUCGACUCAAGCAAUGUAAAGAACAAGUAUUGGUGAAAUAACAUAAAGCAGAUUGAGCUUUUGCAGAUUCAAAGUUCUUCCGCGGUCGCAGACUCCGGUCUAAAAAAAACCUAAGUAUUAACUUUCUUCGAGUGUGCACUUAACGUCACACUCGAGGACUUAGCUGCGAUCCAGAAUCGCCUAAGUAUUAACUUUUCCGAGUGCGCACUUAACGUCACACUCGGGGACUUAGCUGCGAUCCAGAAUCGCCUAAGUAUUACCUUUCUCCGAGUGUGCACUUAACGUCACACUCGGAGACUUAGUCGCGAUAACGAAUCGCCUAAGCACUCAGAUGCCUUCGACUGUGUCCUACAGAUACACUCGGGGACUCAACAGAACCUCAUUGAGGCUCAUGUGGAUGUCAAAACAACUGAUAAUUACAUGAGUAGCAGAACCUCAUUGAGGCUCAUGUGGAUGUCAAAACAACUGACAAUUACAUGAGUAGCAGACCCUCAUUGAGGCUCAUGUGGAUGUCAAAACAACUGACAAUUACAUGAGUAGCAGAACCUCAUCGAGGCUCAUGUGGAUGUCAAAACAACUGACAACUACAUGAGUAACAACUCACCCCGAGUGCGACCUGAUAGUCGCACUCGACAACUUCGCUGCGAUCCCGUAUCGCCCAAGUAUUCUAUGACCUUCGAGUGUGUCCUACAAAUACACUCGGUGAUCCUACAGAUCCACUUGGUGAUCCUACAGAUCCACUCGGAGAUUUUACAAGACCCUGAGUGAGGCUCAUGCAGAUGUCAAGACAACGCAUGUUUGCCUUUGGAUUCACCAAGAAACGCCAAACAAAAACACGAGUCAAAAUCGUCUCAACAACUCUUUGGCAAAAGAAGAGCAAAAGAUUCGAUUCAAAUUCAAAGUUCACAUAAAGAUAGUUGGCCCGGUGUGGAUCAAGCUUAUCCACACCGAACCAAGAAUGUGACGGCCAACAGCAGUGGCCAAAGUUUCUUACAAAUCAACACUCGGCAUACCGAGGAUAAAGUUUUCUCAAACACCGUCGGGACUGGCAGGCUCUACGAAUGUGUCCAGAUCGAUGCCGUCGGCGAUGCGAGUGGCGCUCUCAAGGAAGGUUUCCAUGGAGUCUUCGAACCGAAGUUUCUUCGUGUUGGCGACCUGCAACAUUUUUAGCUUCUCUUCGCGCACCUCCUUGCAAUGCACUCGGACAAGAGACAGAGUAACGUCUGCGCCACAGCGAGCCGCAGAUUUCUUCCAUGACUGCACUCGGUUUGGGACCUCCUCCAGCCGUGUCAUCAAGCCUUCCAUCUCAUGCCGAGACUCGUCCUCAGGCCAAAGCUCCUUGUCAAUCCGACCGACGACUUCUCUCAGUCGACCGAUGAAAGGCCCAACUUUGCCCAAGCGAAUGUGCGCUCGGAGCAGAUCUCAAUUGGCGUCCUCCCCGAGUGGAAUAUUCUCACGCAUCGACCGCUCCACGUCAGCUGCUUCAGCCUCAGCGUCCAUGCAAAAAUCUGCAAACACAGGACGAGCAAAUAAUAAGCGCCGAGUGAAAAUCUCAUACCACACGCACUCAGAAAAACAGGACUUACCACCCAGACGCGUUAUCAUCUGCUGGGCCCAGUCACUGACGUAUUUUUCCUGCGCUAUACACCGCUUGUUCAGCACAUCGAUUUGUCCCAUUAGCCCGGACCUCUGCGCCUUCAUUUUCUCCACUUCAGCAGUCAACGCCUUGUACGCUUCACGAGCCUGCUCCAAAGACAUCUCUUGUUCCGCCAGAACAUCCUUCAUACCAGCCAUGGCAACCAGUGCCGCAUCCAGUUCACCAGCAAACUGAACCUUUUCAGCCCUGAGAGUCUCGUACGCCGUCCCCAUCUCGCAAGUUUUCUGCCAGCCAACGCCAAGAGACGAUCAGCCAAAUCCAACAAUAAAAAGUCUAAGUUCUUCAGACCCCUGCCGACGCAAGCAGUCGACAGCGGUCUCGGGGACUACACCCAGUGGGUUCACUGAGAGUGACCCCACUGGCAUGAAACUCAAACAGGUCCGCCCUAUUGAGCUACAUGACAACACCUAAGCCUGUGAGGCUACUACUACCCGACCUGAGUAAAAUUACUCUCGGGGACUCAUCCAGUAGGUACACUCCGAGUGCCCCAACUGUCAGCAUUCGAACAGAUUAAUUUGUGAUCUGAUCAAGUCAAAGACAAUGUGUAUAAAGACAACUGCCGGUGCAAGCACUCGACAGAAGUCUCGAGGACUACACCCACUAGGUUCACUAAGAGUGAACCCAUUGCAAAAAUCAUACGAUAUCCGAACACACCCAGUGGGUUACAAGAGAAAAGUAAAUACUUACUAGCCCACUUACUCGGAUAUCGUCCCGCAGUUCCAAGCUUCGCUGGUACAGGGACGCGAUGGAGUCGUACGCCUUCUUGGCUUCUCCCGCCAUUAGCUCCGCCUGCACCAUGGCCCCCUUGGCUGCUCCCACCUGGUCUUCUGGGAGGUUCUGCAGAUUGUACACGAUGUUCCACGGGCCUGGCAUCGUUGAAGGCUCCUUUGGCAUCCCAAGGCCCGCUCCAGUCGAUUCAGCAGUAACCAGCGCCGUUUCAGUCGACGGCAUCGCCUCAGUCGGCGGCACGUCCACGGCGAGAGCAGUAACUAGAGGAGAAGCCUCAAGGACAAGCACCGCAGCUUGCUCAGACCUUCCCUGGUCACCCUCAUCCACAUAAAUCGCCCCUGAGAGAAACCCGACCGAACGGCGUGAGAUCAUAGAAAAAGGGCAAGACCGAAGACAGAAUUCGCGAUGCAAUAAUGUAAACUCUCGGAAUCCCUAUGACGCACCUGGCUGGGACGAGACAACAUUGUCCGUGUCCAUGGGAUCAUCCCCCUGGCGCGCCGGAGAGGUGGCAGAGGUGGCAACCCUGUCGAGUGAAAUUCAUUCGACCAUCAAACAGGAGUUUAAUCGAAUAUCAGAAGAAGUUAGAAGAACAAUGCACUUACGUUGAGGUGACGGGAACGAUGAUCCUCAUCCGCGGCAAAGCCUUCCGAGGUUUAGAUCCGCUCGGUUUGGCCACCAUGGAAGGCUGACCCGCAGGUUCAGCAGCAGCGUCCCUGGUCCUCUUGGCGCUCCGAGCACUCAGGACCACGGGAGCAGUUGGCUGAGCACUCGAGGAUGCUGGAAGGGCCGAGGGAGCUGCAGGUUCAUGUCGGCGCUUCGUUCGAUGCUCUGGCGGCGGGGGUGGCGAGUCCUGCUCUUCGUCUUCCUCCUCUUCUUCGCCAGACUCCUCCUCCAUCUCCCCACUGUCGGAGACGUACUCGACGUUCUCCAUGCUGCCCUCCUGGCUGCCCUCUUCCUCCUCCUCGGCCGGGUUCCCGUUCGAGACAGGGGAGAACCACUUGGUCCACUUCUGCAUAAAAUACAGUCAGUGACAUCAGAUGUCAGAUGGCGAUUCAAGACAGCGAUAAAUCUAAGACAGUUAUGUGCGCUCGACAAGUUGUACUCACCUCGUUCGGAGGAGGGUUGUCUGCGCGGAAAGCCUUCACUCACCGGGACCCUCUGGGGUUCUCACACGCGCCUGUGAUCUUGAGCACCCACGAUGCCACUGUCUGCCAAGUCACGCACUCGACGUUGGUCCGAGUGGAGUCUUCGGGUCCCGUGUAAUGCCACAUGGCGUAGUCUCGGGCCUACAGUGGUUGGAUGCGCCGGCCGAGGAAAACCUCCAGCAAAUCUAUGCCGGUGACUCCCUUUCUGACGACAUCUACGAGUGCGUCGACCAGGGGAUGGAUACGGAUCUUCUCCGCCUUCGUGAGCGCGAGCUGCUUAGGCGGAGCUGGUCGAUCUAAGCUAAAAGGAGGUAGCCCUAUCGUGGUAUUCGGGCAAGCGACGUCCUGGCAGUAGAACCAUGUCGACUGCCAGUUCCUAACCGAUUCACUCAGCUGAAGAGCGGGAUAACUACUUUUGCUCUUAUUUUGGAAGCCUAAACCCCCAUAGAGCUGGAGAAGGUGAGUCUUAUCAUCCGACUGAUUAAGUUGUUUGAUAGUUUGGGACCUAGCAGAGAAGAUAUGUUUGAAAAGCCCCCAAUGGGGAGGACAACCGAUGAAGCACUCGCACAAGACUACGAAAGCAGAGAGAUGGGCGAUGGCAUUCGGGGGAAAGUGGUGGAGCUGCGCCCCAAAGUGGUUCAUUAUGCCUUUGAAGAAAGGGUGCGGGGGCAGGGAGGAACCUCGAUGCACGUGGCUGAGCAGCAGGACGCGCUCCCCCUCCCGAGGCGCCGGCUCGGUCUCACCCUCCUCCGGCAACCUCCAUGACUUGUGCGCGAUCAUCCCGUGCUCCACCAGCUCCAGCAAGUCCUCCUCCGUCAUCGUGGAGGGGAGGAAGUCCCCCUGGAUCCACCCCGCCGGUAGCGUUCGCUGCCUCCGCGCAGGAGCCGCCGCCUUCCCCCUCUUCUUCCGUGCCUCUAGCUUACUAGUCUGCCCCUUGGUCAUGGCGGAAGCUGCGGAUGCGCGAGGGAGAAGGAGAAGGAAGAAGCUUAGAAGGCGCAGAAGAUGGCGAAGGAAGCAGAGCAAAAGCGAGGUGUCCAGCAAGCGUAACGAAAAAACCCUCGCUGCUGGGAUUUAGGUAAGGUUCCGACUGGGCCACUGGCAAGUGGCCCCGAAAUCUUGUCCACCGACCGACCGCGGUGAUAUCAGUGGAGAAGAUGAAGGUGCGAGAAUCGAGGCGUCAGGCGCUACUCGAGCGUGAUGGCGUCAUCCCCGCUGAGCGCGCGAUAACCGAAAUUUGAGGAUCCCGGGAAAUCCGCCGCUGUGAGUUGACUGGUCACGUCAGAAGAUUCCACGGAAGCACUCGGUUUCCGACAGUUUGUUUCGCAACUACUUCCACUCGGAUCAUUGGUCAGAAAAGAUAAAAUGGAUCGAGGCAAGAAACGCCAAAGUUACAUCCGUAUCAGUCGGAUCCAAACUUCAAGCAUCACUUCGUCGUUCCAACCCCAAUCCAUUCGGGGACUAAUGAUGGGGUUAUAGUCCUAGGGUAGGGUCAUAGGCCUGCCCUGUAGGUCCUACCCAAGGACUACUGCUCAUAAGGGACAAGGCCCUUAGUCAGUUUCGACUGAACUAAGGAGUUCCCAUCGUCCAGUCGGUAACAGGUCCUCGACCAAACUAACCGACUGGGUUCCACUCUGUGCAUCGUAACCCCCUGGAGGGAAACGGUCAUACGUUUCCAUGUGCCUUUAUUAGCAUUUAAGACGUACGUUACCUCUAACGUAGGCAUUUAAUCGCCAGUACUCCACCCCUGUACACCGGACCGUUGUGGAGGGCAGCACACUCUAUAUAAGCCACCCUCCCCCACUGGUGCAGGGGUUAGCAUUUCACUGUAUUCUAUAUUCCACUCGCCAACAAGCUCCCUGAGCACUGAGACGUAGGGCUAUUACCUCCACCACAGAGGGGCCUGAACUCAUACAACCUCGCCGUAGCUAAGGCUCUGCGCAUCCUUUCGUACCCUACACAUCUACUGUCAGGCUUAUACCCACGACAGUGUCUGACCUUGUGAGAAAGGCUUCAUGAGGACUUGCAUGAGAUGGUUUGGCAAUUCAGGUUCUUCAGAGAUGCAUCUGUCUCCAUCUAAGAGAAUUGGGACUGAAAGAGCCCAAAGUAAUUCAAUUGCAGGGGCUUUGAAGUGUCUAUCUUGUGUCAUCCAAUCCAAAACCCAAUUGUUGACAUCUGAGACAUCUCCUGAAAGGUGUAGUGUGGCAUAGAACUGAAGAAUGAUUUUUUUCAUUCUAGUCACAGAUGUCGGCGCAGAAUUGCAGGAGUCUAGACUCGUUAACAAGACAAAGAACUGGUUCAUAGGAAGGAAUUACCUCCAUAUCUCCAUGAGGAAUUUGCGUGUGAGGAAAGGCCUUUUUCUUGUUGAAGAGCACAACACUAUAAUAGUUCAUCUGUCCGAGGGCCCAAAAUUUGAUGCGUCGGAGCUAAGGAGAUUCAUAUGGACUGAGGACAGUGAAGUAGUGAUGUUCAUGAAAGAAUUCAGACCUGUCAAACUUCGACCUUUUUUUCCUUUGUAGGGCUGAAUACCUAUUGGUUGAAGAUUUGGCAUCAAGCGGCGACCAAGUCUUCAAAGAUUUUUUGUUUGAGGAAUUUCAGCCACAAUAACUGCAGACAGAGGAUUAUCAACAUGUGGUUCAGUUGUAUUAUCUUCCAUUUGAGGGACAUGUUCAUCAGCAACGCUCUUCUCAGUUUGAUGAAUAUGAUGUGCAUGUUCUUCGGUUUUUGGGGCAACAGUUUCCUCAGUAUCUUCAGCUGAUGCAGCCGAUUCAGUAUCCGGUCAGACUUCAUCGGAGUGCUCUUUCCUUUAGACCCCGUCUGAAUUUCAGUUGGUGUAGGGGACUCAUGUACUUGAGGAAUUGUAGUGGCCAAUGGUGAGUUGGGAUGAGUAUUUUCCCAAAAUUCAUCAUGUAUCACUAUUGUGUUGUAGCCAAUGUCCACAUAUUCAUCCUUUUCUUCAGCAGUCACCUCUGUGUUCUGAACAGGAGGAGUUGAGGAUUGAGUAAUUUGAUUAGCUUGAAUUUCCUCAUCCAUGGGUGUGGAAGCAGUAGAGCGAUUUUCUUCCAUUUCUUCAUCCCCUUCUGGAAUGAUAUAUUCCUCACCAUAGGGCACCAUCACAUAAGAUGGUGCAGCGUUGAUUAGUGUGGCAUCAAUUGGAGCUGUUGAGGAAAUUUCCAAAGUCCUCAUGCAUUUUGGUUCUGAGGACUCUGAAGUCACUCAUGCCUUUCUCUUCUUAGCUUCCUUUUCAGCAGAUUUGGUUUUCUUCACUUCUGAUGCAGAAGGAAGAGUGAUUUUAUUCACAGUUGAAGACCUUGGUGAAGGAGCAUUUUGUUCAUGCAUAGCAUAUUCGUUAGCUGGCCUCGGAGGUUCAUCAGUAGCGGGUUCAUUAUCGCAAUCAUUAGGAAGUUCAAUAGUGUUGUUGGCCUGAGGAAUUGAUGGUUGCGUUGGGGCUGCAACCCUUUUGUUAUACUCUUCUACUACUUCAGUAGCGCUCUUGACGAAUCACACUUUGGAUCCUUUCCUGUCAGCAUGAUACCUUGUGAAUUUCUCACUAAGGGUUUUGAUUCCGGAUUGAGUGGAGACAAGUUGCUCUGGUGUCAAGAUUAGAAGAUUUUGCUGCAAAUACUUCUCCUUUUGAACAAUUGCUUUUUGAGCUUGUUUGGCUUGCUGGGCCUUCCAUUUUUCUUCAUUGAUGGAAGUGUCCACCAUGUGACUAGGUCCACGUGGAAGCUUCAAAUCAUCAAUGGGUGUGUUUGGAUCUUCGUACCAAAGAUCAAUGAAGUCUAGUAUCAUCUUCGGAUCAAGUGCAAGGGGAAUGGUAGUACCUUCUUGAAAGUGCGUUAUAUUGACUAGAGGGGGGGGGGUGAAUAGGCGAUUUUUACAAAUUCAUCACUGAGGAAAUUCCUAGGGAAGAAAGUCCUUAGUCAUCAUAUGAGUGCGACAAAUAUAGCACUUAAUCUGAAGUGCAAAACGUCUACAUCAAAGUACCCAAUGUGAAUUAAAAGAACCGGUUUGCACAGGUCACGAGUACAGGAUAAGCAGGUGAUGAAUAACUCAGCUGAAGAAUUUGAGGUGAGGAAAUCAGAGAAAGUCUUUAGUCAAAUUCUUCAAAUAGAACAGAUGAAAGUCUUCAACAUAGAAUUGAGGAAACGAAAGGUGUUGAGGAAAUAGAACCACUAGCUCGAUGAAGACAAUUGUUGGUGACCCAGUUCCAACCGCUAUGACAGUUGUACGUAUGGUUUGGAGCGGAUUGGUAUUAAAACCUGUAAGUGCAUGUAGUGCCCCUUAGUGAUUUUGGUGGUUUGAAGACUUAUAUGUUUAGUAUCUAAUGUGUUUAUGAGUGUACACAGGAUCUAUAAGUCACUGAGCAGUUUGAGAUAUUUGAUGAAUAUCGACCCCUAAAAAUAUAUAUCUUCGGAUGAAGAAAUUGGUCUGAAGCUGAAGAAUUGAAUCGCGAAGAAUCUGCGAUGAAAUUGAUAUUCCUCAUGAAGAUACUGAAAUUGAGGAGUUCGGUGUGUCCUGAAGAAAAUCAUUUUGAAGACUUUGAAUAAUGAGGAUUUACUCUUUCUGUUUUAUUUUCUUCGCAUUUGAGUAAUAGGAACACCGUACUGUUAAAGGGGGUCGAAGUUACACUUUGGAAUGAAUUUCCUCAUGAUGCUCAACCGAAGCCUAAUCCUACCAAAAGCCUGAAGUGAGGAAUACGAGUGACAUGAGGACUCUCACAGUUGAGGGUGUGGACCGUUUCGAUAGCCACGCCACAUCAUUGGUCUUAUCCACACCAACGGUCAUAUUAUUUAAGGGCAUUAGUGUCAAAUCAUGUCGGGAUGCUCCGAGGCUAUAAAUAUCCGCCCCCACAACCAUUAGCUGGUUGGCUGCUCCGUUAGAAACUGACACUUGUCAUAAGAGCAACCCAAUUCCUCAAAGUCCUCGAGAGUAUUUCAUCAGUGAGGAAAUACCCCAUACACCGAAACCACAAACCAAACCUAGUGAUUGAGCAUCAGUGAAGAAGUUGUUCCUGUGUGGGACUUAAGCCUUUUACCUUUGAGGACUAUGCAUCCUCCAGACGGUUAGGCGUCAUGGUCUAGAGCUUUUGAGCAGUCAAUUGUGGAUCGCCGGGUGACCAAGUUUGUGAGGGUUUGGAAGUCUUCCCUGAAGACUUACCAUGAGUGUUGAGCAGGGACUCUGUGUUCUUAGCCCAAGGAGAACACGGUAGGUACUGUGUGUCUCGGGACUGUGUGUCCUUUGGUUUCAAUACCAAACCGCUCCAAACCAGAUGUACGACUGUCACAGCAGUUGGAACUGGGUCAUCAACUACUGUCUUCGCUGUGAAACGGGUUCUAAUUCCACAACUCCUUACUUUCCUCACAUUAUGUGUUGAUGACUUUCACUGCUACUGUUUGAAGAAUUUGCUGAAGACUUUCUAUAAAAUUCCUCAACCCCAAAUUCUUCACGCUAGUUAAUCCUCAUCUGUAUUUUGCGUGCCUGCUCACUGUGCAAUCUGUAUUCACAUUCCUCACUCUGAAAAACUGAUGUUGUGAAACUUUGCACUUCUGAUCCUUUACUGUUUCCGCUGGAAGUUAGUCUUCAGUGAGGAAUUUCCUCAAAAGGAAUUUCCUCGGUGAUGAAAUUAUAAAAAUCUCCUAUUCACCCCCAUCUAGUCGAUAUAACGCACUUUCAAAACCAAAGGACAUAAAGUCCCGGGACACACAAUCCCUAGCGUAUUCUCCUUGAACUAAGGACACAUAGUCCUCGCCCAACACUGGUGGUAAGUCUUCAGGGCAGACUUCCAAACCCUUACAAACUCUGUCACCCGGCGAUCCACAAUUAACUAUUGGAUGCUCUAGAUCAUGACUCCUAGCCGUCUGGAGGAUGCACAGUCCUCAAAGGUAACAAGUGUCAGUUCCACACAGGAAUAAGUUCUUCAGUGAUGCUCAAUCACUUGGGUUUUGGUUUGAGUUUGGGUGUUUCGGGUAUGUCCUCACUUGAUGAUUUGCGCUUGAAGGCUUUGAGGAUUUUGGGUUGCUGUAAAUGACAAGUGUUAGUUUCUCUUGGAGCAGCCAACCAACUAGUGGUUGUGGGGGAGGCUAUUUAUAGCCUGGGAGCAUCCCGUGAUGAUUUGACAUAAAUGCCCUUAAUGAUAUGACAAUUGGGUGGAUAAGAUAUGGGACAGGUGGCGCGUGGCGCGGCAACGGUCGGAACUUUCAGUUGUGAAAGUCCUCAUGUCUCUCAUGUUCCUCACUUUGAGUUGGUAGGUGUAGGUUUAGGUUGAGCAUCAUGAGGAAAUUCUUUCCAUAGUUUUACCUCGACCCCCUUUAAUAGUAUGGUGUUUCUAUGACUCAAGAGUGAAGAAAAUGAAACAGAAAGAGUAAAUCUUCAAGCUUCCAAGUCUUUAGAGUAUAUUCUUCGGGAACCACUGAAUUCCUCAUCUUCAAUAUCUUAAUGAGGAAUAUCAUUUUCUUUGCAAUUUCUUCGCGAUCAAAGUCUUUGAGGAAUGACCAAAGUCUUCAGACGAAGACAUACAUUUUUAGGGGUCGAUAUUCAUAGAAUAACUCAAACUCCUCAAUGACUUAUAGAGCCUGUGUACACUUAGAAACUUAUCAAUCUCUUAACCUAUAAGUCUUCAAACCACCAAAACCACUAAGGGGCACUAGAUGCACUUACAAUUUCCCCCUUUUGGUCGUUGAUGACAAAUAGGUUAAGUUAUCAACGGGGAUAAAAAUAUGGAAUGUAAGUACAUAGUUUGAGGAAUUUGAUUGCAAUAUACACAGAAACCCCCCGUGAAGAUGUGCAUAUUUGAGGAAUUUGCAUUGGACAAUAAAUGCACAUUGAUGAUAUAUAUCAUGGAGAUCUCCCCCUGUAUCUUGUAAUUCAUGCAUGCAUUUGACAUAUAUUAUGAGAAAUUUGAAACGCAUGAUGAAAAAUGGUGUGUGAAAAAUUUCAGCAUGCAUGCAUUAACAUGCGGAAUAAGCAUGAGAGGAAAAACGUUCAAAAGUGUCAGAACACCAUUGGGCUUAAGUUACAACUCAUUACAUCAAACACUUCAGAAGAAACGAGAGUUUGUAACUUAAUAAAGUUUAUAAGCCCGUAAAUUUGACCUGCUUGAAGACUAACUCAGAUUUCUCCCCCGUUGUCAUCAAGUGACGAAAUGGGACGAAACCGAGGACUAACGCCUAUGAAAACUUCACUUAUGUGUUGAAGGUGAGGCGCGAGCAUUCUUCGAGUCAGGAUUCCUUGUUGGGCUAGUUGCAGUAUCAGCAGGUUCUUCAUCUGAAUCAACAGUGUGCAAUGAAGAAUAUGAGCUACCCACCAAGUCAGGAGCUGGAAUAUUCUUCAAUUUCUUCUUUCGUGGGCAUGACCAAUCAAAGUCGUGAGUGAAUUACAAUUUUUCAAGUUCCUUUGGAGUUUUCAAGUGAGACAGUAUGGCCCACGUGCGAUCAAAUACCUCAUGAAGAUAAUAGUGAUUUUUCUUCGCGAUAUUUUGAAUAUCAUUGAGGGUUUUCACAAUAGAGCCAAAUUGAUGCUUAACCCACUUAUGGUUUCGAUCAACUUUGUGAUGAAGACCAAGGAGAAGCUCUCUAUUAGUCAUCCCCCAUGGGGCAGUUGGACUUGGAGGUUUUGCUCUCCCAUCAGAUUCUUGGGUGGUAGUGUCAUCAUAUGAGGAGUAGGAUGCAGCCUUGCGAAAUUGACCAUCCACUGGCCGAUUUCCUUCAUCAAUGAAAGACUUGCCUUUGCCCUCAAUUGGAUCAAAAUAUUUCUUGAUGACUUUAUGAGGAGGCAGAUACCGAAGAUGAUUCUGAUAGUUUGCUUGAUAGUUGAUUUCGGAUCUGGUUCUGAUGAAUCUCAUGAUCCAAGGCGCAUAAAUCUUUAGCUCAAAUGGUGACAAGGCAUUGUUGGCUGAAGUCCUCAAGAAGAAGUGAUGAAGGUUCAUUUUGAUGCCGUGAAUGACGUUGAAGAGGAAGUUCUUCAUGAUUCCUACAACAUCUUCAUUAUCACGUGCUUUGAUAGGUGCGAAUGAAUAGGCCAAUACUGUGUAGACUGUUCUGGGCACAUACUUCAAUUCCUUCACCAGAAAUCAAGUCCUUGAAGGUUUGCCCUGAGCUAAUGGCUUUAUGAGGGCCUCCAUUAGAUGAUUUGGCAAUUCUUUUUCUUUAUAGAUAUUUAUUGCAUCAUCUCAAGGAAUUGAGAUUGGUAGAGCUGAGUCAUCCAGUCCAGAACCCAAGAGUUGAUGUUUUUGGGGUCACGUGAGAUAUGCAGUGUGGCAUAUAACUGAAAAAAGAUAUAUGUAUUCCACUCACUGAAAUCCGUACAGAAAGGCAGUAGCCCUGCAUCGUGAAGAACACUCACAACUGGAGUAAACAAGGGAUUUCCUCCAUAUCCGUGACAGCCCAAUACCGACGCUACAGAAGAUUCCCCUCUUAUUCCGUUUCUGCCGUGCGAGUAGUUGUCUGUCGCAUUCAUCAUCGCAUAAUGCGCAUCAUUCGCAUUGCAUAAGCACUCCGUUGCCACCAGUUUUCAAAAACUUGCAUCCGUUAUUAGUUGCCGGUUCUCACCGUUUUCGUCGUUGUCUGCUUCGAGUCCAACCACACAUGCACGCGCCUACAACAUCAUUAAAAUAUUGUUUUAAAGCGUGUAUAAAAUAUUCUAGGAUUGGGUUGAAACUUAGCGCGUGGUCUAAUUUUAAUAUAGGUAGGCCGCGUGCCAGAUUUCGUCGCAUUCGAAGUCUGUUUGAUAUGUGAACGGUCAACCGUAGCGGGACCAUCAUUUAUAUAUCGUGAGACAUUUUUUGGUGUUUACAAUCUCAUGUCGGGCCGAAAAUCUCCCUCUCUUCUUAGCCCACAACCCCUCUACACAACCUACCUAGCCUACCCCGCCAUUUCAGACUGUCCGAUCGAGAUUCGACAGCUCAAAAACGGUGCAACUGCUAACCCUAGCUCCAUUCCUAUUUAAACAACCUUCCUCCUAAUUUUGGGAAGCCACCCCCCUUGCCUCGAAAUCCAUGCAACCCUAGAUGCCUCCCACCUCCUCUCACCUCAGCCGUUGGGCCCUCGUGAGCCCGGGUCAGGCCCGUCAAGCCCAUAUGACCAGCUCCUCUCGAGCUUCGCCCAUGGCAGCCAGCCGCCCGAUGCCCUCGCUCCCGCCGAUCCCGCCGCCGCAAGCCAACUCCGGGUUGCUCCUAUCUUUCCGAGAGCCGCCGCCGCCGGUGUUGAUCUGCGCCGCCACGCCUACACUCUCCGGCCGGAGCCCCUACUCGCCGGAGCACCUCCCGUCGCUGGAGUGCAGCCGUCCAGCUCCCGCGCCCGCGCCCUAGCCCGCAAGCUGCGCCCGCCAUCGCGCAUUCCUCGUCGAAGCCCGCUCGCCGGUCGCCGCCCCUCGUCCUCGCUCAGGUGGCUCGCCGUCCCUUCACUCCAGCUCCGGGUCGUCGUCGCUAGCCGCAUCAACCCUCCGCCCAUGGCCCUAUGCAGAUGGGAUCUGGAUCCCGCCGCGUUGACCGCCAACUGCCACGCGUGGGCCAAGGCCAGCAGCAGCCGAGCCAGCCGGCCUGCUCCCCGCGCGAGCCUAGCCGGCCUGCCUCGCCUCUCCUCCGAGCCGACCCAACUUCGAUAGGUCUGAGGUGAGCACCCCCACAUUCCAAUCCCCCGCCCUGGCGCGAUUUAGUUAUAUUGCGCCAUCAAAACAUACCCGUUUAGUAUUUUUUCCGCCCUCCGAUUUUUCCAUUUACGACGAAUUUCAGAAAAAUUCAUGAUUUUAAAAUGCCUGUAACUUUUAAACCGUGCAUCGGUUCUAAAUAAGUUCGAUAUGUAAAAUGUGUAGAAUUUCAUGUAGAAUAAUAUUUUCCAACUCUUAUGCAUAUUUAAGUCUGUUAGCUGUGUUGUUUGCGUCAGUUUGCAUGUUCACGUGUACGAAAUGGUUUAGUUCGUAGUUAUUUAACAGGAGCUCCGUUGGAGAUGAGGCAUAUAUGUAGAUGGACUAGAACGACGAGUAGAACCACGUGAACCACUUUUUUUUGCCUUUUAACAAACAUAAAAUGUUAUUAGGACAAAUCUGGACAUAUUUAGAUUUUAACAUGUUGGGUCGCUUCGGAAAUGCUAUAUGUCGUUUCCGGCCUCAUUUAAAAUGCUUAGAUAGGUAGUUUAUUUGUGCUUAACCCCUUGCCAUGUUUAACAAUAUUUAAUAUUGACAUGUACCUAAACGGGAGUGAACUAAAUAAUUCGUAUGUGGAGUUUCGUCAAUAUACAACUCGUUGCAUAUUGAGCUUCACUUAAUGUGUAGUGUUUGAUUGUGUGAAUUUCCAUGCCGUGUGUUGCAUGAUUUAACCGAGCAUGCAUCAUAUGUGUUGUGCAUCAUGUCGUGCCUGUGCCAUGGUGAAUAUCGUGUGUUGAUUCUUGUUUCCGGUCUGCUUCUUCUCGAUAGAGUUCCGCAAGCAUGUCGGAAUGUGGGAAUCCGUUUGACUACAUUGGUUCGUCUGCUUCACGUAGUCGUUCUUCUUCCAAGCGGGAUUACAGGCAAGAUGAUCAUUUCCCCAGAUACCAUUACUAUCAUUGCCAUGCUAGUUAUAUCGUUUCUACCUCUAUGUCUCGCUGCCUACCACCUAUUAAAUAUCAGCCCCCCAACAUUGCCAUGAAAACCUUCAAACUUUCUACAACCUAGCAAACCACGGAUUGGCUAUGUUACUGCUUGCUUGACCAUUUGAUAGCGUUGCUAGUUGCAGGUACAGUUGCUUCCAUGUGCCAACAUGGGUUCCUUGUUAUAUUACCAUAUUAAUUCUAUUUAAAUUAAUGCACCUAUAUACUUGGUAAAAGCUGGAAGGCUCGGCCUUUCUAGCUUGGUCUUUUGUUCCACCUUUGCCACCUUAGUUUCGGCUACCGGUGUUAUGUUCCAUAAAUGAGCCUUCCAACCAUGGUUGGGGUUGUUAUGGGGACCCCCUAGAUUCUCAUUUUGGGAUAGAACUCGUCUGGCAAGGCCCAACAUUGGUAUUUAUUUGCCCAACAUAAUAAUACUGAUAUUAAUGUGACACAUAGGGAGUUAGCGCUACCCGAGGAGUAAUUCAACAUAAUACAGAGGUGCAAGUGUUGCUGGUGUAGGUCCCAAACAAAGCCACUUGCGGGGCCACCCGGGGCAACUCGGGGGAUUUGUAUCCAGCCACCGUAUGUAUUGCUCAUCCGUCGUGUCCUGAGAACAAGAUACGCGGCUCCUAUCGGGAUCGUUGACACGCCGGGCGACCUUGCUGGACUUGUUUUACCUUUGUCGAGCAUCUCGUGCGUGGGAUUCCGAGGAUACUUUGGGCUAUCUCGAGGUUGAGAUUUUCCAAUAGGAACCCGAGGAGAUCAUGGGUUUUCCCUGAUCAAGGUCAUUCCGGUGCAGUGUGUGGUAGUUUGUGGUGGACUAGUUGGAGCACCCCUGCAGGGUUAAAUCUUUCGGAAAGCCAUGCCCGUGGUUAUGUGGCAAUGUGAAAAAUUUGUUUAACAUCCAGUUCUAGAUAACUUGAACUAAGCUUAAUUAAAAUAUGCCAACUGAGUGCGUAACCAUUACUGUCUCUAUCGUGAGCUCCUUCUCCGAUCGAGGACAUGGUGGGGUUAUGUCAGACAUAAAUAGGUGUUCAUGAUCAUCAGUAGACAAGUCCGUUAUGCGUCGAUCAUCCCCCUCUUAUUAUUGUACUCGUAAGUUAGCCACCUCAAAUAAAUGCUUAGUCACUUGUCGCAACCUCACCACUUAACCUUACCUAACCCAUUAAGCUUUGCUAGUCUUGAUACCUUUGGAAUUGACAUUGCUGAAUCCCUAUGGCUCACAGAUUACUACAACACCAGUUGCAUGUACAUGUAAAGAGUUACUUUGACGUGAGCACGAUGAUUGUGUUUUUGGAGUUUCUUCUUCUUCUUCUUCUUCUUCUUCAUUGAUCUAGGAUGGGUUCCAGGCCGGCAGCAUGGGUAGCAAGAAUGUACGUCGUUCUUUUAUCGUUUGUUUUCGUUCGUAGAUGGACCCUGUCCUUCUUCAUGAUGAUUAUUUAUAUUGUUGUAUUGAUGUGACACUGAUGUAGCUUGUGGCGAGUGUAAGCCAACUCCUUAUACUCAUCUUUUCAGUACAUGUACUUCUAAUCAUAUCCAUUCUGGCGAAACGACGAGAUGCGUUUCUAUCCCUGUCGAGGCCAUCGCACCAAAAUAAGGAUAGGACCGCAUCUUGGGCGUUACAAUAUCACAAUGAGGAAUGUGUGUGUGAUGAAAUAUCAUUCUCUUCUCCACAAGCACAACAACAUAGUAAUUGAGUUGUGUUCUGGUCCAGAACUUCCUGUGCCUGAUACGAAGCUUGUCGUAUGGAUUUUCUCGAGUGAAGAAAUGAUGUUCAUCAUAAAAAUCUGCUUUCAGAAACUUUGGCCUCUUUGAGUAUGGCUGAUGAGGCUUUUUGGUUGAAUAUUUUGAUGUUGAAUUUCAUCAUCUUGAGGAAUUUUGGCCACCACAAUUGCAGUUUCAGGAUUUGCAACACGUGGUUCAUCAGUUGAAUCUUUAUGCUGAGCUGAGGCAGUUUCUUCAACAACUUGUUCUUUAGUUUGAGGAAUUUGUUGUGUCGUAGGUGCAGAUACAAUUUCUGGAACAUCAGUUUCUUUUUCAUGUUCGUUUUCAUCAGCUGAUGCAGCUGGUUCUUGGUCUGGUGCUGAUUUCACACGUGAGCUCUUUUCUUCAGAGCCAGUCAGAAUUUCUGUAGCGGACGGAGAUGCACGAGUUUGAGGAAUAUGAGAGGUCAUUGGCGAGUUCGGAUGAUUCUUUUGCCAUAAAUCAUCAUGGAUUACAUGUAUGGUGCAGCCAGUGUCCACAUCAUCCUCCUUUUAUUCAGCAGUCGUUUCUUGGUUUUGAGGAGGAGGUGUUUGGACUUGAGGAAAUUGAUCAGCUUGAAUUUACUCAUCUAUUGGUGUAGAUGCCGCAGAGCGAUUUUCAUCAAUUUCCUCAUCCUGUUCUGGAAUGAUAUGUUCUUCACCGAAUGGAAGAAUCAUGUAUGACGGUGCAACGCUGAGAGGAGUUGCAUCAAGUGGAGCCGAUGAUGAAGUAGACCGAGUCUUCACGCAUUUUGCCUCUGAAGACUUUCUAGGUGUCGAUGCCUUUCUAUUCUUAGCUUCCUUCUCAGCAGCUUUUGUUUUCUUCACGUCUGAGCCAUACGAAAGUGUCACUUUCUUCACUUUUAAAGACAUUGGUGAAGGAGCAUUUUCUUCAGGCAUUGCGUAUGCAGUUUCAGGCUUGGCAGAUUCUUCAGUUGUUACAUUCUGAGCAGAUUCAUCAGCAACUACAUUCUGAGCAGAUUCAUCAGCAACUACAUUUUGAGCAGAUUCAUCAGCAGCUGUUUCUUCAUCUUCAUAAGAAUCAAGCAGUUGUACAGUGUAGCUGGCUUGAGGAAUUGUUGGUUGCUUUGGAGUUGCAAACCUGCUGUUGUAUUCAUCGAUGGCAUCACUUGCUGCCUUGACAAAACUCACUUUGACACCCUUUCGGUGUGCAUGAAGACUUGUGUAUUUGUCAGUGAGAGUUUUCAGGUCUUCUUGAGUAGAAACAAGUUUCUCAGGCGUCAGGUUAAGGAUGUUUUGUUUCAAAUACUUCUCCUUUUUCACCUUUACAUCCCGAGCUUGUUUUGCUUGCUGAUCCUUCCACUUUGCUUCAUUGAUGAAUGAGGUUACCAUGUGGCUGAGACCAGGUGGAAGUUUCAAAUCAUCAAUGGGUUUGUUUGGAUCUUCAUACCAAAUAUCGAUGAAGUUCAACACCACUUUUAGAUCCAGUGCGAUGGGAAUGGUGUUACUAGCAGCUUGUUAAACCCUUUCUUGUUUGUUCUUGAUGAUGGCUUGAAGAUUUUGAUCAUCAUAUUCCUCACUUCCCUCUAACGCAGAAGGAAUAUUGAGGACAACUUUGCUUGAGCUCGGGUUUGUUCCUCUCCAAGCAGUCGUCUUCGUUUUCAGUAAGCCAGGUGAAGAUUUUGCUGCAGUUGAGGACUUUGCAGCCGUUGUUGCUUCUUUUUGAGGAAUUUUCUCUUUGGAUAAGGCUGUUGAGGGUUUUGAGUUGACAUUUGAUUUCUUCACAAGUGUCUUCUUAGGGGGUUGUACUGUGACAGAAGCCUCAACAGCAGAGGAGGAGGCAGGAGCAACAUAAUUCUCAUUGAACUUUGUUACAACAACAUUUGCGUUUUUCUUCAGCUUGGACAAAUACUUGUCUUUUUCCUCAGGAUAGUCUUCAAUUGUGGCUACAGUCGAGGGAUGUGCAGUUUGUUGGUCUCCCCGAGGCAAUCUUUUGCAAGGAGGUUUGAGGACAAACUUCUUAGCAUACUUUGGAGUGACAUAUUUGUAUUCUUUCCACUCCUUUGCCCAUCUGUGUUCAAUCCUUUGAAGCCCGAUCUUGCGUUUCACACUCAUUUCUUUCCCAUGAUUUUCUUCAUGUGGCGUGCAGUAAUCAUCAUAUAAGUCCUAUGGGAUUUCAAAAGUAGUGUUUUGUUCUAAUUUCUUGCCACCCUUCUGUUUUCUGUCCUCCUCCAUUUUCUUCAGCUGAGGUUUAUGCUAAGGAAUUCGUAUUCUUGAGCAAUAAGAUGACACAGGUAUCGUUUCUUCAAGAAAUGUUGCAAAUGAGUUAAGUUGGUCAGAACGUAGUGAUUCAUCAGCUGACAUUUUGUACAUGUGAACGAAGUAUAUGUGCGAAGAGUUUGGAGACGUCAUAUGCGUCCUCAGGUUUCAGGAAAUUGAAAAAUGACUCAAGUUGAGGAAUUUGAACAGUACAAUGUUGAGGAAUUUGACUAAGCAUUCUGAUCUUGGGUUCCAGAGUUGUGCAGAUUCGAAAAUUUACACAAUUGAGGAAUCUCGUAAAGAAAUUUGUGGCCUAGUGAAAUUCAUCAAGUGUUCUAGACAUGGGUGUGCACAGCUGAAAGAUUUUCUGAGGAAUAACUGAUUUCAUGAAUCUAAAGAAAAUAAAUGGAUCAACGGCGGCAGUAAAAUAGGAUUUUAAUUACCCUUGAUGAAGAACACGAUGAACCGGGGAAGUAAAAACAAAAGUUCUUUGGUUCAGAUCUUCAGUGCACUAACUCGGCGACUAAAGACAGCUACAGUGGCGGCGGAGGGAGAUGACCCGCAGUCAGCGUGAGUCGAGCGACGGCGAGGUCAAGGCACUGAAGCUGUUCCUCACCGGCGACGAAGAUUGCUAGCGACGACGCUAGGUUCUGAGCUCGAGCGGAGAAGAUGAGAGUGAGAGAAGAGUUUUUCACUGAAGGGGGGAAGUGGCUAUUUGUAGCUCAGGUGAAAACGUCCGAGGAGAAAUCUUCUCAUGAAACUUCCCCUGCCCUUUCGUCUCUGCAUGACACGUGCUACCCACAUACGAAGUGGUGGAUAUAGUGGAGAUCGUGGUUAUCCAAUCGUGAGUAGUGGGUGCAGUUACAGUGGUAAUAAUAUUUUUUUAAUUUUGAGUAUUUUGUUGCAAAGUAAUCACCUGACAAGGACUCAGUGAGGAAUUUGAACAAGUGUCAAAUACAACACAUAUGAAGAAUUGAGAAUAGACUAGGUUGAUCUUAGCAUAGAGGGGAGACGGGUCCGAUCACAUUCACUUAGAAGAAAUACCAACUUGAAGACUUAGCAAUAACUGAAUGCUAUUGAGGACAUUGAAAGCUCAUUAUAUAAUAUAUAGUCCAUGAAGAUCAUCACAAAGAGUUUUGAAGAAAUUGAAAAAAAUUGAAGACUUUGAAAAUUUGGAGGAAUUUGUGAAAAUCUCAGAUUUGAAGAAUUUAAACUUUUAAGAAUUUCAAAGUUUGACGGUGGCAUGACCCACCGUAUAAGAAUGAUGAUUUUAGGCGCCGCGUACAAUUGUCAUAGGGCCGUCAGAAUCAAAUUCUUCAUUAAUUUCUUCACACUUAGAGUGUUAUUAUUCAUUGAUUGAAGAAAAAGUUACUUCGUGUGUUGCGCAUCUAAGUCAUCAAUUUUGCAUAAGUGUUAGGAUAUGUGCAUUUUUACAGAACAUUCGAAGAUUCUAGGUUAUUUAGAUCACACCGCAACUUGCAAAACCUUUUCUCAUCCAAGGUCUUAGUGAAGAUAUGUGCUAGCUGGCCAUCAGUCUUCACAUGGUCAAUGAUGAUAUUGCCCUUGAGUACAUGAUCACGAAGAAAAUGAUGACACAUUUGUAUGUGCUUGGUCUUUGAAUGUUGUACUAGUUUGUAGGCGAUCUUGAUUGCACUCUCAUUGUCGCAGUACAGGGGCACAUUCUUCAUGUUGAUUCCGUAAUCUCUAUGGGUUUGCUUCAUCCAUAGCAGUUGAGCACAACAAGAUCCAGCAGCAAUGUAUUCAGCUUCACCAGUGAAGAGUGAUACACAAUUAUGCUUCUUUCAGGACCAGCAGACUAAGGAUCAUCCGGGGAAAUGACAUGUGCCUAAUGUUGAUCCACACGUUCACCAGCAUAAUCAGAAUCAGAAUAUCCAACGAGGUGAAGAUUUGAGCCCCUGGGGUACCAUAACCCUAGUGUUGGUGUGUGAGCAAGAUAUCAAAGAAUAUGUUUCACAACCUUAUGGUGUGAUUCCUUAGGUUUUGCUUGGAAACGUGCACAAAUGCAAACACUAAGCAUAAUGUCUGGCCUAGAUGCAGAUAUGUACAAUAAAGAGACAAUCAUAGAAUGAUAUACUUGCUGAUCGAUAGCUAUACCAUUUUCGUCACUGUAGAGGUGGCCAUUGGUAGGCAUAGGAAUCUUGAUGCCUUUGCAUUCAUGCAUGCCAAAUUUCUUCAGGACAUCCUUGAGGUAUUUCUCUCGAGAUAUGAAGAUGCCAUUACGUUGUUGACAAAUUUGCAAACCUAAGAAGAAUGUCAGCUCUUCCAUCAUGGACAUUUGAUAUACUUCACCCAUCAUGUAGGCAAAUUCAUGACUGUAACGUUUGUCACUACAACCAAAGAUAAUGUCGUCGACAUAUAUUUGGCACACGAAUAGUUCAUUGUCAUAGGAUUUUGUGAAAAGAGUAGGAUCAAGUGAACCGAGUUUGAAGGCUUUCUUCAUGAGGAAUUCCUUCAAUGUGUCAUACCAUGUAGCGACCCGACUCAAAACGAGUCAAGUCUCUGUGUAUCUGUGCCAUCCCUGGAUCAGUAUGCUGGCACACACAGUACAUCAAUGUAUAUAUCAAAGUGCAAUCACACAUAAAUAACAUAAAACUGAUAUAUACCUCAAAAAUCUCAGCGGAAAUAGUCAAGGGAGUGGAGUCCCAAUAAACACCAAUGGCAAGUUGAGUGCAAACCGUAACCCUGAAUCGUACUCUUACUCGUCGAAGAAAUAUCUGCAACAUAAGACGUUGCAGCAGUGUAGGUCAGCAUAUUGAAUAUGCCGGCAAGUCACAAAAGAGAGGGGUAGCAAUAUCAUCUAUACUAUAUGCAUUUAUGGCAGGUGGGGCUGUAAGUUUUAGCGGAAAGCAAAGUUUUCUCCUACAACAAGAGAGGGGCUAAAAUCAAAAUAUUACUUCGUUGUUGGUAGUUAAUGAGAUGGUUCCGCCAACCAGUUCUCAUACCCAAGUUAUCAUUAUUACCCACAUCUACUAUAUACAAUGGUGUUGAGAAUUCCGGAUAGUUUCAGUUCCUAUGGCUCAAGUUGUCCAUGACCGUGGACACGGCUAAUCGAUUAGGUUUGAGUACUCUGCAGAGUUUUGCACACGUUCCCCACAAGAUUUGACCGCCUCCGAGUAUGUCCUCGCACUUUAGAGUGUUUGAAGACCGGAUGAUCAAAACAUGGUCUUUCAACGGGUCCCUUGGAUCCCCUGUCGAUGCCCAUCCAAUCCUACCGUUCUUCUACAUCUGCUAGCAUCGCCUGUCCAGAGUCGCCACGUUGUCCAACCAAGCCAGAGCCCAUAAUGACUUGUGGCUGUGCAGGUAAGCCUUGGGUCAUGAAGUAUCCAUCCAUCUCUUCGUGCCUGCAUGAAGAUUUCCGCAAGAUGUCAUGGCGCUUCUCCAUGCAUCCUGGGUCGUCCACUGGUUUCUCCAUGGAGCCCAUCUAAACCAUCCUUCACCCAAAGGUAUAUUUCGUUCUGAGGUCUUGCAAGUCUUUGAGUCAUGAGGUCUUGAUUAUUAAGUUUCUCACAACACUCAUUAUAAACACUCAACCAAAUCCCGUCUCCUAGGAGCAUAGUAAAAUAACGUCCCGGCCAAAGUAAAAAUGGUGGGUGCCUACCACAUGAUACUACAACAAGAUCCAAAAUUUCCAAGUACCUACUUUGCUUGCAAUUGGGUGAAGCAAGGUAGAACUACCAUGCACAUAAAACAUAGGUAAUAAUAUGAUCAACGUAACUUGCCUGGUGAGGUUGAUGAAGAUGGUCGCACUCAUAAUCCUGAUAAUUCUACUCGUCACACUUCGAGCAAUCUAUCGUAAAUGAAUAUAGUUCAAUAAACAUUCAUGCCAAAAGGAAGAACCAAAAGAACAUAAGAACAAAACAUAUCUUUGUGCAAAAUAACAACAUACUAAGGUUUAAUAAGAAGAUAGGGCCUUAUGGGGAUGUAAAAGGAAAGGUAAAAGGGGUCAACUCAAAACAGUCAAAGGAUUAUCAACUAUCGCUAUAUAAGCUCGACUUGCAUACACUAUGGGAGAUGAUUAAAAAUAUUGAGAAAACAACAUGAAUGUUGUUUGAAAAAUAGUAUAAGACAUAAGAAUUUGUUUGUAGAAAGAAUUUCCUGAAAUGGAGCACUACAAUGCAAGUUAUAGAGAAUUGAAGUAUGAAUAGAAUUUGAAUUCCAUAAAGGUCAAAAGUAUUUGAAUUGGAACAUGGUUGUUAUGAAUAGAAAGUACAUAACACUAGUGUUUAGGGGAACAAGAAAUCAAUGGAAAAGGUGCUACUUUUUGCAAGGUAAGAUCAAAUGAAUGUUCGAAUACAAAUUUCAAUUGCUCAAAUUUGUAAGGUUCGAAGGUCGGAACUAAUGAUGCUACUGGAUAUAGGAGAUCAAUAUGAACAUGUAGAAAAAAAAAGAAUUACUAGAUUUGAAAUAGCGGAUCAAAAGAUACAAAUACUUUAAUAUAACAUUGAAUCGGCUUAGAACGAUGUGAACACUUUUGGGCACUAAUAGAUAAAUCUGAUUUGAUCAAAAUUAUAAGUUGAAAAGUUAAAACUAAUGAUACAAACGGAAAUAUUACUUUGAUACGAAUCCGAGGCAAUUGGAUUCAUCUAAAACGGAGCUACAGAUAAAAAGAUAUGAUCAAAUGAAGAUUGAAUAUGAGUGUGAACAAAUUUCGAAUUUCGAAAAUUUCAAAAAAGCUGAUAUGAUAGGUUCACCGGAUAGCUGGGAUCAAGACGAAACUCUAGGCGUUGGUUUCAUCUAAUUCAGAUAAACGAGUAAAAAGUUAUGGCUAUUUGAAAAUCAGGGUCAAGCUGUUUUACGGAAGAAAAGUGCUAUGUCUAAAAGAAUUCUAGGACUAAUGUGUAAAUACAGAGACUAAAUGAUAAAUCUAAUUACUCUAUCAUAUACUAGUGUAGGAAUACUAGUCUAGAAAUAAUAAACUACGGGAGUAUAAAAGAAAAAUACGAAGAGAAAUACCUUUAGAAUGCUGAGUAAGAAUUAAUUCCAAUGAGGAGACGACUUCGAGAAAUCCCGCCGAAGAGAAGAGAAUAUUUUUAUUUAAUAAACCUAGUCAAACCAAAAGAUUGAUUUAACCUGAAAUAGAUGAUUUUUGGAUGCUCCUAUGGGUCUAUAUUUAUAGGUGGAAAGAAGGUCUAAAAGUCAUUAGGUAGGCAAUAUGGGACUAAACAUAGACGAAAAGAGGAGAAAAGGAGGGACCAAAUGCCCAUGGGCUAAGUAAAUUUCGGCCAGCCCACACGCAAGUCCGGCCAGCCCAUUUUUCUUCCUGGAUGAACAAUGUUUCCUGGUGAAUAGUGUCUUUUUUUAUUUUUGAAAAUAAACAGCGAAAAAAAUAUAAACGAAAUUAAGAGAAUAUUUUAUAUAGACAUAUUAUAUAUCAAAAUUUUCAGAAUAAAAUUUCCUACAACAUGAACAUUUUAUUUUUCACAAAAUAAAAACUUUAUAAAAAUUUAUUUUUUUUAAAUUCAAUAAAAUCCAAAUUUUGUCUUUAAAUUUUUUGGCACUAUUUUUCUUCUGACUUUUUUUUUGGGGGGGUGUCAUGUUACCUCCUCUCUUUCUUGCUUGGCAAGUAUAUUGUCAGGAAAAAAUUUGUGGUUGAAAUAUUGUGCUAGAAAUAAAAUUCAAAUCAAUAACCAAAGGAAAAAAAUCAAAUGCCACAUUCAUUCAAAUUCUUUAUAGUUGAAGAAGUCAUGUUAUCUUCUCUCACUGAUUUUACAUGGAUGAAUUUGAAUUCAAAAGAAAAUGGGAAAGUCAUUUUAUUCCCUGUCAUUCAAAAGUUUUAAAAAAGUUUCUAAUUCCACUCAAGUUUCAAUCACUGAAACAAACAAACAAUGAAUCUAAUAAUUAUAUUAACAUUCCAAAAUUUAUAAUUUUGGGAUGUUACAAACUACCACACUUAAAAUGAAUCUUGUCCUCGAGAUCCGAAGAGGCUAAAAGAAAAGGUUUAGGUUUUGGAGGUCUUCUAACAAAUCCAAUCUCCUGCAAAGUGGGGUGCUACCACACCUAAAAUGAGAGUUACCGGUCCCUCAAAUUAUUAACAAUCCUCUGGGAUCUUGCCAUCUGACUCCUCACAUUCUUCAUGGUAACUACUUUGGUGAAGCUCUUCCAUUAUAUUCAUAAUGUUUCCAUCAAAAUCAAGGGUUCUUCUGUUGAUAUAAGCUUCUUCCGUCACUGGGUCUUCUUAACUGACAAGUCUCGUGACCAUUCUAAAUAACCUAUCUAUAAUUCUCAUGGUGGUCUACCAUUUGUGGUUAUCGUGCAGAGAGAAGGGUCUUGGCUUCAUCCUCACCGUAAAAUUUCCUAAGCGUGACAACUAUUGCCAUGUACAUGGGCUUUCAUCAUACCAUUCUAAGGCUUAAACAAAAGCUUCAAAGAGCGUCGUCCCUCACUAUGGGUAAGUCUCUCAGAUUUGCCAUUCCGAAUAGCAAGAGAAUGAUAAGAGUAAGUCGUCAUGGUGAUCAAUCCAUUCCGCACCCAAAUCAUUACUCUGUAUAAGGUUUAGCGAAUCUCGCAUUCUAACACUUGGGCAUCCUCACAAGCGUUGCAGAAUUUCUCUUGUCCAAGAACGAAGUUUGGAUAAUCCAUUGGUUCUGCAAGCUGAACAAAACAUCUAUCAUAUCUUCACAACUCUCGGUGUUACGCAUGCUCCUAAGAAAACGUUUGCUGGUGCAUCAUAGCUUAUUCCUUCAUGCUCUUGGGGCAACCUUCAUGAAAAUCUUGAGAUGAAUCCUUGGUACCGAUUGGAUUCCUUGAACUCAUAUUCCUUUCCAUUGGUCUGUGUACCAAUAAAAGUGUUUGUUCCUCAUAAUAAUUCCUUCAUUUCAUCCUCAUUCUAUUAUCAAAAUUCCACUUUCAAAAGUACUUGGUUACGAAUGUUGUCACCCACAUAGUUUGAUAUGGUCCCACAUUUCCUUCAAUGGUAUUAAGUGUGUUUGGCUCCUUGGUAUGCAUGGUACAUUUCUGGUCACUGGAUCCUGUGGGUUUACCGAUUACUACCACACUUAAAAUGAAAUAUACUCAUGCCUGCAUAGACCAUAUUUUCUCAUAUCCUCGAAAAUGGUCAGAGAUAUUUGUUCAUAGAGAAACAACUCAUACAAUUUCAACAUAGGAAAUCAUGACACAAUAAGUUCCAUUGAUUCAUGAAGUUAUUACAAUCUCUAAGUCUUCUAUUACAAAAUUCAACUCCAUAAUCUCAUGAAAACAAGAGUGCUUCAUGUUACACUUAUUGCCAUUGUCAAAGCUUAACUACUCCAUUCUAGCUUUCUUCCCCUAUGGACAUUUAGUAGCGUAAUGUCCUGCUUCCUUGCAAGUAAAACAAAUGACUUCCGACCUGUCUCGAGGCUUCUUGGGGUUUGUUAUUACUCUUUGGUUUUCCUGCUUCCUUCCUGGGCACAUAUUGAUGUAGUGGCCCAAUUCCUUACACUUGAAACAUCUGAUAUGACUCAGGUCUUUAUGUGCAGUGAUUUGGCUCUCGCUACUGUAUUUUCUCUUCUUCCUUGACUCCUUCAUUUUGGCCAGUUCUUCUAUUUCAAGUGGAUCAAACUCUACUUUUUCUGUCAGAAAGUUUCCCAGAUAUUCAUGGCUUUCCUUCAUGCAAUCCGUUGAGAAAUGUCCUUAUUCUCCACAUGAGUAAGAGGCAUUGGAGAAAAAUUGGGUUAGGCCUUGUCCAUCAGGGUCUUCAAUAUUUUCGUUCAUCACAAGUUCUUCUAGAAUCUUAUUCUUGAGUGUUUCCUUCAUUGCUUCUUUCUGUUGUUGUACAACUUGUUGCACCUAUAGGUAGCACUGGGCUCGGUAGUGGGUGGUUCCUUCACACAAGAAACAAGUCACCUGACUACUUGGGCACUCCUCAGCUGGGUGAUUUUCUUCACAAUGAGUGCAUCCAUCCUUGUGUUCCUCCUGGGUGUGUCCUAUUUCUCCACAGGUCUUGCAUGCAUAAGGCUUGUUCAUCGGGCUAUCAUAGCACUUUUGAAUAAGACAGGAUCUUAACAGAGUCUUUUUGAAUUCACCCCAGGUUUCUGCUCCACUAAAUCCUUGUAUGGCAUGGUGCAUUUUCCACCAAAUAGCAGCACCUUGGGUAAAGUACUGAAGAGCGUGUGCCACUUCAUAUUUCCUUGAAAUCAAAUUGUCCCGAAGUGGUUCUCCAUGUUCUGAAUCCAUAUAUGAGCCUCCAGCUGGGUCAUUGGUCUGGAGAUUAUAAGUCCAGCUUUAUACUCCAUCUGGUAGGGUUGAGGUUUUUGGGAUGAGAUGGGUAAGAGAGAGACGGAGAUACACACAAUACAAACAAUAUUUUUGAGAAUAGGUUUUAUUUGUGGCUGUUGGAAAACGCACACCAAUGACGGCUCACAAAUCAUCGUAUCUAACAUGGGUAUAUAACAGGGGUUUGGACUUCUAAUGGUCAUAUAAAUAUUCGGACGCUUCAGGGUCUUUGAAUUCUUCGGGUCUUGAGACUCUUCAAUUAGCGCAGCUUCAAUUCUUCAAAUGCAUGAUGAAAUCCUCUUUACUUUGAAGUGCGACUCAGUUGAUCCUUCAUGUGGUCGAAUGGAAAAGGAUAUUGUCUAACUUUUUGAGGUGAGAGAGAACAUUUGAUGAAAUCAGAAGAGAUGAGAAGUAAAGGAUGUUCUUGAAAAUAAAUUUUUUGAGAGAUCCUUUCCUAAGGGAUUUCCAGUUUCUAGGGUGACAUCCUACAGUCAAAAUGUGCUCUCAUACCAUUUCUGUAGCGACCCGACUCAAAACGAGUCAAGCCUCUGUGUAUCUGUGCCAUCCCUGGAUCAGUAUGGUGGCACACAUAGUACAUCAAUGUAUAUAUCAAAGUGCAAUCACAUGUAAAUAACACAAAACUGAUAUAUACCUCAAAAAUCUCAGCGAAAAUAGUCAAGGGAGUGGAGUCCUAAUAAACACCAACGGCAAGUUGAGUGCAAACCGUAACCCUGAAUCGUACUCUUACUCGUCGAAGAAAUACCUGCAACAUAAGACGUUGCAGCCGUGUAGGUCAGCAUAUUGAAUAUGCCGGCAAGUCACAAAAGAGAGGGGUAGCAAUAUCAUCUAUACUAUAUGCAUUUAUGGCAGGUGGGGCUGUAAGUUUUAGCGGAAAGCAAAGUUUUCUCCUACAACAAGAGAGGGCUAAAAGCAAAAUAUUACUACAUUGUUGGUAGUUAAUGAGAUGGUUCCGCCAACCCGUUCUCAUACCCAAGUUAUCAUUAUUACCCACAUCUACUAUAUACAAUGGUGUUGAAAAUUCCGGAUAGUUUCAGUUCCUUUGGCUCAAGUUAUCCAUGACUGUGUACACGGCUAAUCGAUUAGGUUUGAGUACUCUACAGAGUUUUGCACACGUUCCCCACAAGAUUUGAUCGCCUCCGAGUAUGUCCUCGCACUUCAGGGUGUUUGAAGACCGGAUGAUCAAAACAUGGUCUUGCAACGGGUCCCUCUGAUCCCCUGUCGGUGCCCAUCCAAUCCUACCGUUCUUUUACAUCUGCUAGCACCACCUGUCCAGAGUCGCCACAUUGUCGAACCAAGCCGGAGCCCAUAAUGACUUGUGGCUGUGCAGGUAAGCCUUGUGUCUUGAAGUAUCCAUCCAUCUCUUCGUGCCUGGGUGAAGUUUCCGCAAGAUGUCAUGGCGCUUCUCCAUGCAUCCCGGGUCGUCCAUUGAUUUCUCCAGGGAGCCCAUCUAAACCAUCCUUCACCCAGAGGUAUAUUUCGUUCUGAGGUCUUGCAAGUCUUUGAGUCAUCAGGUCUUGAUUAUUAAGUUUCUCACAACACUCAUGAUAAACACUCAACCAAAUCCCGUCUCCUAGGAGCAUAGUAAAAUAACGUCCCGCCCAAAUUAAGAAGGGUGGGUGCCUACCACAUGAUACUAUAACAAGAUCCAAAAUUUCCAAGUACCUACUUUGCAUGCAAUUGGGUGAAGCAAGGUAGAACUACCAUGCACAUAAAACAUAGGUAAUAAUAUGAUCAACGUGACUUGCCCGGUGAGGUUGAUGAAGAUGGUCGCUCUCAUAAUCCUGAUAAUUCUACUCGUCACACUCCGAGCAAUCUAUCGUAAAUGAAUAUCAUUCAAUAAACACUCAUGCCAAAAGGAAGAACCAAAAGAACAUAAGAACAAAACAUGUCUUUGUGCAAAAUUACAACAUACUAAGGUUUAAUAAGAAAAGAUAGGGCCUUAUGGUGUUGUAAAAGGAAAGGUAAAAGGGGUCAACUCAAAAGAGUCAAAGGAUGAUCAUUUAUCGCUAUAUAAGCUCGACUUGCAUACACUAUGGGAGAUGAUAAAAAAUAUUGAGAGAACAACAUGAAUGUUGUUUGACAAAUAGUAUAAGACAUAAGAAUUGCUUUGUAGAAAGAAUUUCCUGAAAUGGAGCACUACAACGCAAGUUAUAGAGAAUUGAAGUAUGAAUAGAAUUUGAAUUCCAUAAAGGUCAAAAGUAUUUGAAUUUGAACAUGGUUGUUAUGAAUAGAAACUACAUAACACUAAUGUUCAGGGGAACAAGAAAUCAAUGGAAAAGGUGCUACUGUUUGCAAGGUAAGAUCAAAUGAAUGUUCGAAUACAAAUUUCAAUCGCUCAAAUUUGUAAGGUUCAAAUGUCGAAACUAAUGAUGCUACUGGAUAUAGGAGAUCAAUAUGAACAUGUAGAAAAAAAGAAUAACUAGAUUUGAAAUAGCGGAUCAAAAGAUACAAAUACUUUAAUAUAACAUUGAAUUGACUUAGAACGAUGUGAACACUUUUGGCCACUAAUAUAUAAAUCUGAUUUCAUCAAAAUUAUAAGUUGAAAAGUUAAAACUAAUUAUACAAACGGAAAGAUUACUUUGAUACGAAUCUGACGCAAUUGGAUUCAUCUAAAACGGAGCUACGGAUAAAAAGAUAUGAUCAAAUGAAGAUUGAAGAUGAGUGUGAACAAAUUUCGAAUUUUGAAAAUUUCCAAAAAUCUGAUAUGAUAGGUUCACCGGAUAGGUGGGAUGAAGACGAAACUCUAGGUGUUUGUUUCAUCUAAUUCGGAUAAACGAGUAAAAAGUUAUGCCUAUUUGAAAAAUCAGGGUCAAGCUGUUUUACGGAAGAAAAGUGCUAUGUCUAAAAGAAUUCUAGGACUAAUGUGUAAAUACACAGACUAAUUGAUAAAUCUAAUUACUCUAUCAUAGACUAGUGUAGGAAUACUAGUCUAGAAAUAAUAAACUACGGGAGUAUAAAAGAAAAAUACGAAGAGAAAUAUCUUUAGAAUAAAAGAAAAUACGAAGAGAAAUACCUUUAGUAUAAAAGAAUUAAUUCCAAUGUGGAGACCACUUCGAGAAAUCCCGUCGAAGAGAAGAGAAUAUUUUUAUUUAAUAAACCUAGUCAAACCAAUAGAUUGAUUUAACCCGAAAUAGAUGAUUUUUGGAUGCUCCUAUGGGUCUAUAUUUAUAGGUGGAAAGAAGGUCUAAAAGUCAUUACGUAGGCAAUGUGGGACUAAACAUAAACGAAAAGAGGAGAAAAGGAGGGACCAAAUGCCCAUGGGCUAAGUAAAUUUCGGCCAGCCCACUUUUCUUCCCGGAUAACAGUGUUUCCUGGUGAAUAGUGUCUUUUUUUAUUUUUGAAAAUAAACAGCGAAAAAAAUAUAAACGAAAUUAAGAUAAUAUUUUAUAUAGGCAUAUUAUAUAUCAAAAUUUUCAGAAUAAAAUUUCCUACAACAUGAACAUUUUAUUUUUCACAAAAUAAAAACUUUAUAAAAAUUUAUUUUUUUAAAAUUCAAUAAAAUCCAAAUUUUGUCUUUAAAAUUUUUGGCACUAUUUUUCUUCUCACUUUUAUUUUUUUGGGGGGGGGGUGUCAUGUUACCUCCUCUCUUUCUUGCUUGGCAAGUAUAUUGUUAGGAAAAAAAUUGUGGUUGAAAUAUUGUGCCAGAAAUAAAAUUCAAAUCAAAAACAAAAGGAAAAAAAUCAAAUGCCACAUUCAUUCAAAUUGUUUAUAGUUGAAGAAGUCAUGUUAUCUUCUCUCACUGAUUUUAAAUGGAUGAAUUUGAAUUCAAAAGAAAAUGGGAAAGUCAUUUUGUUCCCUCUCAUUCAAAAGUUUUAAAAAAGUUUCAAAUUUAACUCAAGUUUCAAUCACUCAAACAAACAAACAAUGAAUCUAAUAAUUAUAUUAACAUUCCAAAAUUUAUAAUUUUGGGAUGUUCCAUACCACGCCCGAGGGGCUUGCUUGAGGCCAUAGAGUGCCUUUUUGAGUUUGAAGACUUUAUCAUGGUGCUUUGGGUCUUCAAAACCUGGGGGCUAAGCAACAUAUACUUCUUCCUCAAGCUUACCAUUGAGGAACGCAAUUUGCACAUCCAUUUGAUAUAUAUUAAUAUUUGUGAUGGUUAGCAUAAGCAAGCAAUAUUCAAAUAGCCUCAAAUCUAGAAACAUGUGCAAAAGUUUCAUCAAAGUCUAUUCCUUCAACCUGUGUGUAGCCUUGUGGUACAAGUCGUGCCUUGUUUCACACUACCUGACCAUCCUCAUCUUUCUUGUUUCGGUAGAUCCACUUGGUGCUGAUGAUAGUGUGUUUGCGCGUAUCUGGUCUUUUGACGAGUUCCCACACGUCAUUUAACUUGAACUGAAGAAGUUCAUCUUGCAUAGCUUUAAUCCACUCAGGUUCUAUGAAGGCUUCAACAACUUUUGAGGGUUCUGUGAUAGACACAAAAGAGGAAUGCCCACAAAAUUUAACUAAAUGUGAAGCUUUUGAGCGAACGAGAGGACCUGGCGCAUUGAUGAUUUUGUCAAUUUCCAAUUCAUUUGCAAUCCUUGGAUAUGCUGGUUGAAGACUUAGGUUGGGUUGAGGAAUUUGGUCUGUAGCAUUUUCCUCAGGUGCCCCUGCUUGAAUUUCAUCAUUGUUGGGGACGAUUUGUUCAACAAGGGGUUGUUCCAUAGCAGGAAUUAUAUCUUAAGUAGCCUUGUGCUUUAUAGCUUCCUCAUGAGUCAAUUUAUCUGUCACAAGAGGUAGUUGCUCUCUUUGCGAGCCGUUAGUUUCAUCAAAUCGCACUUCUAUAGUUUCAACAACCUUGUUAUGAUAGGUGUUGAAGACCGUGUUUUUGAAUUCUGUUCCAUUAUCACUUCUGAUGUGUUUGAUCUUGGCGUCGAAGUUCGUUGAGGCCCUUGAGGAAAAUCGUUUGAAGACUUCCUGCACUUCAUUUUCGUAAGCGGUGAUGUGUACCCAAGUAUAACGAGAACAGUCAUCAACGAUGACAAAACCAUAUAGAUAUGCUGCAUUGGUUAGAGUAGCAUAAUGAGUAGGUCCAAAGAGAUCCAUAUGAAGCAAUUCAAACGGACGAGCAGUAGUCAUGAUAUUCUUCAAGGGGUGAUUGGAUCUGGUCAUUUUCAGACUCACAAGCACCGCAGAGAUGGUCCUUGAGGAAUUUGAUAGUUUUGAUGCCAAUGACAUGCUUCUUCUUUGUCGGUGUGUGCAAAUUCCUCAUGCCUGCAUGACCAAGUCGUCGAUGCCAUAGCCAGCCUUCUGAUGUUUUUGCUAGUAAACACGUGGCUGGUUGAGGACCUGUGGAAAAAUCAACAAUAUACAAGUCUCCUCUCCUAAAGCCUUCGAAGACUUUGGAUUUGUCAGAUUCCAUGAUGACUACACAUCUAUAUUUUCCAAAGAUUAGAAUCAUAUCAAGAUCACAAAGCAUGGAAACUGACAUGAGGUUAAACCUAAGGGAUUCGACAAGCAUGACUUUGUCCAUGUGCCGAUCCUUGGAGAUAACCACUUUACCAAGUCCCAAUACCUUGCUUUUACCUUUAUUAGCGUAAGUGAUUUGCUUCAGUGGUGAUGGUGUUAGUGGGAUAUUCAUCAAUAAGAUUUUAUCACCAGUCAUGUGAUUUGUACAUCCACUGUCAAGAACCCACUCUGUGUUCUUGGGUUGAUCAUCCAGCAGAUGAAUUAGUACAGCUUACCUUCUCAUAUGCUUCAGAUUUGAAGAAUAUGAUUUCAAUUUCAUCAGACUUGAAUUUCAUCACAAACAGUAAAUUUGAGGACAUAUGAAAUGUUAGUUCAUUUUAUCAUGUUUUAGCUUGCGUUCAAUCAAGCAAUUUCCUCAGGUAUCCAACAAAUUCUUCACAUGAUGACUUUCAUCUCGAGACGUGUCAUGUAGAAGUGAUUAGUUCGAUUUCUUCACCACCCACAUUUGGAGGGGUGGCAAAUAGUUCAUCAUCCUAUGAGCACCAUAUGAGAAUGGAGGCAUUGAAGCUAAUGCACUUCUUUUCACAAUAGGGGGGUUAGAGUACUGAAAUGAAUAGGCAGAGAAAUUCUUUGAAGACUUAUGAACAUAAUGAUUUGAGGAAUAGUGCACAUAUUCAUGUCCAUUGUAGUUUCCGUGCAUAUCAGAAGCAUUAGUGCGUGUACGAGCGUAAUUUUGACCAUAUGAGGAAUUUGAUCCUCGUGAAGACUUUGGUCCACCUGAGGAAUUUGAUCUGGGUUUCGAUUCUUCACUCGUGGUGACAUGAGGACAUUCACGUGAAAAUUUUCCAAGCAACUUUUGGGAACCCAGAUUUUCCUCCAAGGAGGUCCAUUCCUGCAGUUAGUUCCAACAUAUCGAGCAAAUACUUCACCAGACUGAUUUUUGAACAAUUUAUAGUUGGAGUCAAAUGACUCAUCAGAGGAAUAGGACAUUUCACAUGCAAAGCCUGUUGGAGUGGAUGGAUCAAUGGGAGGUCCUUUAGCAGAAGCCCAUGAGGUUUUGGGGUACUGCUCAGGUUUCUAGUAUGAUCCAUCAACAUUCAUUUUCCUUUCGAAGGCAAUGCCCUCUUUCCUCGGGUUCCUGUUCAAAAUCUACCUUCUGAGCACAUCGCAAAGGGUUUGAUGCCCUUUGAGACUUCUGUUUAUGCCUGUCACAUACAAUUCCUUCAAUCCUGCAUUUUCGUCAGUAGCAUUUGUGGUUUCCUCAAGUGAAGAAUUUAAUACUACAUGAAUAGUUGAAGAAUUUGUAGCGAUAGAAACAUUUGAGGAUUCAGAUGAAGAAUUAGCAGUUUCAUGUUCGAUGCAUUUCAGACAUGGUGGAAUGAAUUCUUCCCGAGCGGUACUGAUCUGUUGAGCAAGCAGUGAAUCAUUUUCCAUUCGAAGAUCAUCAUGGGACAUUUUCAACUUCUCAAGAUCAAGCUUCCUUUGAAGAAAUUCAUAGGAAAGCUUCUCAUGAUCAGCGAAGUGUGUACCAUAACGAUGUUGAAGACUAUCAAAUCUAUUCUGAAGACUUUGAACAUCUUAAGUCAGGAUUUGAGUAUGAUUCAUUUCAUCAUUCAACAGACCAUCGCUUUUGUCUAGUAGUUUCUGAAGCUUUUUAAUAGCAGUUUGUCGCUUAGUGGCAAUGUUGGCAAGUUUAAAGUAACUAGGAUUUUGAUAAUCAUUAGGUUCACACUCACUAGAGUAUGAGGAGGAUGUGUGGUUUGGUACCGUUGAACAUGUUGCCAUGAAGCAAUAGGUUGGAGCAAAGUCAUCAUCAUAUUCAUCCGUGUUGUUGACGAUAUCAUUUUCCUCAAAGUUGAAGAUCCAUGAUACGUCUCCAACGUAUCUAUAAUUUUUGAUGGUUUCAUGCUAUUAUCUUGUCAAACUUUGCAUGUUUUGCAUGCCUUUUAUAUUUUUUGGGACUAACUUAUUAACUCAGUGCCAAGUGCGAGUUCCUGUUUUUCCAUGUUUUUGACCCCUUUCAGAGAAGAUUUUGAAAUGGAGUCCAAACGGAAUAAAAUCCCCAAAAAUAUUUUUUACGUAACGGAAGAAGAUCAGAAGACUUGAGAGCCAAGGCAGGGUGGCCCCAGGGGCCCCACAAACCCCCACCCCGCGACCAGGGGGGAGGCCGCAGCCCUCAGGCUUGUGGACCCCCUGGACACCCUUUGCCCUAGGUUUUGCGCCUAUAUAUCCCCAAAAAUUCCACAAAAAAAUCAAGAGAUCAUCAAAAGUACUUUUCCGCCGCCGCAAGCUUCUGUCUCCACAAGAUCCCAUCUGGAUCACGUUCUGGUGUCUUUCCGGAGGGGGGAUUCGAAUACGGAGGGCUUCUUCAUCAACACCAUGACCUCUACGAUAAUGCGCGAGUAGCUCACCAUAGACCUAUGGCUCCAUAGCUAGUAACUAGAUGGCUUCUUCUCUCUCUUGAAUCUUCAAUACAAAGUUCUCCAUGAUCUUCAUGGAGAUCUAUCCGAUGUAAUCUUCUUUUUCGGUGUGUUUGUCGAGAUCCGAUGAAUUGUGGAUUUAUGAUCAGAUUAUCUAUGAAUCUUACUUGAGUUUCUUCUGAUCUCUCUUACGCAUGAUUUCAUAUCCUUGUAAUUCUCUUCGAGUUGUGGGUUUUGUUUGGCCAACUAGAUCUAUGAUUAUUGCAUUGGGAGAAGUGCUUGGUUUUGGGUUCAUACCGUGCGAUGACCUCACCCAGUGACAGAAGGGGUAGCGAGGCACGCAUCGUGUUGUUGCCAUCAAGGGUAAAAAGAUGGGGUUUUCAUCAUUGGUUUGAGAUUAUCCCUCUACAUCAUGUCAUCUUGCUUAAAGCGUUACUCUGUUCGUCAUGAACUCAAUACAGUAGAUGCAUGCUGGAUAGCGGUCGAUGUGUGGAGUAAUAGUAGUAGAUGCAGAAAGUAUCGUUCUACUUGUCUCGGACGUGAUGCCUAUAUGUAUGAUCAUUGCCUUAGAUAUUGUCAUGACUUUGCGCAGUUCUAUAAAUUGCUCGACGGUAAUUCGUUCACCCACCGUGAUAUUUGCUAUUUUGAGAGAAGCCUCUAGUGAACACUAUGGCCCCCGGGUCUACUCCACACCAUAUUUUCAGCCUUACACUUUUUUACUUCGUUGCACUUUCCGCCUUCAGAUCUCACUUUGCAAACAAUCUUGAAGGGAUUGACAACCCCUUUGAAGCAUUGGGUGCAAGCACAUUUGUGUUUGCGCAGGUAUUCUGAACUUGACGAGACCCUCCUACUGGAUCGAUACCUUGGUUCUCAAACUGAGGGAAAUACUUACUGCUCCUAUGCUGCAUCACCCUUUCCUCUUCAAGUGAAAAACCGACGCAAACAAGAGAAGUAGCAAGAAGAUUUCCUGGAGUUGCCGGGGAAGGACUUUUGUUGCCGUAGCAAUCCAGUUGCUUAGAAAUGUGGUAGCAAGUGCAAGACUCGCCACACCAGAUUCUGACUCCACUUCAGAACCUUCCUCUUCAUCACAUUCCUCAUAUUCUUCUUCAGAAUCCAUUUCCUUGCCAAUGAGUGCCCGAGCCUUUCUGAAAUAGGUCUUCUUGUGCGAUGAGGACUUUGAAGAUUUCUUCUUUUUCUUCGAGUCGUUAGAACUUUCAUCCUUGUAUUUCUUCUUCCUUGAUUCGUUCAUCCAACGAGGACAGUCGGCAAUGUACUGACCAAAUUUCUUGCAUUUGUGGUAGGUUCUUUUCUUUUAGUCUUCAGAUGAAAAUUCUGAUUUCCUCAUAUCAUUUUUUGAUGACUUUACAAACUGUGCACGCCUUGAGAACUUCUCUAAUUUCCUCACGAGCAUAGCGAGUUCCUGACCGAGUUCUUGAGGAGCACCAAGACUUCAGUCAGAUUGUUCUUCUGUAGAUGAGGAAACAACCUUUGCCUUCAGUGCACGAGGUCUUGAAUAGCUUGGUCCAUAUAGGUCUCUCUUUUCUUCUUAUUGGAAUUUGUGAGUAUUGAGUCUCUCAAGAAUAUCGGCGGGAUCAAUUAGCUUGUAGUCUCUUUGUUCUUGAAUCAUCAGUACCAGUGUGUCAAAUGAAGGAUCAAGAGAUUGUAGCAGUUACUUCACAACUUCAUGGUUAGUGAUGUCUCUGGCUCCAAGAGCCUGAAGCUCAUUGGAGAUGUCAGUGAGGCGAUCAAAGAUGUCUCGACAUCUUUCAUUAUCAAGUCCCUUGAAGCGAUUGAAGAGAUUGCGAAGAACAUAAACACGAGAGUCACGUUGUGUGGACACUCCUUCGUUGACUUUGGAUAUCCUUUCCGAGAUAAGCUACGCAGAAGACAAAGCACUCACUGUGCCAUAUCGACCUUUGCUCAGAUGGUCACAAAUGAUAUUCUUUUUUUGAGAGUCGAGUUGCUUGAAUCUCUUCACAUCAGCGGCAGUGAUAGUUGAAGUGAAAAGGGGAACACCAUUUUCCACAAUGUACUAGAGAUCGUUGUCAAUUUCUUCAAGGUGCAUGCACAUCUUGUUCUUCAAGUAAGGGAAAUCAUUUCCUUCAAAGGUAGGACACCCCACAGUCACCUUGAUCAUACCUACAACCGACAUAACUAAAACUCUAGGUGGUUAAACCAAAUCACACAGAACAAGGGAGUACCUUGCUCUGAUACUAAUUGAAAGUGCGUUAUAAUGACUAGAGGGGGGUGAAUAGGCAAUUUUCGAAAAUUCAUCACUAUGGAAAUUCCAAGUGAGGGAAGUCCUCAAUCAUGAACUGAGUGCAGUAGAAUAAGUACUCAAACCGACAUGCAAAAGGGACUAUAACUUAGUUCUCAGAGUGAGUUGCAGUGUUCGGUUUGCAUAGGUCGCAUGAACAGGAUAAGCAGGUGAUGAAUAACUUGAGUGAAGAAUUUGAGCUCAGGAAUUCAGAGAAUGUCUUCAGUCAAAUUCUUCAUAUGGUACAGAUCAAAGUCAUCAACAUGUAGUGGAGGAAAUGAAAGAGUUGAAGAAAAAGAACCCAUAGUUCGAUGAAGACAAUGGUUUGAUGACCCAGUUUCAACUGCUGUGACAGUCGUACAUCUGGUUUGGAGCUGCUUGGUAUUCAAACCAAAGGACACAUAGUCCCGGGACACACAGUCCCUACCAUAUUCUCCUUGAGCUAAGGACACACAGUCUUCUCCCAACACUCGUGGUAGGUCUUGAGAGCAGACUUCCAAACCCUCUCAAACUCGGUUACCCGGCGAUCUACAAUUUACUAUUUGUUGCUCUAGACCAUUGAAGCCUAACCAUCUGGAGGAUCCACGGUCCUCAAAGGUAACAAGCAUCAGAUCCACACAAGAACAAUCUCUUCAGUGAUGCUCAAUCACUUUGGGUUUUGGUUUUGGUUUGGUUAUUUAGGGUUUUUCCUCACUUGAUGAUUUCCGCUCCAAGUCCUCGAGGAUUGAGUUGCUCUAAAUGACAAGUGUCAGUCUCUCUCGGAGCAGCCAACCUACUAGUGGUUGUAGGGGGUGGCUAUUUAUAGCCAUGCAGCAUCCCGACAUGAUUUGACAUUAAUGUCCCCAAUGAUAUGACCGUUGAGUGGAUAAGAUUGGGGACAGGUGGCGCACGACGCGGGAACGGUCGGAUCUUUCAGCUGUGAAAGUCCUCAUGUCUCUGAUCUUCCUCACUAAUAGGCAAUUCGUGCUCGUGAAAUCCUAACUCCUAAGUUAGUGCAAUUUCUUCAGCGACCAGAAGAACUGCGUCGCUGCCACUUAAGACUUGGACUAAUCUAUGAGAGAUUUUCAAAGCCUUCACUUGAAGGUUUUGGUAUUUUUAGGCUUUAAGUUGAGCAUCACGAGGAAAUCUUUCCUUAGUAUUACCUUGAACCCUGAUAACCCACAAGUGUAGGGGAUCGCAACAGUUUUCGAGGGUAGAGUAUUCAACCCAAAUUUAUUGAUUCGACCCAAACGGAAGCGAAAGAAUAUUAUCAAGUAUUGGCAUCUGAGUUUGUCAAUUUCAACCACACCUGAAAGAUUAUUGUCUGCAAGCAAAGUAUUAGUAGCAAAGUGGUAUGAUAGCAACGGUGUUAGAAAAAGAUCUGUUGACGGCAGACUAUUCUUAACUGUUGUAUCAAUGGCGCGAGUAAAUAGCACGUGGACGGGGAACUAUUCUUUCCCGGCAAUGGCUCCAAGAAAGUCUUGCAACAAGUAGCAGCAAAGUAACAACAGUAGUGACAACAGUAGCAAGGAACAACAGUAGUGACAGAAGUAGCAGCAGCAAAGUAAGAGCAGUAGCGACAGCAGUAGCAGCAAAGUAACGUAGCAAGGACCAGUAGUAAAAGACUCGUAGGAAGUGGAUCGGUGAUGGAUGAGUGUGCCGUAUGUUUGUCAUCAUGUAACAGCUAUAACACGGAGAGAUAUGUAACUAGCUCCCGUUCGUCGAUCUAAUGUAGGCAUGUAUUCCGUAUGUAGUCAUACGUGCUUAGGGAAAAGAACUUGCAUGACAUCUAUUGUCCAUCCCUCCCGUGGCAACGGGGUCCUAAUGGAAACUAUGGGAUAUUAAGGUUCUCCUUUUAAUAAAGAACCGGACCAACGCAUCAACACGCGGUGUAUACCUGAACUCCUCAUACUAUGGUCAUCUCCGGGAGUGGUUCCGGCUAUUGUCACUCCGGUGUUUCCGGGUCAUAACACAUAGUAUGUGGCUACAACUUGCAGGACAGGAUCUAAAACACACAUAUAUUGGCGACAACAUAAUAGGUUCAGAUCUGAAAUCAUGGCACUCGGGCCCUAGUGACAAGCAUUAAGCAUAGCCAAGUAGUAGCAACUUCAAUCUAGAACAUAGUGGAUACUAGGGAUCAAUCCCCGUCAAAAUUAACUCGAUUACAUGAUAGAUCUCAUCCUACUCAUCACCGCCCAGCGAGCCUACGAAUAGAUUACUCACGAACGAUGAAGAGCUUCAUGGAAUUGGAGAGGGAAGAAGGUUGAUGAUGACGAUGGCCACGAUUUCCCCUCUACGGAGCCCAGAACAGACUCCAGAUCUGCCCUCGAGAUGAAGAAUACGAGGUGGCAGCGCCUCCGUAUCGUUAAACGCGAUGAAUCCAUCUCUCUGUUUUUUUCCGGGCGAGACGGAAUAAAUAGAGCCGAGUUUGGGGGCGGUGGUGCCACCUGGGCCCCACAAGCCCCACGGCGCUGUCUAGGGGGGUGGCCGCGGCCCCGGGGUUUGUGGCCCACUGGCACACCCCCUCCGGCGGAUCUUUGCGGAGGUAUUUUUCUUUAAUUCCAGAAAAAUUCUCCGUAAAUUUUCAGGACAUUCCGAGAACUUUUAUUUCUGCACAAAAACAACAACAUGGCAAUUCUGCUGAAAAUAGUGUUAGUCCGGGUUAGUUCCAUUCAAAUCAUGCAAAUUAGAGUCCAAAACAAGGGCAAAAGAGUUCGGAAAAGUAGAUACGACGGAGACGUAUCAACUCCCCAAGCUUAAAGCCUUGCUUCUCCUCACGGAAUUCAGUUGACAAAUUGAAAGAGACAAAAGGAAAACUUUGACGAACUCUGUUUGAUCUUGUUGUUGCAACUAUGUCUAAGUCAUAACCAGAAUUUCAGCAAGAUCGCAAGCAAACCACAUAAGCAAAUGACAUCUAGAUCUCACGGUAAACUCAUAUCAAUGGCAUAAUCAGCUAGCGAGCAAAUAAUAGUAACUCUCAAACGUCAACACUUCAAUCAAAACAACAUGAAGCAAUACGAAUAGAUGGUAUCUCACUAGCUCUUUAUGAGACCGCAAAACAUAAAUGCAGAGCACCUUCAAAGACCAAGGGCUGACUAAACAUUGUAAUUCAUGGCAAAGAAGAUCCAGUCACAGUCAUAACACAGUUAAAAGCAAAACAUAAAAACAACAGCGGUGCUCUCUAAUUGGUGCUUUUAUAAGAGGAGGAUGACUCAACAAGAACAUAAAUAGACAGGCCCUUCGCAGAGGGAAGCAUUGGUUUGCAGAGGUGCCAGAGCUCAAGCCUUGAAAACAGUGGUAAUAACUUUGGGUGGCAUGCUUUCAUUGCCAACGCAAUGACUAAGAGUUCUCAACAUCUUCCACGCUACACAUGCUAUAGGCGGUUCCCAAACAGAAAAGUAAAGUUUUGACUCCCCCACCACCAAUCAAUCACACUCCACGGCUAGCCAAAUCCUCAAGAACCGUCCAUACCAACAUCAAUCCUAGGGGAGUUUUGUUUGCAAUUAUAUUUUCGAUUUGAGCAUGGAACUCGGAAUUCCAAUUACCUGCCCCUUUCUCGUGAAUGAUAGUGAAUAAACACAUAUCGAGGAUAACACGCCUAGGAUGGAAGAUAUCUAUAGCCCCCUGUCACCACAUGAGCGGUUCGGGCAUGCAAAACAGAUUAUUUCUUGAAGGUUUAGAGAGUGGCACAUGCAAAUUUACUUGGAACGAAGGGUAGAUACCGCAUAUAGGUAGGUACGGUGGACUCAUAUGGAACAACUUUGGGUUUAUGGGAGUGGAUGCACAAGCAGUAUUCCCGUUUAGUACAAGUGAAGGCUAGCAAAAGACUAGGAAGCGACCAACUAGAGAGCGACAAGAGUCAUCAAUAUGCAUUGAGAUUAACUAACAUUGAGUGCAAGCAUGAGCAGGACAUAAAUCACCAUGAACAUGAACAUUAGAGAGGCUAUGUUGAUUUUGUUUCAACUACAUGCAUGAACAUGCGCCAAGUCAAGACACUUGAAUCAUUCAAAGGAGGAUACCAUCCUAUCAUACUACAACACAGUCAUCUCAAAAUUCAUGUGGGCAUCCAAGACAAACCAUUAGAAGCUCCUAGCUAAGUAAGCAUGGCAUAAGCAACUAUGAUAUCUAAGUUGUCGUUGUAAACAUGUUUCCCUCACAACAAAGCUGAAUCAGGCAUGAUGAGCUAGUCAUAUUUACAAAAACAAAAUAGAUCGAGUUCAUACCAGCUUUUCCAGGCUCAGUCACUUCAUCAUAUAUCAUCAUUAUUGCCUUUCACUUGUACGACCGAACGAUGUGAACAAUAAUAAGCAUGCUCGUGCAUUGGACUAAAGCUGGAAUCUGCAGGCAGACACAAAGGAAAAGACAAAGUAAUAUGGCUCUUUGAAAGCUAAACAGGUAUGCAUGCAAGAGCCACUAAACAUUGUAACCAUGGUCUGCUACCUUGACCCAAAGAAAAAGAAAACUAUUUACACGGGAAAGCUCCCAACAAGAAAAAGAAGAAAAAGAAAAUAUUUUUGGUAUUUCUCAAACUAGACAGACACACGAAAAGAAAACUAGAGAAAGAAAAUAAACUAGUAUGGAUGAUAAAGUGGCAAAGUGUGAACACCGGCUAACAAAGUGAAAGCAUAAGCAAGAAUGUAAAGUCGGUGAGAAACACGUACUCCCCCAAGCUUAGGCUUUUUGCCUAAGUUGGUCUACUACCAAGGAGGGAAAUAACCAGCUCCAGGAUACUCUGGAGUGGACUGAGGAUGCCACUGCUGUGUGAGCUCCUGUGGCUCCCAUUGAUAAACGGUGUCUGGUACUCGACUGGUGGCUCGGGCACGGGCACAUGUGGUUGGGCUAAGCCCCAGUAUGCGUAGAUGUUCGAGGGCAUGAUAAUGUACCUGCCUGCAUGAAGAUUGAACAAAGAAGGAGCAGGCAAAGUAAUACUCUCACGAGUACCCUGACUAAACACCAGGUUAUAACUCAUCCUUCUACUUAUAUCUCUAUAAAGAAAGUCAUGGCGAACCAUGUUAUCGUAAUCUAGAUAUCUCUCGGGAAGAAGAAUCUCUUCUUCCUCCUCGAGUCUAAUAGGUAUCUCAAAGUGUAUAGCAAGACGAGUAGCAUAGAUACCUCCAUAGACAACGCCUUUAGAACGGUUCGGGUUCAACCGUUAAGCUACUAUAGCGCCCAAGCUAUAAGUUUUAUCAUUAUCAAGGGCUUCGCGCAAGACCGCAAGAUCUGGGGAACUAAGUGACCCAGAUUUCCCACGGCCAAUCAAACAUUUUCCCACAAAAAGUGAGAAGUACCGAAGCACGGGAAAAUGAAUGCUAGCAGCUCUAGCGCAAGACACUCCUCUCUCCUCUCCUACAGCAAUUGUACCGAUGAAAGCUUCCAAGUCUCGUGGACGAGGUUCGUGAAUAUCCCCAACGUAAGGUAAUUUGCAGACAUUGCAAAAAUCCUGGAGUGACAUCCGCUGGGGGAUAUCAUAAAGUUUGAACUCAACCAUAGGAGGAUUCUUCCUCGGAUAGAAGUUAAAGCUUUGUACGAAGAUAUUAGUGAGGAGGAGGUAUUGCGGAAACUUAUCUUCAACGAAGGCGGUACGGCCUGCGUUUUCCACCAAGUGAUAAAAGUCCUCAUAAAUUCGAGCGGCGCGUAAGAACACGUCGCUUGGCCACUCUCAUGCUCGAACUUCUGCGACUCGAGGGACCAAAUACUUGGGCUUCUUCUCACUCCCAUCAUCCUUGGGGUCACGGCUUGAAGAGCCUCUUAAGAACCUCCUCAUCCUUUCCCUAUCUAUCUCUGAAAAUUUCUGAAAUUUUUAGUGAUUCUAAGGAAAAGUGAACAAGGCUCAACGAAACUCGUAGCAACUACUCCCACAAGUGCCUAGAGGCUAUAUUACGCAUCAAAACUACUUGGGACCAGCUAGAAUUAGCAUGCAAAGCUUAAGAAUAUGGUCACCAAGGCAGCAAAAAUACGCGAAGUAUAAGGCACUAGAGCAAAAACUAAUUGGACCAAUGGAGGAGUCACUUACCAAGGACUAAUUUCCCCAAAACAGUUCGGAGAAUGGUCAUUUGAGCAAAGAGAUCGAAAAUCCCAGCAAGAGGAGCAAGAACACGGGUUUGAGUUGUGAAACGAUUUUUUCUGGAGGUAGGAGAAGCAGAUGAGAGCAAUAAUGAGUGGAGGGGGUGCCUGUGGGCCCCACAAGCCUGGGUGGCGCGGCCAGGGGGGUGCCCGCGCCAUUAGGGCUUGUGGCCCACUGGUGCAGCCCCCAGACAAGCUCUUUGUCUCAGAAUUUUUCAAAAAAUCCAGAAAAAAUCAUACUAGAUUUUCAGGACAUUCAGAGAACUUUUAUUUCUGAGGUACUUUUCUACCGGAUGCUAAAACAGAAAACAGGGAAAACUAAACUAAAUCUAUCAUGUUUCUUCUAAGCAACCUAAAGUGAUAGCUUGGAACAGAGGUUUGUGACUGCUCGAUUCAUCCAUCUCAUGGUCAUCGAAAGAAAUUCGUUAGUGAGGUUCAUCAAGUCUCUUUGACAAACCUUUUCGAAUCGCAAAAAGAGAACGGAUAAUUUCCGAAUAGUCACUAGGUCACCUCAUUGGGGAUGUCAAUCUCCCCAACAAGAAAAUCAUACUUCAUCUUGACACGAGGUAUAGGGCAUUCAAAGCUCCCAAUAAGAAUCGAUAAAGUUUUUUCGAUAGCAUUGAUGCAAUGUACUCGAUAUUGUUUCUUCGGAAAGUGCACCGUAUGCUCAUUACCGUUGACAUGGAAAGUGAGAUUGCCUUUGUUGCAAUCUAUAACAAUGCCUGCAGUGUUUAAAAAGGGUCUUCCGAGGAUGACCGCCAUGGCAUCGUCCUCGAGAAUAUCCAAGAUAACAAAGUCUGUUAAGAUAAUGACAUUAGCAACCACAAUAGGCACAUCCUCGCAAAUGCCGAUAGGGAAAGCAGUUGAUUUGUCCGCCAUUUGCAGAGAGAUUUUAGUGGGUGUCAACUUAUCCAGUUCAAUUCUACGAUAAAGAGAGAGAGGCAUAACACUAACACCGGCUCCAAGAUCGCAUAAAGCAGUCCUAACGUAGUUGCCUUUAAUGGAGCAAAGUAUAGUGGGCACACCAGGAUCACCUAGUUUCUUAGGUGUUCCACCCUUGAAGGUAUAAUUAGCAAGCAUGGUGGAAAUAUCAACCUCAGGUAUCCUCCUCUUAUUAGUCACAAUAUCUUUCAUGUACUUAGCAUACGGAGACAUUUUGAGCAUAUCUGUCAAACGCAUUUGCAGAAAGACAAGUCUAAUCAUUUCAACAAAGCGCUCAAAAUCCUCAUCAUCCUUUUUCAUGGAUGGUUUGGGAGGAAAGGGCAUGGGUUUCUGAACCCAUGGUUCCCUUUCUUUACCGUGCUUCCUAGCAGCGAAGUCAUUCUUAUCAUAUCUCUUAGUCUUAGGCUGUGGGUUCUCAAGAUCAAUAGGUUCAAUAUCCACAUUCUUAUUGUUGCUAGGUUGAGCAUCUUCAUUAAAAUCACUAUUGAUAUUAUCAUUAGGCUCAUGUUCAUCACGAGAUUGUGUUUCAGCAUCAGAGACAGAGACAUCGUUUGGACUCUCAGGGGUAGCAGCAACAGGUUUGCUAGCGUGCAGGUUCCUAUCAUCUUUCUUCUUCUUUCUAGGAUGACUAGGUGCAUCAGUGCUAACUCCUUGAGAAUCUUGUUCAAUUCUCUUCGGAUGAACCUCGGGAUACAAAGGUUCCUGGGUCAUUCUACCGCCUCUAGUAAAGACUCUGACAGAAUUGUCAUUCAACUCAUUGAGCAAGUCAUUCUGAGCUUAAGUACUUGUUCUACCUGAGUAGUAACCAUAGAGGCAUGUUUACUCAGAAGCUUAAGAUCAUUGACAUUUCUGUCCACACAAGCACUUAAAUGACUAAGCAUACGAGCAUUAUGUUCCAAUUGUCCGCUAACAUAACAAUUGAAACUCUGUUGUUUGGCAACAAAGUUCUCAAAUUCUUCCAGGCACAAGCUAGCAUGUUUAUCAAAAGGAAUAUCACUCUCAUCAAACCUACACAGAGAAUUUACUUCUACUACCUGUAUUGGAUUAUCGGGACCAUGGAUCUCUUCGAUAGGUGGUAGAUUUUUGACAUCUUCAGAUUUAAUGCCUUUCUCUCGCAUAGAUUUCUUGGCUUCUUGCAUAUCUUCAGGACUGAGGAAUAAAAUACCUCUUUUCUUUGGAGUUGGCUUAGGAGGUGGUUCGGGAAUAGUCCAAGCAUUCUCAUUGCACAAGAUGUUAUUCAAUAGAAUCUCAGCUUGUUCUAUGGUUCGUUCCCUAAAAACACAACCAGCACAACUAUCUAGGUGGUCUUUGGAAGCAUCGGUAAGUCCAUUAUAGAAGAUAUCAAGUAUUUCAUUCUUCUCAAGAGGGUGAUCAUGCAAAGCAUUGAGUAGCUGGAUGAGCCUCCCCCAAGCUUGUGGGAGACUCUCUUCUUUAGCUUGAGCAAAGUUGUAUAUUUCCUGCAAGGCAGCUUGCUUCUUAUGGGCAGGGAAAUAUUUUUUAGAGAAGUAGUAGACCAUAUCCUGGGGGCUACGCACACAACCAGGAGCAAGAGAAGUGAACCAAGUUUUAGCAUCAUCCUUUAGCGAGAAAGGAAACAGCUUGAGGAUAUAGUAGUGGCGGGUCUUUUACUCACUAGUGAAUAGGGUGGCUAUAUCGUGCAGUUUGGUAAGAUGGGCUACAACCGUUUCACACUCAUAAUCGUGAAAAGGAUCAGAUUCGACCAGAGUGAUUAACUCAGGUUCGAUAGAGAAUUCAUAAUCCUUAUCGGUCACAAAGAUAGGCGAAGUAGCAAACUUCGGUCGUAUUUCAUCCUAGCGUUCAGAGAUUUUUCUUUCCACUUGGGUAGUAGUUUCUCAACAUCAUAGCUAUCCUUACACGCAAGAAAACCCUCAGCUAUCUCUCCCUCCAUAACAUAGAGCUCAAGCAUAAUAGGCAAUUCAGGCAUAGUAGCAGGUUCUACUUCAAUAGUAUCAGCAGUUUCACAAGUAUCCUCACGUCUAGAAGCAACUCUAGCAAUUUGUGCAUCAAUGACACCUAGUUGCAAAGCAGUAUCAAGCAUAGCAUCAUCAGGCAUAGUAUCAAGCAUAGCAUCAUCAGGCAUAGUAUCAAGCAUAGCAUCAUCAGGCAUAGUAUCAAGCAUAGCAUCAUCAGGCAUAGUAUCAAUAAUAGCAUCAUCAUAAGCAUCAUAGGCAGCAGAACUAGCAUCAUCAAGCACAGGCGUCAUAUCAAGAUUUCUAGUAGGAGGCGAUGUCGCAAACUUACUCAAAACUGAAGGUGAAUCAAGUGCAGAGCUAGAUGGCAGUUCCUUGCCUCUCCUCGUAGUGGAAGGCAAGAUUUUAGUUCUUGGAUCUUUCGGAUUCCUCAUAGUUACCAGCAGACGUCAAUCCCAAGUGACUCAAAGAAUAUAGUUGUCCUUCCCUGGCAACGGCGCCAGAAAAUAGUCUUGAUAACCCACAAGUGUAGGGGAUCGCAACAGUUUUCGAGGGUAGAGUAUUCAACCCAAAUUUAUUGAUUCGACACAAAGGGAAGCAAAAGAAUAUUCUCAAGUAUUAGUAGCUGAGUUUGUCAAUUUCAACCACACCUGAAAGAUUAGUGUCUGCAAGCAAAGUAUCAAUAGCAAAGUGGUAUGAUAGCAAGCGUGUCAGAAAAAGAUCUGUUGACGGCAGACUAUUCCUAACUGUUGUAUCAACGGCGACAUUAAAUAGCACGUGGACGGGGAACUAUUCUUUCCCUGCAACAGCUCCAGAAAAGUCGUGCAACAAUUAGCAGUAAAGUAACAGCAGUAGUGACAGCAGUAGCAAGGAACAGCAGUAGUGACAGCAGUAGCAGCAGUAGCAAGGAACAACAGUAGUGACUGCAGUAGCAGCAGUAGAGUAACAGCAGUAGCAGCAAAGUAACGUAGCAAGGACCAGUAGUAGAAGACUCGUAGGCAGUGGAUCGGUGAUGGAUGAGUGUGCCGGAUGUGAUUCAUCAUGUAAUAGCUAUAACACGGAGAGAUAUGUAACUAGCUCCCGUUCGUCGAUCUAAUGUAGGCAUGUAUUCCAUAUGUAGUCAUACGUGCUUAGGGAAAAGAACUUGCAUGAAAUCUAUUGUCCAUCCAUCCCGUGGCAGCGGGGUCCUAAUGGAAACUACAGGAUAUUAAGGUUCUCCUUUUAGUAAAGAACCGGACCAGCGCAUUAACACGUGGGCCCCACAAGCCCUCACGGUGCGGUCUAGGGGGGUGGCCGCGGCCCAGGGGCUUGUGGCCCACUCGCACACCCCCUCCGGUGGAUAUUUGCGCAGGUAUUUUUCUUUAAUUCUAGAAAAUUCUCUGUAAAUUUUCAGGACAUUCCGAGAACUUUUAUUUCUGCACAAAUACAAUAGCAUGGCAAUUCUGCUGAAAACAACAUUAGUCCGGGUUAGUUCCAUUCAAAUCAUGCAAAUUAGAGUCCAAAACAAGGGCAAAAGAGUUCGAAAAAGUAGAUACGACGGAGACGUAUCAACCCCCUUUAGCUGUACGGUGUUCCUAUGACUCAAGAUAGAAGAAAAUGAAACAGAAAGAGUAAAUCUUCAAGCUUCAAAGUCCUCACGGCAAUUUCUUCGGGAUACACCAAAUUCCUCAUAUUCAAAAGUCUUCAUGAGGAAUAGCAAUUUCUUCGCUAUCAAAGUCUUCAGGGAAUGACCAAAGUCUUCACCCGAAGACAUACUUUUUUAGGGGUCGAUAUUCUUCGAAUAACUCAAACUCCUCAGCGACUUAUAGGUCCUAUGCACACCCACAAACAUAUUAGUCUCUCGACCUAUAAGUCUUCAAUCCACCAAAAUCACUAAGGGGCACUAGAUGCACUUACAUGAUCCUCGAACCCCAGGGGUUGCUUGACAUAUACCAAACCCUUAAGGGGACCAUUAAGAAAUGCACUCUUCACAACCAUUUGAUAUAAUUUGAAGUUAUGAUGUGAAGCAAAUGCAAGCAACAUGCGAAUAUAUUCAAGGCGAUCAACGGUACCAAAGGUUUCACCAUAGUCGAUCCCCUCGACUUGGGAGUAGCCUUGUGCUACCAAACUUGCCUUGUUACGAAUGACGACACCAUUUGCAUCUUUCUUAUUCUUAAAUAUCCAAUUGUUUCCAAUGACAUUGUGGUUCUCCAUUGGUCUUUGCAACAAUCGACAUACUUUGUUGUGCUCGAAGUUGUUGAGUUCAUAAUGCAUGGCUUCAACCCUGUCCAUGUCUUCGAGCGCUUCUUGUAACUUUAGGGGUUCAAUGCAAGAAACAAACGCAUGAUAGGCACAAAAGCUUUUUAAUUGUCGGUGAGUGGUUACCCCUUUCAUCAAGCUAUCGUAGACAUUCUCUAACACAUGUGGAUUCUUUAUGAUCUUGGAAGAAUUCUUGGUGGCAUAUCUUCCUCGAUUCUCCUAAGGGGUAAGUUGAGGAGGAACCUUUUUGUGACCUUUACCCCUUUGUGAGCUUGCUCUUGAUCUUGAACAUGCUCUUCAUAUUGAGCUUGCUCGGAGGUGUGAGAUAGAUCAAGGACAUCACUUGGUGAAGCACCAUCACGUGGGUGAUCUUCUCCUUGAUCUUGAUCACAAGGUUGAGGGCCUUCACUUUGUUCUUCAGAAGCGUGUGGGUCUUGCGUAGGCGAUGGUUCCACUUGAUUGGAACAUUGUCCUUCUCCUUCUACCAUAAGGGGUUCCUAAUGGAUAGGAAGUGUCCCACACCCAUUCUUCUUAUGGCUUUGGGAGGAAUUUAAUCACCUACAUCACAAUGACCACUUUGCUCCACUUGGGAGCCAUUAUUCUCAUCAAAAUCCACGUUACNNNNNNNNNNNNNNNNNNNNNNNNNNNNNNNNNNNNNNNNNNNNNNNNNNNNNNNNNNNNNNNNNNNNNNNNNNNNNNNNNNNNNNNNNNNNNNNNNNNNACCUACAGGGCAGGCCUAUGACCCUACCCUAGGACUAUAACCCCAUCAUUAGUCCCCGAAUGGAUUGGGGUUGGAACGACGAAGUGAUGCUUGAAGUUUGGAUCCGACUGAUACGGAUGUAACUUUGGCGUUUCUUGCCUCGAUCCAUUUUAUCUUUUCUGACCAAUGAUCCGAGUGGAAGUAGUUGCGAAACAAACUGUCGGAAACCGAGUGCUUCCGUGGAAUCUUCUGACGUGACCAGUCAACUCACAGCGGCGGAUUUCCCGGGAUCCUCAAAUUUCGGUUAUCGCGCGCUCAGCGGGGAUGACGCCAUCACGCUCGAGUAGCGCCUGACGCCUCGAUUCUCGCACCUUCAUCUUCUCCACUGAUAUCACCGCGGUCGGUCGGUGGACAAGAUUUCGGGGCCACUUGCCAGUGGCCCAGUCGGAACCUUACCUAAAUCCCAGCAGCGAGGGUUUUUUCGUUACGCUUGCUGGACACCUCGCUUUUGCUCUGCUUCCUUCGCCAUCUUCUGCGCCUUCUAAGCUUCUUCCUUCUCCUUCUCCCUCGCGCAUCCGCAGCUUCCGCCAUGACCAAGGGGCAGACUAGUAAGCUAGAGGCACGGAAGAAGAGGGGGAAGGCGGCGGCUCCUGCGCGGAGGCAGCGAACGCUACCGGCGGGGUGGAUCCAGGGGGACUUCCUCCCCUCCACGAUGACGGAGGAGGACUUGCUGGAGCUGGUGGAGCACGGGAUGAUCGCGCACAAGUCAUGGAGGUUGCCGGAGGAGGGUGAGACCGAGCCGGCGCCUCGGGAGGGGGAGCGCGUCCUGCUGCUCAGCCACGUGCAUCGAGGUUCCUCCCUGCCCCCGCACCCUUUCUUCAAAGGCAUAAUGAACCACUUUGGGGCGCAGCUCCACCACUUUCCCCCGAAUGCCAUCGCCCAUCUCUCUGCUUUCGUAGUCUUGUGCGAGUGCUUCAUCGGUUGUCCUCCCCAUUGGGGGCUUUUCAAACAUAUCUUCUCUGCUAGGUCCCAAACUAUCAAACAACUUAAUCAGUCGGAUGAUAAGACUCACCUUCUCCAGCUCUAUGGGGGUUUAGGCUUCCAAAAUAAGAGCAAAAGUAGUUAUCCCGCUCUUCAGCUGAGUGAAUCGGUUAGGAACUGGCAGUCGACAUGGUUCUACUGCCAGGACGUCGCUUGCCCGAAUACCACGAUAGGGCUACCUCCUUUUAGCUUAGAUCGACCAGCUCCGCCUAAGCAGCUCGCGCUCACGAAGGCGGAGAAGAUCCGUAUCCAUCCCCUGGUCGACGCACUCGUAGAUGUCGUCAGAAAGGGAGUCACCGGCAUAGAUUUGCUGGAGGUUUUCCUCGGCCGGCGCAUCCAACCACUGUAGGCCCGAGACUACGCCAUGUGGCAUUACACGGGACCCGAAGACUCCACUCGGACCAACGUCGAGUGCGUGACUUGGCAGACAGUGGCAUCGUGGGUGCUCAAGAUCACAGGCGCGUGUGAGAACCCCAGAGGGUCCCGGUGAGUGAAGGCUUUCCGCGCAGACAACCCUCCUCCGAACGAGGUGAGUACAACUUGUCGAGCGCACAUAACUGUCUUAGAUUUAUCGCUGUCUUGAAUCGCCAUCUGACAUCUGAUGUCACUGACUGUAUUUUAUGCAGAAGUGGACCAAGUGGUUCUCCCCUGUCUCGAACGGGAACCCGGCCGAGGAGGAGGAAGAGGGCAGCCAGGAGGGCAGCAUGGAGAACGUCGAGUACGUCUCCGACAGUGGGGAGAUGGAGGAGGAGUCUGGCGAAGAAGAGGAGGAAGACGAAGAGCAGGACUCGCCACCCCCGCCGCCAGAGCAUCGAACGAAGCGCCGACAUGAACCUGCAGCUCCCUCGGCCCUUCCAGCAUCCUCGAGUGCUCAGCCAACUGCUCCCGUGGUCCUGAGUGCUCGGAGCGCCAAGAGGACCAGGGACGCUGCUGCUGAACCUGCGGGUCAGCCUUCCAUGGUGGCCAAACCGAGCGGAUCUAAACCUCGGAAGGCUUUGCCGCGGAUGAGGAUCAUCGUUCCCGUCACCUCAACGUAAGUGCAUUGUUCUUCUAACUUCUUCUGAUAUUCGAUUAAACUCCUGUUUGAUGGUCGAAUGAAUUUCACUCGACAGGGUUGCCACCUCUGCCACCUCUCCGGCGCGCCAGGGGGAUGAUCCCAUGGACACGGACAAUGUUGUCUCGUCCCAGCCAGGUGCGUCAUAGGGAUUCCGAGAGUUUACAUUAUUGCAUCGCGAAUUCUGUCUUCGGUCUUGCCCUUUUUCUAUGAUCUCACGCCGUUCGGUCGGGUUUCUCUCAGGGGCGAUUUAUGUGGAUGAGGGUGACCAGGGAAGGUCUGAGCAAGCUGCGGUGCUUGUCCUUGAGGCUUCUCCUCUAGUUACUGCUCUCGCCGUGGACGUGCCGCCGACUGAGGCGAUGCCGUCGACUGAAACGGCGCUGGUUACUGCUGAAUCGACUGGAGCGGGCCUUGGGAUGCCAAAGGAGCCUUCAACGAUGCCAGGCCCGUGGAACAUCGUGUACAAUCUGCAGAACCUCCCAGAAGACCAGGUGGGAGCAGCCAAGGGGGCCAUGGUGCAGGCGGAGCUAAUGGCGGGAGAAGCCAAGAAGGCGUACGACUCCAUCGCGUCCCUGUACCAGCGAAGCUUGGAACUGCGGGACGAUAUCCGAGUAAGUGGGCUAGUAAGUAUUUACUUUUCUCUUGUAACCCACUGGGUGUGUUCGGAUAUCGUAUGAUUUUUGCAAUGGGUUCACUCUUAGUGAACCUAGUGGGUGUAGUCCUCGAGACUUCUGUCGAGUGCUUGCACCGGCAGUUGUCUUUAUACACAUUGUCUUUGACUUGAUCAGAUCACAAAUUAAUCUGUUCGAAUGCUGACAGUUGGGGCACUCGGAGUGUACCUACUGGAUGAGUCCCCGAGAGUAAUUUUACUCAGGUCGGGUAGUAGUAGCCUCACAGGCUUAGGUGUUGUCAUGUAGCUCAAUAGGGCGGACCUGUUUGAGUUUCAUGCCAGUGGGGUCACUCUCAGUGAACCCACUGGGUGUAGUCCCCGAGACCGCUGUCGACUGCUUGCGUCGGCAGGGGUCUGAAGAACUUAGACUUUUUAUUGUUGGAUUUGGCUGAUCGUCUCUUGGCGUUGGCUGGCAGAAAACUUGCGAGAUGGGGACGGCGUACGAGACUCUCAGGGCUGAAAAGGUUCAGUUUGCUGGUGAACUGGAUGCGGCACUGGUUGCCAUGGCUGGUAUGAAGGAUGUUCUGGCGGAACAAGAGAUGUCUUUGGAGCAGGCUCGUGAAGCGUACAAGGCGUUGACUGCUGAAGUGGAGAAAAUGAAGGCGCAGAGGUCCGGGCUAAUGGGACAAAUCGAUGUGCUGAACAAGCGGUGUAUAGCGCAGGAAAAAUACGUCAGUGACUGGGCCCAGCAGAUGAUAACGCGUCUGGGUGGUAAGUCCUGUUUUUCUGAGUGCGUGUGGUAUGAGAUUUUCACUCGGCGCUUAUUAUUUGCUCGUCCUGUGUUUGCAGAUUUUUGCAUGGACGCUGAGGCUGAAGCAGCUGACGUGGAGCGGUCGAUGCGUGAGAAUAUUCCACUCGGGGAGGACGCCAAUUGAGAUCUGCUCCGAGCGCACAUUCGCUUGGGCAAAGUUGGGCCUUUCAUCGGUCGACUGAGAGAAGUCGUCGGUCGGAUUGACAAGGAGCUUUGGCCUGAGGACGAGUCUCGGCAUGAGAUGGAAGGCUUGAUGACACGGCUGGAGGAGGUCCCAAACCGAGUGCAGUCAUGGAAGAAAUCUGCGGCUCGCUGUGGCGCAGACGUUACUCUGUCUCUUGUCCGAGUGCAUUGCAAGGAGGUGCGCGAAGAGAAGCUAAAAAUGUUGCAGGUCGCCAACACGAAGAAACUUCGGUUCGAAGACUCCAUGGAAACCUUCCUUGAGAGCGCCACUCGCAUCGCCGACGGCAUCGAUCUGGACACAUUCGUAGAGCCUGCCAGUCCCGACGGUGUUUGAGAAAACUUUAUCCUCGGUAUGCCGAGUGUUGAUUUGUAAGAAACUUUGGCCACUGCUGUUGGCCGUCACAUUCUUGGUUCGGUGUGGAUAAGCUUGAUCCACACCGGGCCAACUAUCUUUAUGUGAACUUUGAAUUUGAAUCGAAUCUUUUGCUCUUCUUUUGCCAAAGAGUUGUUGAGACGAUUUUGACUCGUGUUUUUGUUUGGCGUUUCUUGGUGAAUCCAAAGGCAAACAUGCGUUGUCUUGACAUCUGCAUGAGCCUCACUCAGGGUCUUGUAAAAUCUCCGAGUGGAUCUGUAGGAUCACCAAGUGGAUCUGUAGGAUCACCGAGUGUAUUUGUAGGACACACUCGAAGGUCAUAGAAUACUUGGGCGAUACGGGAUCGCAGCGAAGUUGUCGAGUGCGACUAUCAGGUCGCACUCGGGGUGAGUUGUUACUCAUGUAGUUGUCAGUUGUUUUGACAUCCACAUGAGCCUCGAUGAGGUUCUGCUACUCAUGUAAUUGUCAGUUGUUUUGACAUCCACAUGAGCCUCAAUGAGGUUCUGCUACUCAUGUAAUUAUCAGUUGUUUUGACAUCCACAUGAGCCUCAAUGAGGUUCUGUUGAGUCCCCGAGUGUAUCUGUAGGACACAGUCGAAGGCAUCUGAGUGCUUAGGCGAUUCGUUAUCGCGACUAAGUCUCCGAGUGUGACGUUAAGUGCACACUCGGAGAAAGUUGAUACUUAGGCGAUUCUGGAUCGCAGCUUAGUCCUCGAGUGCGACGUUAAGUGAACACUCGAAGAAAGUUAAUACUUAGGCGAUUCUGGAUCGCAGCUAUGUCCCCGAGUGUGACGUUAAGUGCGCACUCGGAGAAAGUUAAUUCGUAGGCGAUUCUGGAUCGCAGCUAAGUCCUCGAGUGUGACGUUAAGUGCNNNNNNNNNNNNNNNNNNNNNNNNNNNNNNNNNNNNNNNNNNNNNNNNNNNNNNNNNNNNNNNNNNNNNNNNNNNNNNNNNNNNNNNNNNNNNNNNNNNNGGAAUAUGCUAAUACACGACACUAUUUUUUCGUCGCUACAUCGUCACGGUUUUUCAUUUACGACGAUCUCACGAUGAAAAACCAAGCGUCGAAAACGGAGCGUCAGAAAUGAACAAUAGCGAUGUUUUGAUCAAAAUCGUCGUAACUUUUACGACGAUUCCUAGAUUGUCGUAACCUUUACGACGAUCCUAAAUCGUCGUUGGCAAUCUAACCCAGUCCUACGUGGCAGUCCUACGUGGCAAAAUUACGACGAAAUCAAAACAUCAUAGUUGAAAUCAGCCCAACCCACUUCAAUUGAUCACAUGGGAUGGUUUUAUUUUUUUUUGGGCUUUUUCUUAUUGGGCCUUAGCCUAUUUACACACACUUCUAGUAUUUUUUCCGAAUUUUUUUUAUCAUUAUAAUUUGGGCCAUGGCCUUUUAGUGCCCAAAUACAUUUGGUCCGGUUUCAGUUUUGGCCCUUUUUCAUUUUUGAAUUCAGCAACUUUUUGUUCCAGAACUUGGUUCCAUUUCUAUUUGUUGGGCCUUUUUCAACCCAAUUAUUUGUCCAAUAUUAAAUCCAACACUAUUUCAUAUUCAAAUCAAGAAAACUCCAAAUCGAAUUAAAAUCAUCCAUUAUAUAACAUCACAAAAUACCUCUCCCAGGUUUACAUAACACAAUAACUCAUCUCAUGAAUACAUUUCCUUACACAGGAAUAUAGCAAGAACGAAUAGAAUUGCACAAUAGAACAAUGCCACAUCUGUUACAAUUCCAACAAUACAAUGGACUUCAUUCCACUCUCCUAUGAGACAUGCUCGAGAUGCGACAACUUGUCAUCCUACAAGAACAUUACACUGCACAUGAAUCAAUAAAAGGAAAUAAAUAUAAAAAAUAUUAGAAAUGAAAAGAUUUGUGUUCAUCCCGAAGAUGAUGUAAAAAGAAAUGCGAACAAAAGUGAGAGAGACAUGCACUUAGUUUCCACUCCAUUUUCAUCCCUAGUGCUAGUGCAUCAUUAUUCUUAGAGGUUGUGUAAAUUAAAGCAGUGUGAAGUAUGUGUAAUAUGUACUUUAGGAACCUUCCGGCAUGCCGCAUCUCACUAAAUUAUUGUUGAUGGUAGCUUUUUGGAUCAACAAGCUGCUACAUAUAGUGAGCUUGGGUUACAUUUAUUACACUAGUUCUAAAAAGAUGGAUAAGAAUACUGGCAAAAUAUAAUACUCCUACUGCACAUAUAGUUAAAUAACAUUUGUGGAGUAAGUGUUAGCAACAGUUUAGCUAAGAAAAAGGAAGUGAGCUUCGUGGGUGGUGCUGGAAACGGUAACAGAUUCAGCUGUCAACAUACAUGGACAAAGAACAAGUAGCACCUAGAACUUAGAAGGAAAGUCAGAAUAUAAAUACAUACAUAGUACAUGGGAAUAAUAUACGUACGAGGGAGAGAGGUUGGUCAAUCUACGCUUUCACUAUACGCAGACGGAAUACCAUUCUAACUGAUGACAUUAUUUUAAAAAAAUCAUGUCUAGCUACAGUCACAACUUGCCGAUUAUUUAAAAAAAAUCAUGUCUAGCUACCGUCACAGCUUGCCACACAACGUGCUCCGCGAAGAAGUGAGCGCUCUCGCAAAAAUCGAUGUAUGAUUACUCAAAAUCUCAAAUGAAAGGAUUCAAGCUUUCUUGCUGGUGCAGCCACAACAUCAACUCGACAUCGAUGUAUUAUCACUCAAAAUCCCAGAUGUAAGGAUUCAAAGCCAUAGCUGGUCCAUCCAUGGCAUCAACUCAGAACCGGAAAAUGAAUGUUGUGUGCAGGAGUUGGAAUGUACCAAGUGCACAAGCUCAUAUCUAUGUAUGUUGCUAUGGAACCAAGGUAAAAUCAUGAAUGUGUUUGUUCAGCUGUGGUAUUACCUCGAUAGAUGUGGCGGAACUUCCACUCGGUGCCGUGCAAAUCCUUGGCGACCAGCUCCUGAGAGGGCCGCUGCUGGUUGUAGUUCUGCGUUCCUGGAACCAAACCAGAGAGCUUGAGCAAACAAGUUGACUGAAAGCGCAAUGGCAAAAAGAGCAUAUUCAGCCCAGUAAUUUGACAGGAAGUAAUUGUUCUUAUCAUGGGUUCUCAACUAACACUAUGUUUACCAGAUAAGGUAUAAAAGAACAUUGAUAAUGAUUUCCCCAAUGCCACCAGUCUUAAUAAGUACACCUCACAAACAGGGAAAUUAUUGUAUUGAUUUUUCAUCUUUCAUGCAUACAAAAGUUAUAAACAGGAAGGGUUGUAACAUUGUCAUCAUGUAACUCAAAAAUAAAAUUUUCUCAGUACUAUAUGUUCAUUAUAGCUAUACCUAUGCAUAUGAAAUUGUGUGCACGUGCCACAAAAAGGCUACUUCAGCAGUUAAGAACAACAAAUUAGAAGAAAUUUGCUAUAUAUAUAGGGUUAAUUAAAAUAAUAGGUAUGUUUCCUUUAAAAGAAGUAUAUGUUUUAACAGUAGGAACAAAAACUGUUGGUUAUGUACAUUCAUUGCAAACAGACCUAUAAAGAAGAAGAGAAACCGCUACUGUGCUUCAAUCAUCAAUCCAACAUUGCAGACACACCUAGGAAGCGCUAAAUUGUUAAUAGGAUUCUUCCUUGCACGUUUAUGUUGGUUAGCUCGACUUCAGGUUACUUCCUAAGUGUGCGGGCCUAUGAAACCUCAUUUCAAUUCAUUUCAUUUUGGCUUUUAGCCCCUCCAUGUGCAUUGGAAUUAUUUGCAGAGCGUACUAGGUUGACGACUUAUGUCCUGCUCAAUGCAAUCCUGUCGAAUUAUGUUCAAUACUAGCACCAUUGGCAGGAUAUUUUUGCUGCAGGUACACUACUAGUCCUGAAGCUAACUAUAACUGGAAAAUCCCACUGAAUUCGAUCGAUUUAGCCUUAUUUUAACUAGGGGUGCAAAGCAUGGUGACUCUUUAGGAAAUGCAAAUGCUUAUGAUUAUCCUCCAGUAUGAUGCAUUUUGAAGUGCCAUUAGUUUCACACACAUGCUUGGUCUAUGGGUUCAGAUUUUAAUUUUAGAUGCAUCACAAUAUAUAAGCCAGCGAAAAUUGAUUUAAUAAUUGGAUUACUAUUGAUGGCAAGAAUUCCAUUAUCUCUGCAGAAACCCUCUGGAUCAGACCAAAGACGGUCACACACACCAUUAUGAGGCACCUUUCUAUUUGCGAUCUAUUAUUCCGAUCCGUUGGGCGCACAUGAUAAUAACAUAAUAGAAAUCGAAUGCAUGAACUACAAAAUGUAACACUGGAGAGUAAUUUAGCCGAUCUAGUGUUGUAAUAGCAAGGGACCAUGGACAUUGAAAAUUUUGUUCUCGAUAAGUGCAGACAAACUGAAAAUAACAAAUACAUCCGCUCUUGUAUAUUAGGAUUUUAGUUCAAAGAAAUAAAGUAGCAGCCUCAUAGCAUUACCACAUGCAAUAUAAAAGCAACAUAGAAAUAUUACCUUAAAUAGUCGAAUAUUUCUGUGCAACAUCUCCACACAUUCACCGAGCCGUAUUUACGAAGACACUCAUCAUAGACGCCAAAAACCUGCACUAAUGCAUGAGUUAAAACAAUAAAUGACAACUAUCGUAACACUACUAAGAAAUAUCCAACUUGAGAAAGGUUCCUCACUUGUCUGAUCUGCCUGCUAAUGAUUUCCUCGUAUUAAAAUACGAUCUGGGUACCUAACCCUGGAGACAAUUUGAUCGUAACGGUUAGAUUAAAUGGCACAUAAUGUAACUUUAAGGAGAACAACUCAAAACUGAUCAGGACAAUCAGUCUUUCUAGUACAGUGAAAACAUGGCAUUGACUGUCCUAGGACGCAUCCCUCUAUGGUUUCCAUAGGAGAAAACAGUUGUAGACUUGGAAAGGCAAAGUAUUAUGUAAACAUCAGCAAGAGAAUGGAAAAAUGGCAGUAUUAGUCAUUCAUGUAUGCAGAUAUGUCAAGAUAUGUGCAGAUUUGCAUAUACCUUAUAUGGUUAUACCAGUCCAUCAAUGUGACAAUAUAGAGACAGAAAACAAACCAUGUGUGUGACCUAUGGCUGAUAUUACAAUCAGGAUGUAACAGAUACAUGCAA
rnacentral:lncRNA from 1 species